rnacentral:lncRNA from 1 species
GUGUCCACGAUGCCAGUUCAGGCGAGGUUCAUCAGGAUAGCAAAAGCGAAGAUCGUUGCAGGCAUGGUUGCUGCCACUGGUACCAUGGACACUGCCAAAGAUGCUGUCGAACUGCCGAGGAGACCCCUGAAGCCACAUCUGGAGAUGAGGAUACCGUAACCGCAGAUCGUUGCAGACAUGGUUGCUGCCGCUGGUACCAUGGACAUUGCCAAAGUUGCUGUCCACCUGCUGAGGAGACUUGCAGACAUGGUUGCUGCCACUGGUACCAUGGACACUGCCAAAGAUGCUGUUGAACUGCUGAGGAGACCCCUGAAGCUACAUCCGGAGAUGAGGUCAAAAAUUAAUGCUAAAUAAAUAAGGGUGUGACACAGGAUCCGUGACACCUAUAUUAUUACCUUAAUAUGUUAUGUUGUGUUUGCCUUUGAUGGUUGAUUUCCUAUAUGUGUAAAAGACUUGUGCGGCUUCUCUUUGAAUUGGUGUAGAAUCAACAGGGGAAGCAUGUAAUGAGUACUCAGUUCGAGUGCUCUUCUUAUGUUGUUGUCAUGUUGAAUAAAUAAAUCUACUUGAUCAUCUACUACAAUUGAUGGUCUCUAUCUCAGUUACAUCAGAAACUUCUGUACCUUGGACCUGCUAGAAUUUUGUGUGAUUGAUAUAAGACGUGCAGCAUGUUCAAUAUAUGUAUAUAUGUGCUUCUUCAUCGUGCGAUGCCAUUACACAAUGUGAAAGAAUUCAGCAUCGACGGAGUGAAACGUACCCAAUCCUGUUCCUGAGAAAGGAAAAAAAGUCCCUCAAAAAUGAACAUUUUGGAUGCCAUCAAGAUUUUUAUUUGAAUGCCAUUUGGAUAUCUGAAUGUUGUUUUUCUUACCUUUAGCUUCGUUCAAGGUCUUUUUGGUGGAAAUGCUUCGUUUAUACGAAUUUUCCUACUUGGUUAAUGCUUCUAUUACACUUGUACAAUACACAUUUAAAAGUCUAACACAAUAAAAGCUUGUGUAGUUCAUAUAUUUCAUUUCGAGAAUGUUCGUACUUUUCAGCUAAACUAUAAAAAUACGUAAUAAAUUCUUGAUACAUUAUACUUUACGAACAAGGCUCUAAAUUUUAAAAAUAUUUAAUACUAUCACUUAUCAAUAACUCCACAUGUUAAUUUGUCUUCCAAUUCAGUAAAUUAUAGUAGCUAAUUCUCAAAGCUAACCGACACCAAAACUCCCUCACUUGUUCACCUCCUAGUGGAUUUAUACUAAUUACAUUGCAUUUAUUUCCUAAGCAUCAGUUUUGUAACCCCUCAUAUUAAAUCUCAAUGAUUGAUUUUAACGGUUACCAAUGCGUCUAGUAAUUGGCUUGCUAUUAAUUUGAACUAGACAUUUAUUAGGUCUAGUAGAAUUUAUUCCUUCUUAUCAUUAGCUAACAAGACUUCUACAAUUUCGGGUUUUGCUUAGAAAUCAGUCUGAUAGGUUAACUUGCUUCGACCAACUUUAUGAGUUGCUUUUUUUUUUUUUUUCCAUAUUUGACAUUUCAUGUUACUUUAAUAUGGGGACCAAGUUAGUAUUGUUGACAUUUCAUAUCUAAGACUUCUUAAUUAAUUGAUUUGUUAUAAGAACUAUAACGUAUGCGUGUUUUGUAAGCUUUCAUGUUCUUUUUUUUUUCAAUUCUUGUGGACCAGCAACGGAUAGUUUCUUCUAGUACCAAGCUUCCUUUGAAGUUCUUUAUUUUUUUUUUUGUGUGUCCAAAUGUAAAUUAAAAGAACCAACAACUUUGAACAAGUCUAUAUCUAGUAAAGAUAGAUAUAAAGAGGGAUACUAUAUCACUGCAACAAAAAAGGGAUUUGGCGAGGAGCAAAAGUCCACGCCAAAAGUUUUGACUUUCUCGCCAAUUAAUUUCAGCAAGAAAAUGCUUCCUCCCCAAGUUUCUUGCUAGAUGCUCGUUGCUAAAAGUUAUUAGCGAGGAUAUUGCUACUUUUCUCUCUAAUGAAACAGAUCAAUAGCAAGGGUUGACCUCCUCUCCAAUCUGAUUCAAAUACUAUGGCAAGAAAAACUUUCCUCACCACUAAAGUUAAAAACUCCCCACAAAAAUCAGUAGUUCCUAGCAAAUAGUCAAGGUGUUUUGCUAGGAAAAAUAGUGCAUCCUCACCAAUAGUGUAGAAUUAGCAAGUAGUCUUUUGACAAAUCUGCAAUGCCCUGCGUACCAGAUAAACAUUUUUGGCCAGGAAAGUUUCUUCUCUAAUAAGCAAUAAUUGAUUAUUGCCUAACUGUUUGGUGGGAAAAUGUUCCUCUCCAAUGCUGUUAUGAACAUUUCUUAAUCCCAUUUUAGCAUGCUAAUCUUAAUUCUUUGAGCAAAUUACUGGGUGGUGACAGGUUGUCGCUGCCUGUGCAAUAAUAAAAUUAAACCUAACUGCCUGUGAAAUUUGAUUUCAAGCUCAAUCAAAUUCUAAGAGUCAAUGAUAAGAUCGAAAAAUGUGGGACCAUUGUUAAGAUGUAGACGGAGAUGGUUGCUUAUUGAGCGUUGGAAGUAUUUCAUAUGCAAGUUGUAAUUAUAUCUCAACUUGUAUAAUUUUAAUUUAGGGAGAAUUAUAAUUUUGGUCCCCAAUCUAUAGUGUAUGCCCAGAUUAAGUCCCCAAUCUAUUUCUAAAAUCAAUUUUGGUCCCUAAUCUAUUCAAUUUUGCGCUAAAAGUGGACAAUUGACGGAAUUUGUUCAAUUUCAAUCGGAACCAUGUCACGUGAGAUCACGUGCCGACACUAAAACCCCCUUUUCAAUUUUUUUAAUUUCCGAAACACUUUUUUUAAUAUUUUCAACUCUGUCUUGCCUUUAGACAUAUUAAACAAAGACAUUAAUUGCUAAAAUUCUCUAAUUAAGGACUGGAGCCCACCAAAAAGGUUGAAUAUCAAACAGAGGAAAAGAAGCUGUCGUCCACUACUUCCUUCUUUCCUCAUCUUCUUUCUUCCAACUCAAGAAGAAACCCUAGGAGCUUCAAUCCCAUUCUAAUCAGACAAAACCAUUUUCACGUCAUUGUGACAAAAAGUUGCAAGAUCUGGGCAAAAACUUUGUAUCGAGUCUCUUCUAUUUUCAAUUUAGCUCCUCAUGGAACCAAUGAAAAAUUGCGACUGCAAGCAGCGAGCAAUAAUGGUUACUUCUUGGAUAGACAACAAUCCUGGGAGAAGAUAUUUCACUUGUGCAAUGAAGAAGGUAUGAUUGUCUCUGUUUCUGAUUUCGAGAUUUCUGUCUCUAUUUCUGAGUUUUGUGCUAAAGCUUUAUGAUGUUGGCUGUGAAGGGUGACAGAGGAAAAGGAUGCGAUUAUUUUGAAUGGCAUGAUCCGAAAAUGUGUAGAUGGUCAACAGCCCUGAUUCCUGGACUACUACAUAGCAUGAACUCUAAGAAUGCUACAAUUGAGAGGCUAAGAGCAAGGGAAAGAAAAUUACUGGUAGCAAUUUUGUUGUUGCUACUUCUGCUGGUUAUUGUGUUAUUGGUGUAAAACUCAAGAAGGUUGGACAGACUUGGUAUCAACUAAGCAGCUUAAGGAAAAUGUGUUAAGUAUUAAGCUAAGCUAGGUACUGUCUGAACUUAGAGAUGAAAGAUAUUCAUCCAGAUUGUAAUUUUGACUUUUUUUUUGUUGGAAUGGGUGAAUGUGUAAGUUAGAAUGUACUAUCAGGCUAGUACAUUCUGUUUAUUGAAUGAAUGAAUAUAUUGGAUGUUCCAAUUUGCUUUUAAUUAGUUGUUUCUAAAGUUCAUUUACAAUUUAACUGGAUGUUGAGUUCUCCUUGAAAAAUGAAUUAAAUUUGAGAAACACCACAAAACAGAAUGAAAACUUGAAUGAAAGCAGAAUGUAAAGAAACACCAGAAAACAGGAUGAAGUAAAUUCACUGCAAUCCCUACCUAGAAUCCUAUAUAAAACUUGAAACAACAAGUUAUGAUAAUUUCCACAAUCCAGAACUACCAGAAAACAGAAUGAAAACUGAACUUCAAAAUGUGGAAGCAAGCAAAAUAAAAUGACCAGAAUUCACGUUCACAAUCUAUGUGCAAGAUAAAAGAAGAAUUCAUUGCUGGAUUGGAACCAAUGAACAAAAGAUACAUUCAGUGAUCAUUACAACCAUCAAAUAGACAUUGUUUUGUCAUUUGCCAGAAAUGAUUUCAAAAUGGCCAGAAUGUCAUGUUCACGCUGGCUUGUUCUCAAGAUACAAAAGCUACUAAUCUGACAAAAGCUACUACUAAUCAAAUUCAGCAACACAACCACUCCAAAAGCUACUGAUUAACAACAUUAAGUUAGGUACUGAUUAGCAACAUCCAAAAAGUGCUGAUUAGCUACUCUUCAGCUAGUUGAUGCUAGCUUUUCCUUUGUCAUUCCAAGGUGGAUUUGAACAUCUCUGAUCCUAAAACGUAUCCCUGUUCCUCCUUGGCCAACUGGUUGACUGCUAUGUACCACAAAAUUCUCUGGGAUCCCAAAAGCUUCAUGCAAGUUUGGUUGAGCAGUAGGGGCAGAACUGAUUAUAUUGUCAUUACCAGUUGCUGGGUUAUUUAGUGAUGAAUCUAUUUGCUUUGCAUUUCAUUUGGUGUCAUUUCUCUGCAAUACAUCAGCAUUUAAUCACUAAAUAUUGAACUCACAAGAAACAAUAGCACUAUGUACAUUAAGUAAUAAAAAUACAACAGAUUUUCUUGAUGUUUUUGUUCUCCUUUUCUUUGCAUUUGAAGUGUUGCCUCUAACCUGCAACAAAGCAUAAAAUGCAUUAGCUGCUACAAUGUUACAAACAUAGUUCAUGUAUAUCUAUUUACACAAAUUACACGCCUGACUUACAGAGUUAUCUAUUCUCAUGUCAUCUAGUUGUGAGAGACUCAUAUCCUCCUGAUUUGCUUGUGUUUCCUGCCCCUGUUCAAUCAUUUGAUUGGGUGCAACACCUGCUUCCUCUCUAAGCUUGCAUGUUCGUGUGUUAUGGCCUUGCUUACCACAGAAUGAGCAUUUACAAAUUUGACCAAAUCUCCUCACCUUCUUGCCCUGCUCCUUUGUUUGCUGUAUCUCAUCAGCAGAUUUUCUCCUCUGUUUCUUUGGUGUUCCUGGUGCUCUUCCAUAAGUUGGUGGCAGGGGUGGCUGAACAUCUACAUCUUCCCACUCAUGCUCUCCAUUCACAGGUAAAAUGCAAGGAUCAUAACACUUAAGAUACGUUUCAACACUGUAACAGUCAUCAAUGUACUGCAUAGGGUCCUUCAUAGCAAUCCACAAAGUUGAAAUUGCAUGAGCACAUGGUAUCCCUGUCAAAUCCCAUUUCCUGCAUGAGCAAGUCCUAUCCUCAAUAUUGACUGCCCACUUUUCAGCAUAAGGAUCAGCAACUUCAAAACUGAUAUCAUUUGAUUUGUAAGGCACACAAUAAGUUGCCUUGUCAAUAUUGACCUUCAUCCUUUUUCUAAUUUUUGGACAGAAACCAAAUUUGCUCCACUUUUUCCUAACUAUAUCUCUAUUUUCUUGCAUUCUUUGCAUGAUAACAUGCCUCAAUGCCUCCAUCAUGACAACAAUGGACCCUUCCCUGGCAUAUAAUAUUUUGCUGUUAAAUGAUUCGCAUAUGUUAUUCAACAACAUAUCACAUUUAGGGAAUGUUCUGAAGUGUGAUCUACUCCACUCUGCUGGAUUCUUGUCCUCUAACCACUUAAUUGCAUCAACAUCCAGUUCUGCUAUGCCUUCCAUUCUUCUUAUAAAUUGUGCAUGAGUAGUUGCCUUAGCUGCUUUCCAUAAGGCUUGCCUCAUGGCUGUCCCUUUGAAUCCAGCAGCUACCAUAUUGCUAUGCAUAUGCUUCACACAAAAUCUAUGAUCAGCCCCUGGAAAAAUUGAAUCACAUGCCUGAAUUAUGCCCUUCUGCUUGUCACUCAUUAUGGUCCAUUCAUAGUCAUUUUCAAUUUUUAGAUCCUCCUUAAGUAAAGUAAGAAACCAAAUCCAGGAAUCCUUAGUUUCUCCCUCAGUUGCUGCAUAAGCAAUUGGAUACAAACCAUUAUUUGGAUCAGUAAUACUCCACCAGACGCACCUUUAAGAAAAGUCCCAUCUAACCCAAACACAGGCCUGCAAGCAGCUAAAAAUCCUUUUUUCACCCCAGCAAAGCACAUGUACAAUCUUUGAAAUUUCCCUUGUUUGGUGACUGAAUCACAGUAGUCUUCUACAACCUUCAUUACUAUAGUACUACCUGGGUUACUUCUCAAGAUUUCAUUGAUAUAUUUGGGCAACUUAUUGUACUGGUCCACAUCACUACCUUGGACCAACUCCCUGCUAAUUUUUCUAGCUCUAUAGCCUUGAUGUCUGCUCAAAUAGCACUUGUUCUCUUUCAUUACCAGGUUUUUGAAGCUAGCAGUAUCCAGCUUGGGAUUCUCCCUAAAUGUGUUAACAUAUUUUCUGCCAAUCCACCCAGAUUUCACACUCUUGUUAUGAUAUGAAAACCCACACUUGUGUUUCUGCUGGAAUGUCCUAACUUUUAGUCUGCCAUCACCUUUCAACUUCCUAGCAUAUAUGCACCAGUCACAGCCUUUUUUAGGACAAAUUGCCCUGCAUCUAAUGGUGUCACUCUUGAUAAAUUUAAAUGGUCUACCCCGCUUGAUAUUCCAGGUUCUAACUGCCUCUUUAAACUCCUUGAAUGUGGUAAAUACCUGCCUAAUUUCAAGGUUGGGGUUAUCUGCAUGUUUGGGGUCAUACAUAGGGGGUCUGCAAUGACUCUCUUCAUCUGAACCUUGGAGACUAUCAAUAUCUGAACCUGAAUCUGGUGCAACAUCCAUGUCAGAGUUGUCAUCAUCAGUAUCAGAAUUACUCACUGUUAGUCCCCUAGUUUCCUUUUUUUCAUUCCUCUUAAGCUGCUCUUUUCUGUGAUUUUCUACCCCUAACCAUUCUAAAUUAUGAUCAACAUCUUCUUCAUACUCAUUGUCAUCAGAAUUUUGCUCAUAAUCAGAAUCUUUUCCUGAAAAUUCUCCAGAAUCAGAACCUAAGGUGUAUUGACUAUCAGAUUCAUCAUAUUCAUCUUCUAAUACAAAAUCUUCAUCAUCAAUAUCAGACCCCCACUGUGAUGCUAAUAACUCACUAAAAGAAACCUCUAUGUACAACUCAACUACCCUUCCAUACUCAAACUGAUCAACACAAUAGGCAUGCAAUUCUCUAUCAUGCUCUAACAAACGGAAGCCACGUUCCUCUAUCAAAAUGUGGUACUUUUUGUCACCUAUAGCCCCAACCUGACUUUCUAACAUUCUAUCCAUUUCAAAAAGGCUUAUACUUGUGACCUCUACAUGAUCAAAUACCCUUAAUUCACCUCCCUCAUAAUGAAGAUCAGGUUUAGUUUCGCAUUUUCCCCAUAAGUGACACUUCAUAGUCACUUCCGUGCUAUCACUGUCUACAUUAAAAAAAAACAAAAACAACACAGGCCAUAAUUUAGAUGACAGAAAUAGGUGCUGCUAGCAAACAGACAAUAAAAAAUGCAUACUUUAGCAAACAUUCAAAGACAAGGACCAUCAAUUGCAGUAAAAUAAGUCCCACUUGUACAGUAAGAACCAGCAUGAUAAGAUCCCGUUUAGAGACACACAUGGACCACACCACAAAUGACAAAUUUUUUCCUUAGUUUUUCAAGAUUGGUCGUUAAUACAGCCAAAAUUGUCAGAUUUUCCCCCCCAAGUACAAAAAGCAUCUUUUUUCCACUAUAUUCUAACAUUAUAGUUAGCGAUUGUGCAUAUAUAUCACAAAAAGAAGGCAAAAUCCCAUACCAUAAUUAGGUGCUGCCAGCUUGUUCAUUUCCUUAGGUCUCACUGCCAUUUCUACUUUGCAAUGCCAUGAGCAGCUUCAGCUUGACUGAAUUCAGCAGAUUUUUCCUUAAUUUUUUCACGUUUUGAUUCUCGAUUUUGGCUCUUAGGGUUCGGUGAGGUGUUUGCUGAAGAGAGUUUGCCCAGGUUGAGUAGUGGACGACAGCUUCUUUUCCUCUGUCUGAUAUUCAACCUUUUUGGUGGGCUCCAGUCCUUAAUUAGAGAAUUUUAGCAAUUAAUGUCUUUGUUUAAUAUGUCUAAAGGCAAGGCAGAGGUGAAAAUAUUAAAAAAAAGGGUUUCGGAAAUUAAAAAAAUUGAAAAGGGGGUUUUAGUGUCGGCACGUGAUCUCACGUGACAUGGUUCCGAUUGAAAUUGAACAAAUUCCAUCGAUUGUCCACUUUUAGCGCAAAAUUGAAUAGAUUAGGGACCAAAAUUGAUUUUAGAAAUAGAUUGGGGACUUAAUCUGGGCAUACACUAUAGAUUGGGGACCAAAAUUACAAUUCUCCCUUUAAUUUAAUAAGAUUAAAUUAAUGACAAUGCCAAUGAUUUCUGCGUCAUGCAUGACAUUCUUUUUUCUUGUACUCUCCCAAAAGCUGAAAAUUCUCAUCUCAAUCUCCUCCUCCAGCGAUGGCUGCAUGUCUGCACAUGUUCCCCCACAACAAGAAUAAUGAAUCAAUUGCCAUAAUUGCACGCAUUUAAAUUUUCUGAGCUGAUGAUAAAUUGCAUAGUUUUGAUUUUUUCUGUUUCCGGUUCCCGCUCUAGCUACUUCUAGAUUUAUUAAUUGGGGAAUAAAAGAAGAAGGAAUAAAUUAUACCUUAUUUAAUUACUUUUUUAGUCAGGAUAUCUAUAGUGGAUGUAAUUAUCUCUAUAGAAAUGAAUGAAGCAUCCUAGCUUGUGAUCAUUAUCCUCUGUUGCAAUUCUCUUGUUCAAACUUCAAAUUAAGGUUUUGUUUAAUAACCCAAUUCAAUACUUAAAUUUAAUAGAUUCAGAUCUUAACAUGUUCAGAUACGUUUGAUAACCAAAAUUUAAACAUCUGAAUAAAUUAAGUGGCACUAAAUUUUUUAGACAAAACUUGCUCCUAAAAAUAAGUAAUAAACUAUUUACUUAUCACUUAAUAUGAUAUAUACUCAAAUGUAUCAGAUUUAAUAGAUAACAAUUUAAUAAUUUAAUGAAUUCAAAUUUCAAAUUUUAGAUUUCAAUUUUAUCAAACGCACCCUAACUCAGUGCGAACUGAAUAUGAAAUCCAAAGUUGAAAAUCCAAGAGGUUAGAACUUUGAAACAAUAGAGCCUCUAGGCAUAUUCAGCAUUUUUACAUUCUACUGAUUUAGGGCAUCUUCAAUUAUCAGUUUCAACUCCAUAGUAUAAUAUAGAUAUUACCUCUAAUAGUUGUACGCACUUACACAACAAAUACAGAUUGUGAAAUUAAUUGUAUAAGUUUGAUAUUUUGUAGGUAUUGGGAUAUAAUUUUCACGUUUAGGAAAAAGAAAAUAUGUUAGUAAGUAAUAAUGUGAUACCCCUUGUCCCACGUUGGAAGUGGGAGAAAAAGGAUUGAUAUAUAUAAGAUUUGGUCUCAUAAGUUACUAGUUAUUUGGAAUAACCAUUUCGGGAUAGUGAAUUUCGACACAAAAAUUACUUAGGCCAACCAUAGGCUUGGAUGGUGACAAAUAACUUACUAGAAGCUAGGUAUAUUUAUGUUUAGAUGUCCUGAAAGCAGAGUAGUUCAUAAUCUAGAUAAUGGUAACGAUAUGAUGAGAAUGAGAAGUUAUAUGGUAAACUUUAUCGAUUAAUAAUUUCAUCAAGGCAUCAUAUACAAGCAUGAUGAAACAAUCCCAACUUUCAUUCUUUUGUUAAAUCUUAGUUUUUUUGUCUUAAAUUUUUUUCAAAUAAAGGAAGGAUGGAAUUUAAGCAGUAGAGGGGUGGAAGGGGAAUUUGAAUUCAAAAUCUCUAAUUUCUAAGCUUUUCACUAAGCAAUCGUCAAAACCAAAAAAAAAAUAAAUAAAUAAAAAAUGAGGACCUUGUGGUCAAUGCUCCUAUUCGAAGAUUUAUUCCUUUGGUUUGUCAUCAUCUCCCUCUAUUGAAAUCUAAGUACCCUUGGUUGACAAUUUGUUUCCCUGAGCAUCCAUCAACACUUUUAUAUAGUAUUAGAUUAGAUUAGAUUGUCAAUGCACCAUCAAUAUCCUUAAAUAUAAUAGCUUAAGUAUAGUAAUCAAAAUACUGUUAGUAAUCUGUAUGAUUAUUCUUUAUCCUUUAAUGUUUUAGUUUUAGGAAGAUCACAUAUGCUGCGUAUAAAGCAUGCCAUAGGCUAAAUUAAGGUAAAUUAAGUACAUUGCUAAACUGGAGAGCAUUGCUAAAUUAAGUACUUUAAGAUAAAGACUUAAGCAGCCAGAUCCAUUUGAUGUCAGCAGCUUCAAUAUCCACCUCAAAAUAAAUUAGCCUUUGUUCUAGAUUUAGCUUAAUGCUAAGUCCCUUCACCAUUCUUAGUAAUAAUUCAAUUCUGCCUCAAUUUUCAAAAUAUAUCCCAAAUAUAUGAAUAUCUUGAAACCAUCCUUCAAUCUCAUUACCUACUUAACAAAAUGUUCCAUAAACACAAAUAUAUUAAUGAAUUUGGAGUUGGUUUGAAGUAUUAAAGAGAACCGCAAGCUAGAAUUUUCCAUAUAUUCAAACAAGAAAUUGGAAAAAUCUGACUAGCUUGCAACGAGUACUACAUCUCAAGACAAGGGAUCUUUUCAGUCACUCUUUUAUUGUAUCGAAGACCUACUUGCAUCUAUGAAUAAGCAAUACUGAGUGAUUUUAGAUGUGAAGUUGAUUCCAUGUGGUAGGACAACUUUGGUUUUCAAAAAUAAGGGCAGUCCAAUUCACUCAAUACAAAAAAAAAAAAAUUUAAAUGAUAAUAUUCAAAGGAACGUCUAUCUUACCUAAAAAAACAAACAAACAAAAAAAAAACAAUAAAAAGGAGAUUGAUAUCCUAUCCAGUAUCCACAGAUUGAACAAUAGCCACAUUAUCUUAUAAUUCUUAAUGAUCAUUAGCUGAACUAUCAACUUUAGCAGUCAAGAAAGGCUGUAACUUGUAUAAGGACAAUAAAUUCUUUAUUCCCGCGUCCGGAGACUUGAGACAUGGACGCUUCAUUAGUCAAUAAUAAAGUGUGGAAUUCGACGAAUAUUCUUAGCUCGUUCAAGAUAACAGAGAAGAUUCACUCUUGUACAAGCAACAGGCACAGCUACUUAAACAAUUGGAUAAUUUCAUAAACCUUGGCUGAAGUUUUGGACAAUUUCAGUACCCCUCUUAUUUUCAAUAUUACGCUGACCAUUCUUACUUUAACUAAUGUAGUAACCAAUUCAGCCCAUAUCAGUAAAAGAAAUGGAAUAAAUUGACAAGAAAUGGUGUCAUCACAUUUUGUUCCACAUUUACCCUUAUAGACCCUAAAAGAAAUAUUGUAACAUAGGACAAAUUUUACUUCGUACCUUCGAACUUGAAUCACUUUUCUAUUCUCUUACUCUAAACAUUAAUUUUGAACGCUUUCCAUGUGACUGGGGGCAACAGCACAACAGAGCUCUUCUUAAGUCUCUGAUCGUUAGUGUCACAUGACCAUUGCUAAUUAUGCUAUUGCUUUUGAAUGGAAAUAGCAUAAAAGUCUUGGUGAAUGAACAAAUUGAAUAGACCAUUUUGCAGAGCAGUGAAAUAUUCCGAAGCCGUGAAGCACAGUGAUAAGCUACAAAUUAUAGUAAUUUAUAUUUAUUAAUUGUCAAUGAAUGGUUUUAUUUGAGCUAUAAUUAGAAUGGAAGUUGCCUAAUUUAAGUAUAUUUUGGUUUUUGCGGGAAAAGCACGCAAUUGAGGAGGAGAUGACUAAAAAACGCAACAAAAGAAGAAGAAACGUUGGGCUGCCAGGACACAAGGAUCAUCGGGUGGAUCCUUUGUCCAACGCCAAACAGUGAAAGGGACUUUGUGAGGACUUCUUCCAGUUUCAAUGAUUUCUGGAGAAAUUUCUAAAUUAUGAUGAAUUUUAAAAAAAUUCUACAAAGGGGGCAUUUUGAGUAUGAGAUUACGUCUAAGGGGUCUUCGCAUUCAGCAAAUGCGAGCUCCCAAAUGCAAAGUCUCUUGAAUUUGCAACCAACGAAAUCCAAAAAAAAAAAAAAAAAAAAAAAAAAAAACAGACCUCGCAUUUGUUAACAGUACGUAGGCCUGACCUCUUAUGCUGUUUCUGAGCAACAGAGCAUAGCCACGAAUUUGAAAGCCAUUUGCCAAGUGAAAAGAAAAUGUGCAGUGCAAAUGAGACACAAAAUUGAUUGGGGAGUCCUGUUGAGGUAGUACAAGUGGCAAAUUGGGAGGGGAGAGAGAGGCGCAGCUGGCUAGCUUUACAGAAAUGGGUUCCGAACAGGGGUCCAAGCUCUACAAUGGCGCAGAGCUUCCGACGAGAAAGAUGUGAGGGAUUUCGCUUGCCGAUCCUGGAAGCUUGGACUGGUGUCUAGCUCAGCAAAAGAGGAGAGAGUGAGCUGGAUGGAGAGAGUGAGCUCCAAUUUCUGCAGGUUAGGAGACAGAUUAGAAUGCCGUAAUUAGGAGCUCUGAUUGAGUACCUUGCAUUCGAGAAAUGCGAGGUACCUCAGCUCGCAUUUGGCGCAUACGACCUUACUUCGUUGUUUUUUACUUUUUCUCAAAACCUUUCUCUUUUUUCCUGAAACACUGACCUCGCAUUUGUGAAAUGCGAAGUCUUUGAACUCGCGUUUCACAAAUGUGAAGACCAUAAUCCUAGAAUUAGCUUCAAAAAUUACUCCCCUUGUAAAACAACUUUUUUUUUUCCAUCACAAUUUAAGAAUUUACUCUGAUUUUUGAGCGUAACAAGUUUGCGGCUAGAGUUAGAGCCAGUCUUCGGGCCGAACUUUAUUGGAAAACCCAUUCAAACUCGAUUUUUGGUAAGUUUUCAAGACCUAUUCCUACCACAUUUCGGAUGCAACUUUGAGAGACUAUAAAUAGGACAUUCUAGGAUAUUUUUAGGUUAGAAAGCAUUUAGCUUACAUUAGUUCAUCCUUUUUAUAUCUUCUUUUCAUGAGAGAUCACAAAGGAAGUGUUGAAGAAUCAAAGAGAAAGUUCAAGAUGGAGAUUGGAGUAGGGAAAAAUUGAGAAGUUUUCUUUACUUUUAACUUCUUAUUUUGUCUUUCAUUUGAAUUCUUGGAUUUAUCUAUGAAUAUGUUGAACUAAUUUAUAUCUAGACUUAAGAUUUUGUGAAGGAGAUUUGAUUAUUUGUUCUAGAUAAAUUAUUCAAUUUUUCUUUGAUUUAUCUAUCUUGCCUUUAUUACAUAUUUAUGUUUUGCCACUAUAGAUAUGCUUUUAGGGUUUGUAUUGAAUUGAGAAGCGAUAUACAACCAUAUAUUAGAUAAAUAAACUUACUUAACCUAAUUAGGAAUGUGGGUUAGGAUUUGGAUGGCAUAAUCAUAUCACCUAAAAUCUUAAAGGGUUUAAUUAAAUACCUAUGAUCUCGAGAGCAAUGUGAGAUUUCAUUAGACACAAUUUAGAUGUAUCGAGAGAUAAUUAAAAUACCUUUACGUGAUACGUCUUUGACAUGUUAAGAAAAUAAUUGGAUAAUGAUUCCAAUUAUGAAUCAAAAUUUGAAACUCUAGUCUUUUGCUAAUUGUUUUCUCACCUAUAUCUUAUUUGAUUUGAUUACUUAUUUAAUUUCUUAAUUAGUGAUUAAAAACCCUCUAAAUUUAAAUUUUAUUAUUUUUAUUAGACUAAUUAAAGUAGAAAAAAUUAACUCAUUCCUAUAUGUUUGACCCUGGAGUACUCCAAGUGAAUUAUUAUUUCGAUCAACCCUAUACAGUUAUAGAAAUUCAUCGAUCACACAGCAACCAAAAAAAAAAAUUAACGCACAAUAAUGUCAUGAACACAGUUCCCAUCUUAGUUGUUCAACAUUCACGGUGGAUUUCAAUUAGUGGUAAAUAGAUAAAGGCAUCGAAAAAAGUAAUCUAAUUACUAGAUAAUUGAAUUUAUACUACAACAUAUUUCUUUUUUCUACUGCAAAAACUUAACUAAUUUAAGACAAUGUAGUCCAAGCUAAUUGAAGAUUAAUUUCCCUAAAAAAUGUUCAUGAUAAAAACUCAACAAAGAGAUAAUACAACAGCUUGCUUUUGGAGGUGAUCUUAUACGGUCUUUAUUAACAAACUAAUUAGCCACCUAAGCUUUUUUUUUUUUUCCUUUUGGGACUACACAUGACAAAAUGAGGAGUGAAUCAGUCGCUUAGUAUCUAAAAUUUUCCCUCCAUAAUUAGUUCAACCUGAUUUAAGACUAAAUUUUUACUAUAGGAAUGUUCGUGAUUCAGCAAUGAAACACCAUAUAAACUUAUUUUGGGAGAUUUGUCCUAGAAGAGAAAAAAUGAGCAACCAAUCAGAAAGUCGUACUUACAUAUCAAAAUCGAUACUGUCUACUUAAUUCACCAGCUAUGUAUAUUUCAUCCAUUUUCACAUAAUAGAAAGAACAAUAAUGCAUGGCAUUAUCCAUCAUAAAUUGCUCAUAUAACAUCAAGAUAUCAUGGUGUGGACCUCAAAUGACUCGUCAUGUCUACUGGCUACAUUUUAAACAUAUCUUAUGGCCAGAAUGUUCAUCUUAUCAACUUAACGAGUUUAUUCAUGGUACCAUACCAUUCAAUUAAAAAAGUUUCCACCUUUUACCUUUUAUUUAUAGAUGUCGAGGAAUAUAGCUGAUAACGCACUUUUGGCAGCAAACUUCCUUCACCCAAUUAAAGAUUUUCGGAGCUUAAAGUUCAGCUCCUAAAGCUCUUCUCCAAGGCUCACCAACCAACAGAGAAAUUACUUUUAGCAAAGUUUUGAUGGCAUCUUGGCAAGAUUGGAAGAUUAUAUUGCGCUUCUAAGAUAAUGUUUAAAAAAGCUAUUUUAGUGAGGGCAUUAUGGUCAAUUUGCCCCGAUGAUAUUGACAUUAGGUCCCAUCAACAUCAGAAGGGAGCUCAUUGUAUUAUUGGAUAUAACAAGGGUGCUAGUGAAAUUAUGAAAACCCUCGAGGAAGGUUUUUGAAAUUAACCCUAAAAUACUCAUUCCACGCAAGGCGUGGCGUUCCCCUCCUAGUUCCUAUAAAUAGGGCUGCAACUCAAUGCACUUAUCACUCUUUUUUUUUUUUUUCGAAACGAUAAUUGAUUGUAUUGCUUGACAAAAGAUAUACAAGUGCGAGCAAGGGCUCGAUUGAACUUUACAAGCGGCAUAUUUACCACUAAGGAAACCAAUGUUCCUCAUCAAAAAUAAUGCCCAAGCCAUGAAUGCUAAGCUUGUAGCUUAAUUGAGUCUUAUCUUUUCUAACUAGGCAAAAAGAGCACAUAUGAAACAAUUGGCUUAAUUGAAGAAUGUCAUCCACAACAGUCGCUAAUCUAAUCUCACUUACUCUGUUUGUGCGAAUACUGUUAAGGAUUUGUGGGUUUUGCACUUGAAAUUGCACUUCCCUGGCUUGCGUUGUGGCUGUCUUACACAUUGCCAGCUUCAGUGCAAUUGCCUCAUCCACCAGAAUUGAUCCUGAACUUCUUGCUCGUAGCGGCCAUCCUCGGUGUGGUCCUUGAUCUCCUUGAUUCAGGCUGAUUCCAAUGCCAAAGGCGUGGUUGGAUAUAUCUGAUGUUACCCCAAUCCGUACUUCCAGUAUCCCAUAUUCUGAAGCUGACUGCGAACUGUGUUGCUGUAGAGCUAUUGUUUCGUCUGUGCUCAUCCUAGAUUCCUUAGUAUCUAAUUCCACCAUUUCUAACCAUUCCUGAUGCGCCUUCUGAAUAGUCUUCCAAGGCUGUUUUUUUUCCCAUUAAAUUCCUCCUCAUUCCUAGUUUUCCAUAUCUGCCAUAGAAUAUAGACAGACAACGAAAUAUGUUGCCCACCUUCUGGUCUAUUCCUGGCUUCUGAGAUUGAUGUCCACCAGUUACGGAAAUUCCCUUGUUGCUCCAUCAUUCCUUCCCAUUGGAUAGGGGCUAGCCUCCAUAUCAGUUUUACCUCCCUGCAGUUCAAAAGGGUAUGCUCUAAUGUUUCCCUAUCUUCUCCACAUCUCUUGCAAAUGGGGUCUCCAACUUUGAUUCUGCCUUGUAAAAGAUCUCUCACUGGAAGCGCAUCAUUGAGACAUUUCCAUAGGAAGAUUUUCUGCUUAUGCUUCACUUUCAAUUUCCACACUUCCUUCCAAAGCUUUUGUGUUUGAUCCUCCCAACUAGUAGAUCCCUCCACCUGGUUUCUGCUGUGCUUACUUCCUUCUUGCCGCACCUGUAGCUUAUACCCUGAAUUAACGGUAUAGUUUCCAUCUGUCCCGUAUAUCCAGAAAUGACUAUCUUCCUUCCCUGAUAAGCUUAUUGGUAUGGCCAAAAUCCUUUCAGCAUCUUGUCGAUUGAAAUUUUUGAAAACCAGAUUCGUAUUCCAUGACUUUUGGCAGAUCAGCUCAUGAACUUUUUGAAGUCCAUUGUCCAUAUGUCUUCUGGUCGUGACUUUCCCAUUUAUAUUACCCGGGAUCCAGCAAUCAUCCCAGAUAUUGGUGUUGUUUCCAUUGCCAAUCCUUCUUCUUGUUCCUUGUUCCACCAACUCUCUAGCUCCCAUAAGGCUCCUCCAUAUCCAAGAUGCAGUAUUGGGGACUUUGCACCUAAAUAUGGAAGUCCUUGGGAAAUAUUUAGCCUUCAAAACUUGGCUGACUAGGAGAUUAGGUUGCGUUAUCAGUCUCCAAACCUGCUUGCCUAGAAGUGCUGCAUUAAAUGCCAUCAAAUCUUUGAAGCCUAAUCCUCCCAUGUUCUUACUCCGAGUGAGCUUCCUCCAAGAGCACCAGUGUACCUUAUUCUUUCCAUUGGCCUCUCCCCACCAGUAGUUUGACAUUAGUGAGCUGAGUUCCUUACAUAAUCUGGAUGGGAGCCUAAAACAGGACAUGGUAUACGUCGGCAUGGCUAAGGCUACUGACUUAAGCAUAAUUUCCUUACCUGCUGUACUUAAGAACCUGUUUUUCCACUUGCUCAUUCUCUGUUGUAUAUUUGAUUUGACAAAACCAAAAAUCUGCUGCUUUGAUCUUGAAACCACCAUUGGUAAUCCGAGAUGCUUGCCUUGAGUAACACUUUGCAUAGUCCCCAUAACUUGACAAAUCUCAUGCUUCAGAUUUAGCCUCACAUUCUUACUGAAUAGUAUAGAAGACUUAUCCAGAUUUAUCAGUUGUCCAGACCCUUUGGCAUACACCUGCAGCACCCUCAUUAAUUCCGUAGCCUGAUCCUUAUUUGCUUUGCAAAAGAUCAAAGAGUCGUCUGCAAAGAAGAGGUGUGUUAUACUAGGACCCUGUCUACUUAUCUUCAUCCCAGAAAUUUUUCUGGUUUGUGCAGCCUGCCGAAUGAGGUUGGAAAAUCCUUCAGAGCAAAGGAGAAACAGAUAAGGGGAUAGGGGAUCCCCUUGUCUAAUACCUCUUGUGGGUAUCACAUACUCUUUCACCUCCCCAUUAAUAUUGAAGGAGUAAGAUACAGUUCUUGCACACUCCAAAAUCCAGUUUAUCCAUCUGUACUGAAACCCCAUCUUUUGCAUAAUGGCCUCAAGAAAACUCCAUUCCACACGGUCGUAGGCUUUGGACAUGUCCAACUUCACUGCCAUAAACCCGUCCUUACCUUGUCUCUUGUUAUUUAGAUAAUGCAAAUACUCAUGAGAGACUAAGAUGUUAUCUAUAAUUUGCCUACCGGGGAUGAAUGCAGAUUGGUUUUUGCAAAUGCAGCAAUGUAAAACACCUUUGAGCCUAUUUGCAAGAAUUUUAGCAAUGACUUUAUAUAUGGUAGUGCAAAGACUAAUUGGUCUUAACUGAUUCAAAGAUGUGGGAUUAAGCACUUUGGGGAUGAGAGUAAUCACCGUAUGGUUAACACUUUUCAAGAGGUGGCCUGUAUGAAAAAAGGUUUGGAUUGCAUUUACCACUUCUUUCUUGAUGGUAGUCCAGAAUUUUUGGAAAAAAAGUGGUGACAUACCAUCAACCCCAGGAGAUUUAUCUGGGUUCAUAGAGAAAAUUGCAGCUUUUAUUUCUUCUUCCAAAACUGGUUUCAUCAGAUUUCCAUUGAGUUCAUCAGUAAUAGUAUGGGGUAUACCAUCCAGUACCUCAGUUAAGUCCCCGACGUCAUUACUGUUGAACAGAUUCCUAUAGUAUUCUGCAAUCUCCUUGCUCACUGCAUGCUCACUCUCAGUCCAAGUACCAUCCUCUCGCUGAAGUUUGUUCAGUCUAUUUCUCCUUCUCCUACCUUGUACCGAGGCAUGGAAAAAUUUCGUGUUCUUGUCACCCUCCCUAAGCCAUUGUAUCCGCGAUUUUUGAAGCCAGUACAACUCUUCCUCUUUGUAGGCUUCCUUUAACUGUUUUUUUAGAGAAUCCUUACAAACCUUGCUGGUACUACCUAGAGAAGACUUCAGAUCACUCAACUGGUUUUUUAUCUGCUCAGUUUUCACUCUUGCAUUUGCUUGGAAGUUAUUCCUCCAUUGUAGUAGAGCCACUCGGCAGUUUUUGAGCUUCUUAACCACUUGAAACAUCCUAGAUCCAUCCAUUUCCUGCUCCCAAGCCGACUUGAUAACCUCCCCUAUAUCCUCUCUUUUAAGCCACCUCUUAUCAAAGUAGAAUCUCUUCUUCCUCUUACCAAGAUUCAUCCUAGUAUCGAACAAAAGAAUGCUGUGAUCAGACGCAUUAUUUACAUUUUGAGUGAGAUUGUGAUCAAAUGACAUCUUCAAAAAAUUUGCUCUUUCUUAUUGGUGUUCUUUUUGCACUUGUGCUCCUCAUUUCCUCUGAUGCAACAGCUGCAGGUGCCUAGUCCCUUUUUUUCUUUUCCUUUCUUCCUUUUUUUUUUUGGCUGCACCUAAAUACUUAAAUGAAUGGAGAUUUGGAGACUCAUUAUUGGGAUGUGAAUUUUUAUGGAAGGCUAUUUGUAUAUUAUCAAGCAAGUCAUAUUAAUGUGCUAAUAUCUUUUUCAUUGUUUAGCAAAAGUAAAUUUGGGUUGCUUCUAUCAAUGGUUAGUGGCACAUCUGAUUUUUCAUGCAUCCUUAUAGUAUUGCUGUAAGGAUACACGUUCCAUAGUGUCGCACCAAAGAUUAAACUAACGUCGAAAACCAAAUUAAAUGCUUCUAAUUAUAAUUUAAAGCAAAAUAAUUCCCCUUAUAAAUGGACGAAACUCCCUGCCAACAAAUCCAAAUUCAAGAAAAAAUUUUCUUAAAGGGAAACUCUGCCAAAAUUUUCUUAAAAUAAAUAAAAUAUUUAAUUAAAAAAAUGAAGCAAAAUAAUUCAUAUCCAAGUCGCACCAUCUUAUAUGCCUAGACUGUUUUGUUUAAUCCAUAGUAUUCUUUUCUUUGCAUAUAUCUUGCAAAUUUUCAGCCUAGCCGGUCACCUAACGUUCGCAGCUUAAGAUAAAGCUCCAAAUAUUUAUGUCUCCUUGUGUCUUGAAACAGAUCAGAAGAGCGUGAAAACCACUGGUGUCCACGAUGCCAGUUCAGGCGAGGUUCAUCAGGAUAGCAAAAGCGAAGAUCGUUGCAGACAUGGUUGCUGCCACUGGUACCAUGGACACUGCCAAAGAUGCUGUCGAACUGCCGAGGAGACCCCUGAAGUCACAUCUGGAGAUGAGGAUACCGUAACCGCAGAUCGUUGCAGACAUGGUUGCUGCCGCUGGUACCAUGGACAUUGCCAAAAAUGCUGUCCACCUGAAGAUCGUUGCAGACAUGGUUGCUGCCACUGGUACCAUGGACAUUGCCAAAGAUGCUGUCCACCUGCUGAGGAGACCCCUGAACAUCGUUGCAGACAUGGUUGCUGCCGCUGGUACCAUGGACAUUGCCAAAGAUGCUGUCCGCCUGCUGAGGAGACUUGCAGACAUGGUUGCUGCCACUGGUACCAUGGACAUUGCCAAAGAUGCUGUCGAACUGCUGAGCAGACCCCUGAAGCUACAUCCGGAGAUGAGGUAAAAAAUUAACGCUAAAUAAAUAAGGGCGUGACACAGGAUCCGUGACACCUAUAUUAUUACCUUAAUAUGUUAUGUUGUGUUUGCUUUUAAUGGUUGAUUUCCUAUAUGUGUAAAAGACUUGUGCGGCUUCUCUUUGAAUUGGUGUAGAAUCAACGGGGGAAGCAUGUAAUGAGUACUCAGUUCGAGUGCUCUUCUUAUGUUGUUGUCAUGUUGAAUAAAUAAAUCUACUUGAUCAUCUACUACAAUUGAUGAUGCUUUGACUUUACCUCGUAAACGUGUCAUUUCACAAAUCUCAGGUUUUCAAGCUAAGUCACUUCCUCUUCGAUAUCUUGGCUGUACUCUCUAUUCAGGGAGAAGGAAAAGCAGUUAUUUUUCAGAUAUCUGCACUUCAGUUGCUAAGAGAAUUCUGUCUUGGAAGGAGAAGCUUUUGUCAUCUGGAGGGAGGUUAGUGUUACUCAAAAAUGUUCUAUCAUCUUUGCCUAUUCAUGUCUUAGCUGCUACAACUCCUCCAAAGGGUGUUCUCCGCACCCUUGAGAAAGCAUUUGCAAAUUUUCUAUGGGGCACAACUGAUAAAGGGUCUCGGUAUCAUUGGAUUGCAUGGGAUUCAUUGUGUAAGCCGUAUGCCGAAGGGGGUGUGGGAGUGAGGGCUUUGACUGAUGUGUUUAAUGCCUUUUCAUUGAAGUUAUGGUGGUCUUUAAGGCAACGUCAGUCUCUUUGGGCAGAAUUUAUGUACAAUAAAUAUUUACAUAAAUUGCAUGCUUGCGAAGCGGAAUUUCAGCCUUUACAAUCGGUAACUUGGAAGAGAUUGGUUACAUAUCAGUCUUUGGCAAAUUCCCAUAUUCAAUGGGUGUUGCAGAAUGGCUUGAUAAACUUCUGGCAUGAGAAUUGGACUGGUACAGGUCCUUUAUGUCAGCAGAUCGACAUUUUUGGAGAUCACACAGUGGCGGAUUUUGUUUCAAAUGGUCAAUGGAACAUUCCAAUGCUUCGACAAUGGCUCCCAGAAAACAUUGUAUCUACGAUUCUACAAAUCAUUCCCCCGGAUGUUGUUUCUAAUCAACCUGAUAGGAUGGUGUGGGAUUUAGAAAUUUCUGGUUCAUUUUCCUUUUCUUCAGCCUAUAAGGUGGUCCGCACCGUUGCCAAUUCGUCAAUCUUUUCAUCUACCAUUUGGGUGAAAGACUUGCCAGCAAAAAUCUCAUUCUUUAUGAUGAGAAUGCUAUCUUGGAGACUGCCGGUUCUGGAUGUGUUGCAGCGCUUUGGUGUGUGCGGACCAUCUCGUUGCGUUUGCUGCCAAAAUCCUGGGUUUGAUUCUAUUGAUCAUGUUUUCUGUACAGGUGAAAUCCCUCGCCAAGUUUGGAAAUCGUUUCAGGUUGAUAUUGGCGAGUUUGUCACUCCUUCAACGGUAAAGCAUGCAGUCAUUCAAUGGUGGUUGCUGCCAGCUAAAAACAUUAAGCUUAAACUGGUUUAUCAGCUGCUGCCAUCGCUGAUUUGCUGGCAUCUUUGGAAAGCUAGGAAUACUGCGGUUUGGGAAGGCAAGGUGUUGUCGGUCAUGCAGAUUAAUACUUUUGUUCUUUCUGAUCUCUAUGACAUUUUCCAAUUACAUUUUACAGACAUUGGAGUUGGAAGGUACUCGUGGCCAUGUUUUUACUCUUCACUGGUGAGUUGGCAAAAACCAUUUAAAUUCAUCCUGGUUAGGUGGAUCCCUCCAGUCUUGACGACAUGUAAACUGAAUACCGAUGGUAGUUCUCUUGGUAAUCCGGGAAGGAGUGGCGGUGGGGGGGUUUUGAGAAAUAGCUCGGGGGUUUUUUUGUUGGGUUUUGCGUGUUAUUGGGGUGUCAUACCGAGUUUACAUUCAGAGUUGAAGGCUUUGUUAUUUGGAGUUAAGCUUUGUGUUAUGCGAGGUUUCUUUUGCUUGCAUUUGGAAUCAGAUUCGUCACUUCUUGUCCAAAUGGUUAAGGGGAUUAGUAGAUGUCCAUGGGAUUUGCAACGAGAGCUGGACCAAUUGCUCACUUUUAGGCAUUUCUUUCAAUCCGUCACUCAUUGUUAUCGUCAAGCGAAUUUGCCUGCAGACCGCUUAUCUAAGGUUGGAACUGAGUUAAAGUCCAACAUAGUGUAUGAUUCAUGGUUGGAAUUGCCACGAUUGGUUCGUGGAGACCUCAAGUUGGAUAGGUUAGGUUCUCCUAAUUUUCGGGUUUACUAAUCAUUUGGAUUUCUGGAAUGGGGUCUAGUUCAUCCACACAGAUUCAAGCGUUGUUGCUGUUACUGUUGUUUUGCUAUUGCUGCUGUUAUUUUUUGCUCUCUGGUUGAGCAAUUUCUUUCUUUUUGCACCUCUGUUUGGCAGAUGCUGAUGUAACGUGAUAUUUAUUUAUCAAUAAAAGGUAUAAGGUUUUUUUUAAAAAAAAAAAAAAAAGAUCUUCUUAUGUUUUUUUUCACUUUAUCUUCCUUCAAGAUUUUUGGUGGAAAUGCUUCAUUUAUACGAAUUUUCCUAGUUAGUAAAUGCUUCUAUUACACUUGUACAAUACACAUUUAAAAGUAUAACACAACAAAAGCUUGUGUAGUUCAUAUAUUUAAAAAAUAUUCAUACUUUUCAACUAAACUAUAAAAAUAUGUAAUAAAUUCUUUAUACAUUAUACUUUACGAACUAUACUUUAAAUUUUAAAAAUAUUUAAUAGUAUCACUUAUCAAUAACUCCACAUGUUAAUUUGUCUUCCAAUUCAGUAAAUUAUAGUAGCUAAUUCUCAAAGCUAACCGACACCAAAAUUCCCUCACUUGUUCAGCUCCUAGUGGAUUUAUAUUAAUUACAUUGCAUUUAUUUCCUAAGCAUGAGUUUUGUAACCCCUCAUAUUAAAUCUCAAUGAUUGAUUUUAACGGUUACCCAGGCGUCUAGUAAUUGGUUUGCUAUUAAUUUGAACUAGACAUUUAUUAGGUCUAGUAGAAUUUAUUCCUUCUUAUCACUUAGUUCAUAAACCUUACGAAUCGUUAAAACCAGCUCUAACAUCAGCUAACAAGACUUCUACAAUUUCGGGUUUUGCUUAGAAAUCAGUCUGAUAGGUUAACUUGCUUCGUCCAACUUUAUGAGUUGCUUCUUUUUUCUUUUUUUUUCCAUAUUUGACAUUUCAUCUUACUUUAAUAUGGGGACCAAGUUAGUAUUGUUGACAUUUCAUAUCUAAGACUUCUUAAUUAAUUGAUUUGUUAUAAGAACUAUAACGUAUGCGUGUUUUGUAAGCUUUCAUGUUUUUUUAUUUUUUCAAUUCUUGUGGACCAGCAACGGAUAGUUUCUUCUAGUACCAAUCUUCCUUUGAAGUUCUUUAAUUUUUUUUUUGUGUCCAAAUGUAAAUUAAAAGAACCAACAACUUUGAACAAGUCUAUAUCUAGUAAAGAUAGAUAUAAAGAGGGAUACUAUAUCACUGCAACAAAAAAGGGAUUUGGCGAGGAGCAAAAGUCCACGCCAAAAUUUUUGACUUCGUCGCCAAUUAAUUUCAGCGAGAAAAAUGCUUCCUCGUCAAGUUUCUUGCUAGAUGCUCAUCGCUAAAAGUUAUUAGAGAGGAUGUUGUUGCUUUUCUCGCUAAUGAAACAGAUCAAUAGCAAGGAUUGACCUCCUCGCCAAUCUGAUUCAAAUACUAUGGCGAGAAAAGCUUUCCUCACCACUAAAGUUAAAAACUCCCCACAAAAACCAGUAGUUCCUAGCAAAUAGUCAAGGUGUUCUGCUAGGAAAAAUAGCGCAUCCUUACCAAUAGUAUAGAAUUAGCAAGGAUUCUUUUGACAAAUCUGCAAUGCCUCGUGUACCAGUAAAACAUUUUUGGCCAGGAAAGUUUCCUCUCUAAUAAGCAAUAAUUGAUUAUUGUCUAACUGUUUGGUGGGAAAAUGUUCCUCUCCAAUGCUGUUAUGAACAUUUCUUAAUCCCAUUUAGCAUGCUAAUCUUAAUUCUCUGAGCAAAUUACUGGGUGGUUUUAUUAGAAAAUUUAGCUGCAAAUAGCUUCAAUUUGGCUUCUCAUGUGUCUGUUGUACAUUUUCCAGGUUCUUAUAAGUAUCAAAUUGUUUGGCAAAAUUUUUUUUUAAUGAAUCAUGACCAACGUAGCUGCUCAUUAAAUUUAAACUCAUAAGCCCUAGUAUUUGAUAGCUUUUUGGAAUAUCACUUGGUGCCAACAACCCCCUUUUGCUACUUUGAUAAACAUUCAAUAGAAAACAUACAAAAGCUUUGGUUAGCUAAAAAUAAUUGUUAGCAAAGUAAUACAUCAACAUCCAGCUCUUUCAACAUCUUGAGCCAUACAAAUAGGAAGUGCUUGAAAUCAAUUGGCAAUCCAAAUUUUUUUUAGCUCAUUAACCAUCCAAGAAAUCGCAACUUCAAUAAGUCAUUACAAAAGAAGAUUUCAUCAAGAGAACACCACAAAAAGGAGAAGCAGAAAAAAAAUAUAAGAGAGAGAGAGAGAGAGUUAAACUAGUCAUAUGGACACAUAUUUGUCACCUCAGUAUUUCCAAUUCCUUAAUUCAGUCCAGUUAUCUUGGAACUCUAUCGGCAAUCCAUGGAACAUUUUUUGAAUGACAAUAUGCUGUUGCAACCUUCUGGUGAAGACUUCAAAGGUUCUAUGAUAGGUUGCAUUUUUGUCAUUAAUUCUAUGAUUAUUUUCCUCAUUUAUAUUACCAAAUAUUGUAUUAAUUGAUUGAUUCUACUUAUAUUUGGUAUUUUGUGUCAAUUGUAGGAAGGUGGAGCAAAAAAUAAUAAAAGAGGUGAUUUUUCAAGAGUUUUCCAUUUCAAGAUGGAGUUUACGUGGAGUAUUGGAUGAAAAUUAGGAAACUACCACUUUUUAUUAGAUGUCUUAUUAGGGAACAAUUAGCAAUAGUUGGAGAAGUUUCCUUUUGCAAUUAGAAUUCUAUUUUUAGUUGGCCAAUGGACUGCCGAAAUAAUGGACUUCAAUUAGGAAACAAAGAGAGAAAAAAGGCCGGAAUCCCGCGUGAUUACUACCUUGGAGGGAACAAGAAAAAGGAGACGUCCGCUGGUCUCUUCUUUAGUGAGUCUUUUGGAAAAAACCAAUGGUUAUCGAUGGUGUCCUGCGGAUCUCUCCUGAUGAUGUGUAGCUAAAUCUCCGUUUUCUAGUCGAAUGUCAAUUUGAGGACUCGAUUCCAAACAUAUUUGAUAAGAGAAUAUUUAAUGUACAUUUUGUACAAGUUUGGCAUGAACUUUUGAUGUGUUUUGAGAAGAUUAAAGCCAUAUUUGAACUCUUUUGGUGAUAAAUGCUUAAAUAUUAUGUAAGUGUUCAAAACUUGAUAAAUGAGUGGAUUAAUGCGUUAAUUUUGUGAAAUUGUGAAGGAUAUUGAUAUAUGAAAUUCAUGCACGAGAUGAAGGAAAUGUAAGGAUCGUCUAGAGGAUAAAGUACAAAAGAAACUAGGAGCAAAAAUGAAGAAAAAGGAAAGAAGUGAAAAACUGGAAAUUGAUCAGCACAGAUUUGAGCUCGGAUCCGUGUGAACAAAGGGCGAUCCGAGCCCUCGUCUGCACUUCUGGAGCAGUGCAUCCGAGGCCAGACAAUCUGAGCUCGGAUUAUUAAGAGAAAGACCUCGGAUCAGCCUUGAUCCGAGCUCAGAUCGUAGUGCACACCUCGGAUCCAGGUCUCGGAUCUGCCUCUCUUCUGCAAGUGGCACGGCCGUUUUUUCUCAUUUUCACACAACUUUCCAGCUAUCUUGGGUGAGAGAAUUCGAUGGCACAUGCUUCUGCAACAAAAGGGAAGACAAAAUGAGUUAUUGAUAAGUCAAAACAACAUUUCUUUUGACUUUCUUUACAAAAUCUGAGUUGUUGGAAUCAUGAAGGAGAAGAAAGUGCCUUUCUACCACCUUUUAUGCAGAGAACUAAGGAGAAGUCAGGCAUCACCAUAUGGAGGAGUUUUUCAUCUUGUAACAUUUUUCUCUCUAGCUAGAAGUUCUAAAAACAAGCACUUGGAGAUUUCACUUGUAAUCAUCUUGUACAAGACAUAGCAAAAAUUUGAGGGUUUCACCAUUAAUUGGCUAAGCUUUUCUUUAUCUUUCUUGUACUUGUACUUUAUGAUGUUUUGCAUUAAUAAACUUGUGAGUUUGAUUGUUAUAUUAUUCAUGAGUAGCUAAAUUUCUUUAUCUAGAGAGUAGAUAAAUGAUAUGAAUUGAAUGUGAUUUACACUUGUUAUAUCUUGUAUUAACUUGUCUAUUUGUGCAGUUGUAAUUACUUGUUGUUGUUUGAUCACCAAUAGCAUGUUUAUAGUUGUUAUUAGUCAAUAAGAAUUGGUAGUAACAAUAGAAAAAAUAUGAGUAGAGCUUGAGUUGUAUGUUCAUGAAAAUAGAUGUACACUUAAGUGGAUUAGCUAGCAUUUCAUGAAGGAAAACAGAGUAGAACUGGUAGUUCACCAUGAAAAUAGGGAAAACUGGAUUACUCUAGGCCAUUUUAUCAUGAGAAUGAGAUUUGGCAAUAUUGAAAAUGAAUCCCUGGUUAAACAACAAUAAUAACAAGAGGUAAAUCUAUUCAUUUGUGUUGUUUAUACCAUAAGUGGAAUCUACAUCCCUAGAUUUAUUCUUGAGUGAAAUUUAUCCAUUUGCAUUUAGCAUUUGUUAAACUAGAUUUAUAGACAACAACAUUAUAAUUUCUCUGCUCAAAUUCAUUUAUAAGUCUAAAUAAUAGAGAAAAUAAGGGCCUAGUACUUAUUUAAAUUGCUCCUCGUGGGAUCGACUUGAUACAUACCUUACAUUACGAUUUCGACCUGUAUAGUUGCAGUCAACGGGUAUAAAAUCGAAUUCAAACUUGCAUUGAUAUAAAAAUCCCGUCACAUAUGUGAGAUCGAAUUAUUUUACUUAUUUCUUUUAUUCAUUGGUAUUUGUACAUUUUCUGAUUUAACUUCAUAUACUUGUUAUGUUAUUUGAAUGUCAAGGGCUCGAUAUUCGAAUUAACCUAAUAAUCUACUGUUAGAUUAAUUGAUUGAAUCCCUAAUUGUUCAAUUGAUUAAUACCAGUGGCAACUAGCGUGAUUAGUUUCAUGUUAAGGAAACAUAUGAUCUAACUUAAACGAACCCUCGUAGCGUGUUUGUUAAUUAAGGUUGGCUUUUCUAAUUCUUAUUGCAAUUGAGAAAUUAAAUCCUAUAGUCGUACCUAGGGUUAUUUCUUGGUUAGAAAAAUAGUUAAUGGUCGUACCUUAACUAUCGAAAAAGUAAGAAAAGAUUGGUUGUUUAUCGCGUGUAUAACAACUAUAACCAAUCUAUUAAUUAGUAAUUGAAUUAUCUUUGCAUCGAUGAUCAGUUGAAAGGACCAUGUCUGAAAAGUUGCACCUUUGGCUAGAGUUGUAUUGGUUAUUGAUUAAUUCCUGUUUAUUUCUAUUAGUUGUUUCAUUAGUUGAUUAAUUAGUUAUUUUAUAUUUUUCAAAAACCCCCCAUACUUCGGACUCUGGAAGAAAUGAAUUAUCCCCAAUCCCUGUAGAUUCGACCCUGCUCACCGCUAUAUACAAAUUUGUAUUUUUCUUGAGUAGGUAAUUAUUAUUGCACAUGUUCAACACCUGUCAUUCUAUAACUGUAUACAGAGUCAUCUUUUUCAAAGAUUUCCCAUGCUGCAAAAUGUACUCUACGAGCUUUAUUUCACCCUGUUCCUGAAGAGUUUGCUUGAUCCGAUAUACCCGAAUGGGAUGGUUAUUUCUUUCACAAAUAAUUAUGAAUUUGUAGACAGGGCAAGUAGGGUCGUAUCCACAGGGACUGGGUAUAUUUGUUUCUUAAGAAAUCCAAAAUAACAUAGGGGGGUGAUUUUGUAGGAACGACGACAAUAAAAUAAAUUCAAUUAAGAAAAUAAAAAUAAAUAACUAAUUAGAGAUUAAACAACAAUUCACUGAACUUAGAGUAAUAAUAAUUAAAGGCCUAAAUCAAUUAAAACAAGGAAGCAAUUAAAAAUAAAAUAAAGUAGGCAACUAAAAGUCAAAUGGCAAUUCACUGAAAUCAAGAUAAUAUUAAUUAAAGAUCUAUCCAAGAAAUAAUUUCAGCAAUGGUGCACCUAAUUGAUCAUUGAAGCAAAGGCAAUUCCAAUUAUUUAUCAAUAAAUAGGUUAUAACUACCAAACAAGCGAUGGCAGUCAACCCCUCCUUAUUGUGUCGGUGAUCAAGGUACGCCCGUUAACCACUAGUCUAAUUGAGAAAUAACCUUAGGUACGCCCGUAAGAUUUAAUUCCCCAAUUGCCUUACGUAUUAGAGGAGCCCUAUUCUAACCAAAUAACACACUACCAGAGUUAUUUCAGAUUAGCCCGCGUAUCCCCCUGACAUGAAUCUAAUCGUGCCAGUUGUCACUAUUUUAGGACAAUUAAACAAUUACGGAUUUAAUGCCCUAAUUGACAAAUGAGUACCAAAUCAAUUAAUUAUCUGGAUCCAAGACAAUCAAUUAAUUAAAUAACCAUAGGCAUAGUAAUUCAGGAAUAUACGAAUACCAAUAAAUAAAAGGGAAAGACUAAAAUUAAAUCGAUCUCACAAUUUUAGGCAAACCAAAGCCUCCGUUGUCCCUCGGUUAGAUUGAGAAAAUUAGCUCAUGUUCGAUGCGAAAAACCCACAAGAAAUUGUAAAGAGAGCCGCGGCCAUUGUCCCUUGAAAUUGGGGAAAUUCAAUUCGGUUCCAAUCAAGAAGGGAGGCAAGCUACAGAAAGUUAUCAAUUCAGUUUUGCUUGUCUCCCACAUACGAAGGGAAAAACUACUCUAAGAACCAGGGAAGAAAAGUCAAAAGUAAAGCUAUCCCCCUUUUCUCCUGACAUGCGCAGGAGAAGUCCUAAUCAAAAGCUUCAAAAGGAAGAAAAAAAUCUCAUGCUAAGCUAAAGCUAUCCGCCCCCUUCUUCUGUGCAGUUUUUUUCUUAUAUAGUCAGGCUCCGUGCGGCGGCUCCAGGGAGAAGAACGCUUUUGCCAAAAUGACCAAAAAGGCUCAUGUCCCUUCUUCCAAAAAUGCCCUUGCAAGCCUUCUAUUUAAUUUCUUUCCCGAUGACUGUCAAAGUGGCAUUGAUUGUGGUAUUUUUGAUCUACUCUCUGAAAUAAAUGCAAAUUAAGAAAAAUGAAUAGAAUCCAGCAAUUAAUCCACAUCAAGUCAGGUAAUAGGGGAAAUUAAUAAUAAAAUAAAUGAUAAAAUUGCAACCUAUCAUUAAGUAACAUUAGGAUGAUUGCUAUUUAAUUAAAAUUGUCCCACGGUUUAAUUUUGGUGAAGAACUUUUGCUUCUUUUGUUUCUAAAUCAUCAACACUGUGAUCCGUAAGUGGUAACCUUGGGGCUCAUAGAGAGAUGUUCUGCUAGUUCAAAUGGUUACUCUUUAACUCUUCUGUAUUGUCCAAACACUCAUUAAAUUCUAACAGCCAUUCCUUUUCAUUGUAAUGAUUGAUAUGAUUUUGCAACCUGGCAAGCUCUUUUUGAAGCUCAUGCUUUGUUAUAUCCUCAUGCAACAUUUUAGCUUUCACCUCAAAUUCUAUAGUAUUAGGCCUGAGAAUCCACACGUUCCACAACAUGUUAAGAGGAACAUCUUUGUCUGUUAUUUCAAAGUUGUGUGUGAAUUUUAAUAAUUAUGUUUGUGUCAAUAACUUGAUUAACCUAGAAGGAUUUUUUUUCAUGUUGGGUCAACUUGAUCUUCACAAAACUCCCUAUUAAUUAACCCUCAAACUUCUCAGGGGCCUUUGCAAGAUCCUCAACUAGAGUUCUUCUUAAAUAAAUAAGAUUAAUGUUUUCUUGAAUGAAUAUAGAAGAAUGACUUCUAGGAGUUCUUAAACCUGUAGUCUUUUGGUGUUAUUCCAUGCAUAGCAUCCUCAUCAAGUAAUUGUCAGUAUAUAGGCUUUUAGUUUUGUUAGGUGUUUGAAUGUUUCGUGCAUAAACUGUGCCAUUUAACUAGCUAAUAUAAUAAUGAAUAGCAAUUUACGAUUUUUAAAUUAACUUUAACUCUAUAAUUUGUUGCAAAAAUAUAUAUUACUCUAGAGUGAAAGUGUUGGGAAAGGGGUACCAGUAUAGGUACAAAAUAUCAGAGUUAGCCCAAGAUAAAUUUCUCUUUCCCCAAAUACCAGUUAAAAUAGGAAUAAACCAAAUCACCAAAUAAUAAUACCAGUAGUGAUAAUAAAAUGAAAGGAAAAAUAAAAGGCACAGGACACCAAGAUUUUUACGUGGAAAACCCAAUUGGGAAAAAUCACGAGACCUAAUCCAGUCAAAAACUUCACUAUCACAAUAAUGGGAAUACACAGGUCUAUCCGAAAUAUUCGGAUGAUAAUAAUAUCACCAAUACCAACCAAGCCAAUCUACUAUAAAAUCACCCCCAAAAACUACAACUGUCAAAGAAGUGAAUUUGGAAAGAUGUUACCAAACGAAGAGGAAAUCUAAAAUCUGAACCGAUACAUGAGUAGAGCUUGUCGAGAGGAUCACGUGUUUAAAAUUUCGUCUCAAUCGGGUUUCGAAUCGCCCUCCAAUCAAGACCUUGAAGUCUCUCUCUCUCUAGCCUUUCUCUCUCUUCGUCUCACUCAAGGAGGUGGCGACUGACCUUUUUUCUUCACACGAAAAUCGAAGAAAAGGAAUCAUUUCUUGCGGCUGCUGCUGCCUUUUUUUUUAUAUCACUUGAGAAACCCUCAAGUGUUAGUUAUGUGGGUUGGCCCACAAAUGGGCUGGCCCACGACAUCAACAAUCUCCCCCUCCAGCUCAUUUGGGGGGCUCCAUCAAGCCUGCUUCUUGUUUGCAAAACAAGAGUUUCUCCUUAGGCAAUGCUUUGGUAAACAUGUCAGCACCAUUAUCAUCUGUAUGCACUUUCUCAAGUGUCAACAACUUGGAAUCCAGUACUUCCCGAAUCCAAUGAUAUCUCACAUCAAUAUGUUUGGAUCGAGAGUGAAAUGUGAAGUUCUUACACAAAUGAAUAGCGCUCUGACUGUCACAGUAAAGACUAUACUUGUCUUGUUUCAUACCCAACUCCUGAAGGAAUUUCUACAACCAAAGAGUCUCCUUACAUGCUUCAGUAGUUGCAAUAUACUCUGCCUCCGUAUUAGAAAGAGCGAUACACUUCUGUAGCUUACUUUGCCAAGACACUGCUCCCCCUGCAAAAAUCAUUAAGUACCCAGAUGUGGACUUCCUAUUUUCAAGAUCACCUGCCAUAUCUGCAUCAGUGUAUCCAUCUAGCAUAGUUUUACCAUUGCCGAAACAUAGACACAAUCUAGGAGUUCCCUUGAGAUACCUAAGAAUCCAUUUGACAGCAUUCCAAUGCUCCUUACCAGGAUUAGAGAGAUACCGACUGACUAUUUCAACUGCAUGAGCAAUAUCUGGUCUGGUGCAAACCAUAGCAUACAUCAAGCUACCAACGGCCGAAGCAUAAGGAACCUUUUUCAUGUCUUCUUUAUCUUUCUCACUUGUAGGACACUGCUUGAUAUUCAGUUUAAAGUGACCUGCAAGUGGAGUUGAGACUUCCUUAGCAUUGCUCAUGUUAAACCUGUUGAGCACUUUCUCAAUGUAUUUUUCUUGAGACAACCAAAGCUUCCCAUUUUGCCUGUCUCGUGAGAUUUUCAUCCCCAAUAUCUGUCUAGCCGGACCCAAAUCUUUCAUUGCAAAGGAUUUACUUAACUCCUUUUUCAACCUGUCAAUCUUCACAGUAUCAAGACCAACAAUCAACAUGUCAUCAACAUAUAAUAAGAGAAUAACAAAAUCACCAUCUGAAAGGUUUUUCACAUAAACACAGUGAUCAGAUGUAGUCCUGUGGUACCCAUGGUCUGUCAUGAAGGAAUCAAACUUCUUAUACCAUUGUUUCGGUGCCUGUUUCAACCCAUACAAGCUCUUCUUGAGACGGCAUACAAGAUUUUUCUUGCCACUUUCUCUGAACCCCUCCAGUUACUCCAUGUAGAUCUCCUCUUCCAAGUCGCCAUGCAGGAAGGCUGUCUUCACAUCAAGUUGCUCGAUCUCCAAAUUCAAACUGGCUGCAAUACCAAGAACAACUCGAAUUGAGGACAUUUUUACCACAGGAGAGAAGAUUUCUUCAAAAUCUAUACCUUUCUUUUGACUGAAUCCCUUCACAACCAAUCUUGCUUUAUACUUUGGUUGUGAGGUGUGCUCCUGAGUUUUCAACCUGUAAACCCAUUUGUUCUUUAGAGCUCUCUUACCCUUAGAUAGUUUCACUAAAUCAUAAGUAUGAUUCUUAUGCAGGGACACCAUUUCCUCUUGCAUGACUCGCAACCAAUCUUCUUUGUUCUCAUGCUCUAAAGCCUCACAAUAUGACUCAGGCUCUCCUCCAUCUGUUAACAACAAAUAUUCAUGAGGAUUAUACCUGCUAGAAGGUCUCCUCUCUCUGGUAGAUCUCCUAAGCUCAUCUUGUGGUGGCGGUGGUGGUGUAGGUGGCUCCUCAUGUUCAGAUUCAUCAGCAGUAGGAUUAUUACCAUCAUUAAUAUCCUCUCUCUGCUCCGCCUCAGCUCCCCCUUGAUUAAAAUCAACAGGUACUGAAAUUGGAUCUGGAUCUGAAUUUGAGCUAGCAGGAAUGUCAUCUGAGAAUUUUGAGUUGUCACUUUUAUCAAUGUUUUCAAUGGUUUGAUCUUCAAAGAAGACAACAUCUCUACUCCUGAUCACUUUCUUCUCAAUAGGAUCAUACAACCUAUAACUAAAAUCUUCAAUUCCAUAAUCCAAGAAAAUGCAUUGCUUUGAUUUUACAUCAAGUUUUGACCUCUCAUCCUUGGGAAUAUGAACAAAUGCCCGGCAACUGAAAACUCUCAAAUGCUUAAAUGACACAUCUUUUCCUGUCCAUACCCUCUCUGGGAUAUCACCAUCCAGAGGGACUGAUGGAGAAAGAUUUAUCAAAUCAAUUGCAGUCCUCAUUGUCUCACCCCAAAAGGGUUUUGGCAAUUUAGCAUUAGAGAGCAUACAUCUAACCCGCUCAGUGAUGGAUCUGUUCAUCCUCUCUGCUACUCCAUUCUCUUGAGGAGUUUUCGGUACAGUUUUCUCCAAUCUGAUUCCAUGGGACUUGCAAUAGAUUUCAAAUGGUUCUCUGUACUCACCACCAUUAUCAGCACGUACACACUUUAACUGCUUACCAGUUUCUCUUUCAACUUUGCUAUGAAAGUCUUUAAACACAUCCAAAACCUGAUCUUUGGAUUUCAAAGUAAAACACCAAACCUUUCUAACAAAGUCAUCAAUAAAAGUAACAAAAUAAAUAGCACCACCAAGAGACUUAUCUUUCGUAUAGCAAACAUCAGUGUGCACCAAUUCUAAAACAUUUAAUUUCCUAGAUGGAGGAAAAUUUUUGAAUGCAACUCUGUGUUGUUUUCUAUAAAUGCAGUCAACACAAGGUUUAAGUGCAUUACCUCUAAUUUCAGGUAGGAGCUGUUUGCGAACAAGUGUCUGAAUCCCCUUUUCACCCAUGUGUCCAAGUCGCCUAUGCCAAAGGUCAAUUGAGGAAUCACGAACUGCGUUCACUUCUCCCUUCCUCAACUUGGCAUGCAUCACGUAGAGGGUACUGUACUUCUUUUCUCUGGCAACAACGAGAUUUCCUUUGCUGAGUUUCCGUUUGCCUCCACCUUGCGAGCUAUAGUAGCCCUUAUCGUCCAGUUUUCCUAUAGAAAUAAAGUUAAGUCGAAUAUCAGGAACAUGUCGAAUAUUUCUCAAUAUCAGCUGACACCCGGUAUCUGUGUCCAAGUAUAUGUCUCCCAUGCCAACAACUUUGCAUGAGAUCUCAUUUCCCAUCCCAACACAUCCGAAAUCUCCUUCGUUUUAGGUUGAGAAGAAAUGCCUGUGAGAAGUAACAAGGUAGGAUGCACCUGAAUCAACUACCCAAUCACUGUCAUAGUGAAUAAUAUUCACCUAACCAUCAUCACAGAACACAAACAUGUCAUCAUGAGCUGCCACAACUGCUGUAGUAUCCUCAUUAUCUUUUUCCUUCGCCUUACCCUUUUUCUCAGCCUGAUCCCGUUUUAGGAUUCUACACUCCUUCAUAUAAUGUCCAUUCUUUUUACAAUAAUAGCAUGCAACAUUUUUUCGCGACUCAGAUCUGUCUCUGGAUUUGUCAUUCCUGUUGUGGGGUUCUCUACUUUUGUUUCUUCCUCUUCUUUCUUUCUUUUCUGUCACCAGGGCCUGGGACUCAUAGACAAUUCCUUGUUCCUUCCUCCUGAAGUCUUCAUUCAUCACGGCCUCUUUUGCAAUAGUCAUGGUCAACACACCAUUCGGAGCUGAAUUACUGAUGGAGACCACCAUGGUUUCCCAACUAUCCGGUAUUGAACUGAAUAAUAAUAAAGCCUGCAUUUCAUCAUCCAGAUUCAAAUUUAAUGUAGUUGCCUGGUUUAUCAAUCCCUGAAAGUUACUCAAGUGUUCAGUCAUAUCUUCCCCAUUCUUAUAUCUCAUUCGAGUAAUCUGCUUCAGACAACUAGUCUUUCUUUCAUACAUACUCUCAAGCCUUUUCCAUAAUAUAUCAGCUCUGGUGUCAUUAGCAAAAUGUUGAAAAAUACUUUGACCAAUCCAUUUUCUAAUAUUACCAACAGUUUUCCUGUACAUAUUAGCCCAUUUUUCAUCACUCAUAUCACUUGGUUUACAUUUAUCCCCUAGAACAAGUUCAAACAAAUCUCUACAAUACAGGUAGUCUUCCAUUCUAGGCUUCCAAAUCAAAUAGUUAGUAGCGUUCAAUUUUAUUAUGCAACCACUAUCCGAAUCAUCCAUUUUUUAACAGGUACAAUUGAGCAGUCCAACCUGACUGCUCUGAUACCACUUGUUGGGAAAGGGGUACCAGUAUAGGUACAAAAUAUCAGAGUUAGCCCAAGAUAAAUUUCUCUUUCCCCAAGUACCAGUUAAAAUAGGAAUAAACUAAAUCACCAAAUAAUAAUACCAGCAGUGAUAAUAAAAUGCAAGGAAAAAUAAAAGGCACAGGACACCAAGAUUUUUACGUGAAAAAUCCAAUUGGAAAAAAUCACGGGACCUAGUCCAGUCAAAAACUCCACUAUCACAAUAAUGGGAAUACACAGGUCUACCCGAAAUAUUCGGAUAAUAAUAAUAUCACCAAUACCAACCAAGCCAAUCUGCUAUAAAAUCACCCCCAAAAACUACAACUGUCAAAGAAGUGAGUUUGGAAAGGUGUUACCAAACGAAGAGAAAAUCUGAAAUCUGAACCGAUAGAUGAGUAGACCUUGUCGAGAAGAUCACGUGUGUAAAAUUUCGUCUCAAUCGGGUUUUGAAUCGCCCUCCAAUCAAGACCUUGAAGUCUCUCUCUCUCUAGCCUUUCUCUCUCUUCGUCUCACUCAAGGAGGUGGCGGCUGACCUUUUUUCUUCACACGAAGACUGAAGAAAAGGAAUCACUUCUUGCGGCUGCUGCUGCCUUUUUUUUCAUAUCACUUGAGAAACCCUCAAGUGUUAUUUAUUUGGGUUGGCCCACAAAUGGGCUGGCCCACGGCAUCAACAGAAAGUAUGUUAAAAUUGGAAAAAAAAUUGAUAAACAUAUUCAUAUUAAUGGUUUUUGGAAAUUUACCUCCUCAAUUAUCUAUAAAUAUGAAAAUUGUUGUUUAAUGUCUGUAAUCUAUCAUAUCUUUAUCUAAUAUUCGUAUAUUUGAUUGAAAUUUAUUCAAUCACGUAUACCAUCAAUCUAGUGGCAUUUAAAACAAGAAAGUGUAUAACUACUCAAACAGUACGGUGUUAUUUGAUAUAGUAUCCAAAAAAUGCAUCUAUUUCAUAAAUUUAAUUUUUCAACAAUAUUAAAUAGUUCUCCUAUUUGAGUUUCGCUAUAUGAGUUGUAUUAGCACUUCUCAUAUCAAGUGCUAUGCUUGUUCAUGUUUUGAAUUUGUAGGUCAUAACGCAUAAGCAUCAGCUCGUCUGGCCUCUCUUGCUGUACAGGAUUCCAUUCUUUAGUAAGGAUAUUUCCAUCAGUGCUCCUCUUCAAGUCAUAUUUUGUAGCACCAUUAUAUGUCUGACUAAGAAUUUGAAUGGAAAAUUGUUGGACGCCAGAGUGCAAUUGGUCAGUCACAGGCAAGGCCUACCUUUUCUCCGAGUUGCAAAGGUGAUUAGAGCACCAUCCAUUUUUAAAUAUCAGUUUCUGCUUUGUCCACCGAGUCAACUGAUACGAAUUCUAGGUAUUCUUGUAAACUUUUGUCUUUUUGCUGGUGAACGGAUUUGCUUUAUUAUAUUUCUACAAUCUGCUUGUCCUUGAAAUUUUACCUGUUGAUCUUUUCCCUUGCACUUUUAUCCACUAUUAUGCUACAUGUAAUUCAAUGGUUGAAAAUUAUAGAGUAUGCUUCAACCUUACUAGUGUUUUGAUAUUUGCAACAAACUAAUGAAUGAUUGAUGCAUGGUAGUUGGAGUUAAAAAAGGAACGCUUGCCAUCUCUUCGGUGUCUAAUUUUGGUGCUUUGUUAUUUGGCCAACCAUUUGCUAACAGACAAAACUUGGUAUAGAGACAAUUCAAAUUCUUGGAAUUUUGACACCUCUUUAUUCGACAGACAGUUAAGGUGAUUAUAAUUCUUAUAUGUUUGCUAUUAUUGAAAGAAUGAGCUACAUUUUCCAGUAUCCAGUGGUUUCAUUGAUGGUACGAGAUGUUUUGAGUAUUCCUGUUACUACUGGCUUUAGAGUCUACUUUCAGCAUUGAUGGUCAGAUUAUCAACAAAUACUGAAGUACCAUCUUGAGAUCUUCAUGUGGUCUUCAAAACAGUUGAAAGAAACAUUUUCUACAAGUUCUCUUGUUUAAAGACCAAAUUCUGUAGAAUUAAGAAAAGGAUUUGUGAACUUGAACUUGAACUUGGGCAGUCUAACCAGGUAAUUGAUGGACAAAACUGUGUAAUCUCUAAGAAGUUUCAGAAUAAUCAGAUGGCAUGCAUAAUUCUUGUGGCAGUUUUUGCUUGAUACGGUGUCUCUUUAAUUACUUCCAUUGUUUCCUAUUUCUCUAACAUAUGUACAUUGAUAAGUUUGUUAAAUGCAACCAUUGGGAUUGACCCAAUAGUCAGGGGAAAACUCUUGAAGUUUUCUUUGUUACAAGAUUCAGAAUUCGAACUUUUUGCCUGGUAGUUGAGGUUAGGAAGGGUAUGGGGAAAGAUGGGAAGGGAAAAAAAAGAUAAGUAUGUUAAAUGCACUUAUAUAAUAAAUAUAAGUAUGUUGAUGGUGCAUUUAUAAUCUACUAAAAAGGCACAUAUUCUACUAGAAAAAGCACGUGCGCUACACUUGAUUUUGCUAAACAAAAUAAAAGUAUGUGCUAAGCAUAUAUGAUAUAAGGAUUGAUCUUAUUUAUGGAGAUUUCGUAAAUAUUCUAUUUCAGAAGUAAAAAAUUAAACACAAUCGGAAUUUUCUUUUUUCUUUUUCAAAAUUAGAUGUAGUUAUUAAUUCAGAUCUGGCAUGUACACAAUGAAAACUAAAGGAUGGUAAAACCUGAUAUUGAUGACUUACACACGUUUAUAUCUCUGCUCCUAUUUCUUGAAAUGCUUAGCUGUACAAAUUGUGGGAGUUUCAACAUGUCAAGCUGAUGUUUAAGAGACUAGUAUGUAGAAAUUGUUAGUUGCUCAAAUUUGUAUUUGAUACUACAGUUAUUCAAAGUUAUUAAUUGUAAUGUGCCUUUUCGUGAUCCCCCUAAGUUCCCACAUCAAUUUGUGGCCAACCGUUAGAUUUGGGGCAUUAUGCUUCCACAUUGGGUGAGUUUGGACCGGUGGUGCUAUGGUUCAAAAUAUGCAAGGGAAUACAAGAGCUAAGUGUUUUAAUCCCACGUCAAAUGGGAAGAAAUGAAAAGGAUUGGAAAAUAAGCUCAAGGUAUAUGGGGUAAUAAUAAAUUGGUUAAUGACCUUUUUGCUGAGGUUUCUGUCCAGAAAGUCAUUGGGUUGGUGCUUAGACAUAGAGCAUUACACUUUUCUUCCUACCAAUGCCUCAAAUCUAAAUUAAAUUUGUGUCUAAGAAGAUUUUGGAAAAAGUUCUGACUCAGAACAUUUAUUUUCAUGAUGAACUAUAUUGCACAUUAGUAGAAGAAGAUUUUGGAAAAGUUUCUGACUGAGAGCAUCUAUUCCCAUGACAGACUCUGUUAAUUUAGUGUCAGAAAUGAUGUGGUAAUCCAAAUCCGGCAUAUAUAUAGGCUAAUUUUUGCUAGGCAUCUACUAAAGUGAUUUGAUGAUUUUGAUAGAUCCCUGCCGACUAUUCAUUUUAAAAAAGGCUAGGUUAGUGAACUCAUCUAUUUUCCAUUUUAAGGGCCUCCUUAAGUAGUCUUCUUUAGUGCAAUACUUAUCCAGAAGUGCAUGAAAUUCAAUACUUAUUAUGCAAUCUGUGUUAUUAUUUUAAGUCUGUUGUAAAUUUUUGUUUUAAAGAUCAUAAAUGUUUGGUGCAUGAAUAAUAUAUUGAUUUGGCAAUAUUUAGAUUUUCGAAGUUGGCAUUUCACUUUAAAAUGUUUUGGAGAAUUCUUGUUGCAUUGCUUGAAAAACUUUGCUAUAAAAAAGAUUGUUUUGUGUCUAUUGAUCACUCCAAGGAUUGUAAAGUAUGCCUCCUUGAACUUAUGUUAUGAAUCUCAAGGACUGAAGUGGAAAGAAACUUUUAGUUCAGGGGGGAAAUUGUAAUUCAAUUGCUUUUUGACUAAUAAGAGUAGAAUUGGUUGGGCAGGAAAAGUAGCUAGCAAGGAAUAACCAACAUUGCUGACGUGGCCAGUUUGUUAGAAAGUAUUUACGGGAAUCAACUUGCUGUAUGUACUAGAUGGCCAACAGAAGAAUGUAGGCAAUGAGUUGUACCAUUUUCUUUUUCUUGGAUCUGAAUAAACUCUCUUUCUCUCUCUUCUUCUUACUGUCUCAUUUCCUUCCUUCUCUUUUCUUCCGGCUCAAGACAUAAAACUAUUCUUGGGAGACGAGAAUUUUUUAGGAGCACUGGUGACUAGUCUUGUGGGGAGAAAAACAACGAGCCUGUCCUCUUUGUCUUUUUUUUUUCUUUCGUUUUCUAUUUUACUGGAUGCUUAUGCAAUUUACUUCAAUUAAAUUGUGUUGCUUGAUCCCGAUGAUGUGCAACUAAAUUUUCCAUUUCUAGCCAAGGAAUAACGUGGAUUUGGGUCAUCAACAAUUGUGAGAUCUAACUAUUUUUAUUUUUUUCUUUUAUUCGUUAGCAUUCGUAUAUUUUCUGGUUUAAUUACUCAUGGGUGUUAGUUGUUUGAAUAUCAAAAGCAUAUAUUUAAAUCAAGCUAACGAACUAUUGCCAGUUAAGACAGUUUGGCAGUUAGGAAUUAAUCAAAGAGAUGGCUGAGAACUCCCAACAGUUUGGCACAAGAGAGGACGUUUCAAGUUAUCGUGUGAAUGAGGUGAGCAUUUCAUCGAUGCAAGAGCAAUUGGUUGAGUUAAUUUCUAUGUUUCGCCAAAUAGCAAUGGGGAAGGUGCAACAAGUCAAGAAAUGUGAAAUUUGCAAGGAUGUAAACCAUCCCACCGAUGAAUGCCUAAUGCUACAAGAUGAUAACACAAAACAAGUAAACAUGGGUAGGUACGUACCCGUGCCCUGUAGGCAGUAUAACCCUUACUCCAACACAUAUAAUCCGGGUUGGAGGGACCACCCAAACUUUAAUUAUGGGGGAAAUAAGCAAAAUUUGGUCCCCAAUAGACAGCAAGGGUUUCAGCCACGACAAUCAUCAAGACCCCAACCCUCUUCAUCUCAUUUGAACACGUCUCUUGAAGAUAUAGUCAAGACGUUGGUCGCUAAUACCUUGCAAUUUCAAUAGAAGACAGAGGCAAGCAUACAAGAUCUCAAAACUUAGAUAAGUCAGAUGGCCUUUUCGAUGAACCGUCUGGAGUUUCAAGGGCAAAGAAGACUACCUUCUCAACUUGAGGUGAAUCUAAAGAACAUAAAUGUCAUGACCCUCAAAAGUGGAAAUGAAGUUGAAGGGCCAAAACCUAUAGUUCCUAAGGACAAGAGCAAAGAUCAAAUUGAAAAGGAGUUGAAAGAAGAAGGAAUAAGCAAGCUAACUCCUGAGGUAAUUUCAACCUCUUUAUUUAAAACUAAUACUAACCUACCACCUUUCUCUAGUAGGUUGGAGAAGCCAAAAAUGCAGGAUAAGAAGAAGGAGAUCUUAUAGGUGUUCAAGAAGGAGAAGAUAAACAUCCCUCUAUUGGAUGCAAUUAAGCAAGUGCCCAAAUAUGCCAAAUUUCUAAAGGAUUUAUACGUCGAUUGAAAGAAAUUGAGAGGCGAUGAAAGAAUUGUGAUGAGGGAGAAUGUUUUAGCUGUGUUACAAAAGAAACUUCCACCCAAAUGUGAAGACUCAAGUAUGUUUUAUAUCCCUCAUCGUAUUGAAAAUACUAAGACCAGAAAGACUAUACUAGAUCUAGGAGUUUCCAUUAAUGUGAUGCCGAAAAAUAUCUAUACCUCCUUAAACCUAGGACCUUUAAAGGAAACAGGCAUUAUAAUUCAGCUAGCCGAUCGGACUAAUGCAUAUCCUGAUGGAUUAGUUGAAGAUUUUUCAGUUCAGAUUAAUGAAUUAGUAUUUUCAACUAACUUUCAUUUGCUUUACAUGAAUGAUAAGCGUUCACUAAAUUCAUCACCUGUUAUACUAGGGAGACCCUUUUUGAGUAUAGUCGAAACAGAAAUAAAUGUCAAACAGGGCACACUUACAAUGAAAUUUGAUGGGGAGGUGAUCCAUUUCAGUAUAUUUAAAACCACGAAAUACCUAUCUGACUCCCAUACUAUUUUUGCCAUGAGUGUAAUUGACCCUGUGGUAUAGAAAAUUUUUGAGAUUGAUGACAGGGAUGAACUAGAAGUUGUUCUCACCAAAUAUCUUGAGUUGGGGACAACCUAUGAUGUGGCGUUGAGUGAGGAGUUGAAAUGCAUAGUUAGAGCACUACAGUCAAUGGCACCUACUAUAAUAAGGUAUGAACUUGCACUACUCUUUAUACCCGAUUCUAAUCAAAGGUUGCUACCUUCAGUGAUGCAAGCACCUGAAGUGGAAUUGAAAACCCUGCUGGGUCAUUUGAAGUAUACAUUCUUGGGUGAUAAAAAUAUUUUUCCAAUUAUCAUUUCUGCCACCUAAUCAAGAGGACAGGUUGAUCCGAAUCCUUAGGAACCACAAAGAGGUGAUAGGAUGGAUAAUAACUGACAUUAAAGGCAUAAGUCCCUCUGUGUGCAUGCAUAGAAUAUGGCAUAAAGAAGGUGCAAAGCCUGUAAGACAAGCACAUAGACGGCUAAAUUCCCUAAUGAUGGAAGUGGUAAAAAAGAAAAUACUCAAGUUUCUAGAUGUGGGGAUGAUUUAUGCCAUCUUUGAUAGCCUAUGGGUGAACCCAGUGUAAAUGGUUUCAAAGGAGGCAGGAGUCACAAUUGAAGUCAAUCAUGAUGGGGAGCUUGUUCUUGCUCACAAAUCAACGAGAUGGCGCCAGUGCGUCGAUUAUCGGAAACUAAAUGCAAUCACAAAAAAGGAUCAUUAUUCUCUUUCUUUCAUUGAUCAAAUCAUUGAAAAAUUAACUUAUCGUGGUUAAUACUGUUCUCUUGAUGAUUUUUUAGGGUAUUUUCAAAUUGGAAUAGUACUGGAGGACUAGGAGAAAACUCCUUUCACAUGCCCAUUCAAUACCUUCGUAUAUAGAAGAAUGCCCUUUGAAUUGUGUAAAACUCCCGCAACCUUUUAGAAGUGUAUGGUAAGUAUUUUCUCCGAAUAUGUUGAGAAAAUAAUAGAGGUCUUUAUGGAUGAUUCCGUGUCUAUGGUGAUUGAUAAGUGCAUAUUUUACGUGUUUUAAGUGUGUUUUAUUAGUUAGUUUUGGUGUGUUUUAUUAGUUAGUUUUGGUGUGUUUUAUUUAGUUUUAUAACUAAUUAACUAAGUUACUAGUGAAAAUAUGCAUUUUGUGGUUUAAAGUGUGAAAGUUGCAUUUCUGUGGAUUUUAAUGGUAAAAACUUCAUGUUUUUAUAGAUUUAAUGAUUCAAUCAUCAAAUACCAUGAAUUGAGAAGAUAAUUGGAUGAUUGAUGAUGGUUUGAAAUGAUAAAAAAGAGAAUAUAAAACGCAAGAGAUGAAAUGCAAUUAAAGGAAGUUUUCUAGCUUUGACACCUUGUGGUAUUUCGGGUAUAUCUUAAGUCACAAACAUUGGAUUGAGGUGAUUCUUGAACCAUUUUGAAGAUAACCAAUAGAUCUAUAUUUAAUAUGAGACAUCGAAGUCCAGUUCAAUUGUUUUCAUUGUCAAAAAAUUGAAAUAUAGAACUGCAUUUUCAUGAUCGAAAGGUGAAACAGAACUCUGACCAGUUAAGGGUAUUUUAGUUAUUUUUCGGUCCACAGAGCUCCAAAUUGGAUGAUUAUUGAGGCAUUGGAAAGCUAACUCAAAAGAUACAACUUUCAUGUUUUCCAUAAGAGCUAAUUUAGCCUCCAUCAUUGAGAAAAUAUCAGUUGAAAUUGGACAAAAAAUAGAGUCAAGAUGAAUUCUACCCAGAAAGUGCAAACCUGCAAAAGUAAUAACGCGUAGACAAUUCACAACCUAAGGUCGCUCCAAUUUCGGCUGCAACUUGCUCUUCAACUUGUGUUAUGUUCAAGCAAGCUUUUUGACCUAUUUUCUUGCAAGAAUUUUGGUGGAAAGUGACCAAGAUAGCUGCCAAAGAAGCUUUACAACUCAAAUCUAGCUUGUUUAUGGUCUUAAGAGGAAUCUUAACAUGAUUUAACACUUUGUCUUUUGCAUGGAAUUCCUCUAUAAAUAGCAAUCUUUGGAGACUAUUUUCACAACUUUGGAAGGCUAGAAAAAUUUCACAAAAAUGUAGUUUUCACUAGAGUUUUCUUAGUUCAUUAGUUAGGGUAGUAUAGUAUAGUUAGAAUAGUUUAUCUUUCUUGUAUUUAUAGUUUGAUUUGGAUGAAAAUUUGAAAAGCAAAGAUGGAGAGAUAGAACUCAUGUGACAGGAGUGAUUUCUCUCCUUUCCCUUUCUCUUUUGUAUUUAAGUUCAUGUUUAACUAUAAUACAAGUUUGGAUCUUGUUUUCAUGUUUUGCUAAAGUUUAUGCCUAGAGUUAUGGAUGAACUUUCUAUAUCUUGUUAGUGAUAUUUACUUGGUUAUUUGAUGAUAUUAUUUUGAACAAGUUAUUUAUCACUUUUGCUUAUUUAAUCAUGAUUAACCAGCCAUUAAUUGUGAUAAUCUUAAGGUGUUAAGUUUGCAAUGAGAAUUGAAUUUAACACUAGUUCAAGGAAGUGAUAAACCUAGGGAGUACACUCACGAGAGUAGAGGUGCACUUUUGUGGCUUUAGUGACUUGUUUCAUGUCAUUUCAUAGAAGAAAUAAACUUGUAGUUAAUUUCAUAAAUACGAGAGUAGGUACGGUUUAGCUAUAAGUAUAGUUGAUUCACCACGAGAGUAGGUUUCACAUACAUUAAGAAAUUACGCCAUAACUAGCCAAGAUAAUAGCAUUCACUUAACCGGUAACUUCAUUUGCAAGAAUAGUAAGGAAUUCCAUACCUCUAGGAGUUUCCUAUUGUAUUUUUGUUACUUUUAUAGUGUAGAUUUAAUUUAUUGCACUAGUGAUAGUCUAAAUAAUAAAGGAGUUCGAAAAACAUCGGUAAUUGAUAAUUUUCUCUGUGGGAUCGACACCUAAUACCCCUAUACUCAAUAAACAACUCGUAUACUUGCAAAAAAUCAUGUGUGGGGUAUUUAGGAUUUAUAAAUGUAAAAUUUGAUUGUGGAAUGAACUAAUUGUUAUGUGUAUACCCCGCGCUCGUCAGUGAUAGAUUUGAUGAGUGACUUAAGAAUUUGACUCUAAUUGUUCAAAGAUGCAUCAAAACUAAUCUUGUAUUCAAUUAAAAAAAAUGUCAUUCUAUGGUUGAGUACGGAAUAGUUCUAGGUCAUGUCGUAUCAUCUAAGGGUAUUGAAGUUGAUAAUGCAAAAAUAGACCUUAUAUCUUCCUUACCGUACCCCACUAAUCUGCGAAAAGUAUGUUCCUUUUUGGGACAUGUAGGUUUUUAUUGGAGAUUCAUCAAGGACUUCUAAAAACUUGGAACACCAUUGUUUAGACUCUUGCAAAAGGACGUAACAUUUAAUUUUGAUGAGAAAUGCAAGAAGGCGUUUGAUUGUUUAAAGGAGUUGUUGAUUUCCCCACAUAUCAUCAUAUAACAUCCAGACUGAAAUCUCCCAUUCGAGAUCAUGUAUAAUGCAAGUGACAGUGCAAUAGGGGCGUUACUGGGCCAAAGGACCGGAAAGGCUGCACAUGCAAUCUAUUAUGCAUCUAAGGCUUUGAAUGGAACUCAACUCAAUUAUACAAUCACAGAAAAUGAGCUUUUAGCAGUUAUUUUUGCUUUAGAAAAAUUUCGUUCUUAUUUAUUAGAAGAUAAAGUUAUUGUGUAUUCUGACUAUACAGCGCUAUGGUACUUGAUGACCAAGAAGGAUGCUAAACCAAAGUUGAUAAGAUGGAUUUUGCUUUUAUAUGAGUUCAAUUUGAAAAUUCAUGAUAAAAAGGGAGGAGAGAAUUUAGUUGCCGAUCAUUUUAGUCGAUUGCCUAUUGUUAAGGAUGAUUUUAUAUUGAGGAAAACUUUUCCUAAUGAGCAACUAUUUUUUACUAAUCCCUCUCGUCCUUGGUAUGCGGAUAUUAUUAAUUUCUUGACCACUAAUCAAUUGCUUGCACAUUGGUCGAAAACAAAAUGAGAUAAGCUCAAAUGUGAUGCUAAGUAUUACUUAUGGAAUGACCCCUAUUUAUAGAGGCAAUGUGCAGAUCAAGUACUGCGUAGAUGUGUAAUUGAGAGUGAAUUUAAUUUAAUUUUAACAUUUUAUCACUCUUAUGCAUGUGGAGACCAAUUUAGACCACAAAGAAUAGCUCGUAAAGUAUUAGAAAGCGAUUUUUAUUGGCCUACAAUUUUCAAAGAUACAUACUUGUUUUGUAUGUCAUGUUAUAGAUGUCAAAGGAUAGGAAAUAUUUCUCAUAGAAACUAGAUGCUACAAAUCCCUAUGAUUUUUUGUGAAAUUUUUGAUGCAUGGGGUAUUGAUUUUAUGGGUCCAUUUCCUUUGUCUUUUGGUUUCCUUUACAUUUUGUUGGCCAUAGAUUAUGUGUCGAAGUAAAUGAAAACAAAAACCACACGAACUAAUGAUUCUAAAGUGGUUGCAUAUUUCAUUCAAUCAUAUAUUUUUGUUCGUUUUGGGGUACCACGAAUUAUAGUAAGUGAUUGAGAAAAACAGUUUUGCAAUAAAAUGUUGACGGCUCUAUUUCGUAAAUAUGGAGUGACUCAUAAGGUAUUUACAUCCUAUCACCCCAAACGAAUGGUCAAGUGAAAAUUUCGAAUAGGGAAAUUAAAUAUAUAUUGGAGAAGAUGGUUCGUCCCGAUAGGAAUGAUUGGAGUUCAUAAUUGAACGAUGUACUCUGGAUUUAUAGGAUAGCCUAUAAGACUCCUAUAAGUAUAUCUCCCUAUAGGUUGGUAUUUGAGAAGCCGUGUCAUUCAUCGGUUGAGCUCGAGCACAAAGCAUAUUGGGGGAUCAAGAAAUGUAACAUGGAUCUUGAUGAGGUUGAAAUACACAGAAAACUCCAAUUACAAGAAUUGAAAGAGUUGAAGAAUGAUACUUACGAGAAUGCAACACUAUAUAAAGAGAAGAUUAAGGUUUUUCAUGACCAAUAAGUUGCAAGGUAAUCAUUUAUAGUUGGGCAAAGAGUUCUUCUCUAUCAAUCUUGUCUAAAGCUCUUGCUAGGUAAGUUGUGCUCUCGUUGGGUUAGUCCAUUUGUUGUGAUUAAUAUUUUUCACUAUGGUGCUAUGGAAAUUCAGAGUAUGCAGACAGAUAAGAAAUUUGUCGUUAAUGGCCAUCAUUUUAAACCCUAUUAUGAAAGUGUUUCAAUGGAGAAUGUGGAGAUAAUAAAUCUUGAAGAUCCCACUUAUGCUGCUUGAGCAAUAUUCGACCAUGUCUAACCAAAGAGGUUAAAAAAAGACGCUUAUUGGGAGGCAAUCAAAUUCUUUUUUUAUUGUUUGUUCACUAAUAUUAUGUGUUUCACUAUGUUUAUCUUAGGUUUUGGUAUUUUAAUUUUAAUUUUUAAUGUUUUAUUGGUUAGAAGACUUUCUCCCAACAAGACGUGCCCACGCCUUAAGGGUACGUGGUAAUGCACAAAUAUCCAAUUCCAUCAUCAGAAAACUAUGGACCAACAUAAUGUGCCCACGUCUUGAGGGUAUGUUGUAAUUCAUAAUUAGCCAACUUUAUCAUCAAAAGAGUUUCAACCAAUAAGACGUGCCCAUGUCUUGUCCUAGCAAGGGAAAAAAAACAAAUUGAACCCAAAAGAAUUUUUUUCUUUCCUUUGUCUUUUCCCUUUUCUAUUUCUUUUCCUUUCCUUCUUUCUUUCUUUGUUCUUUCUUUUUUUCUUUCUUUAUUUCGCUCUUUCUUUUCCCCAGCCGCACGGCCAAAACUCUAUUUGCUGCUUGCCUACCAUCCACUGUUGUUGCCAUUCGCUAGUUUGUCUCUGCUACCAUUGCUAUCAUCGCCGUUCGUCUAAGCCUAUCGCUGGUUUCGCCGUCGCCCGUCUCUAGUUUUGCCGUCGCUUGCUACUGUGCCAUUCACCGCUGCUCGCGCUGCCAUGAACGUCCAUCCUCUGCCAGCGACAGCCAUCGCUCCGCACUUUCUCUGUUGUCUUGUUUCUACUGACCCAAUUUUUGGUAUUCUUGUCCUUCUCUUUUAAAUAUUGUUGGGUUGCUACUUCGGAGUUUAUUAGAAUUUCUUUUUGCAGGGUUGAUUUAAUUUGUUGAUUGGGUAUUCCUCGAAUUGUUGGAUUGGCACUACCUGACAUCUGCUUGUUUUCUGAUGAUGACCACUAACUUGCACUACUAUUUUGCAUCCAUGGGGAUUCAAUGCUGAUUGGAGGUUAUAAACUGUGGUGAAAUUGCCGCUACUUACUUGCCAAUUGCUGAUUGUUGAUCUUGAUAGGGGGUAUUGUUCUUACAUUUCUUGUUUUGUUAUUAAAUAGUGUCACAUCUUUGGGCUCUUUACUGUACACUUUGAUUUGAGAUUGCUUGGCUAUCUUUAGUCGUUUGGCAUACAUUAGAGGCUUGUAUUUCGCCAUUGUCUGACGUUGUUUACUGCUAUUUUUGGAUUCAGUUAUCUAAAUGGCGAAGAAAAAAAAGACCACUAACGCCAAGACCCCUACGACUAAAACCACUCCCCCAUCCCAACCAACUAUACCCACGAUUGACCCUUCUCCGUCCUUCUUUUUCGAGUAAAUGGGCAUGCUUAGGUAGGGACAAAGAGGUCUAUAUCUCCUCACUCUCCCACUUUGGGGGUAAUUUGACUCUCACCAAAGCCGUCAAUAAGCAAAGAUACUCUAAUUUUUAUGAGUGGCGAAUUAUUCCUUGUAAACAUCUUGACCCUCCCAUCAUGGUUUCUUUGAAUUUCUUUGAGAAUAUUGCAUAGAUGUUUACUGCCAUAGGCUGGCGUUGUUAUGCCGAAAUACGAUGUCCUGCUUUUGUUGAAUUGGUUAGGGAGUUUUACGCCACCUUUCAGUUUGAUCUAUCCAUGGGGUAUUCUAUCACAACCCCGAAUGUGAUUCGAUUUCGAUUGAUGGGUUAGGAGUUUAAGUUCUCCAUUACUUAGUUUAAUUUGGCUGUGGGUUCAUCGAUAGUGAGUAUGCCAAUUUUAAGGAAUAUGCCGAGAGUGCUUGUGAUUAUAUCGAACCAUUUUUCUCUUUUCACACCGAGAUUUGAAAGGACAUUUCUAUUGAUGGUGAUUGUUAUAAUCCUAGCCGGUCCAAGAGCUGUUAUCUCAAGGACCUGAGUUCCUGUUAUAUUCAGCACUUUUUAGCCUAUAAUUACUCAGGUAGGAAAGAUAGUUCCGAGACCUUUUCUAAGCCUAAAUUUUUCUUUAUUUGGUGUAUGACUAAAAUAUCAAAGUUAAUUUGGGCUAUUGGCUAGUUUCCCAAUUCAAGACGGUUAUGGUUAAGAAAAACAAACCUUUGAUUCUUGGGUUUUACAUCACACAUUUAGCUAUUCAUUUAGACAUUGUUGAUCCCUAUGACCAUGAUUUACAUUUGGCUUGUAACAUGGACCCUUUAGAUAUGGUUUGUCUAGAGAAAAUGGGUGUAGUGGGACAGGUUGAUGACGCGUGGCAGUUUACUCUUUCGGGGACCACUUGUGUACUUGUUCAUCGUCCUUCCACGUGUGCUAGUACCUCUUCUACUUCCUGAGUAGCCGAUGGCAAGCCUGGACCAUCUACCUCUGCACCUUCUCCAUUGUCGUCUUGGGAUGCUGAGUGGCAAUACCUUUGUGCACAAGUUCACCAUAUGGAUGAACAGUUGACUAAUCUUGCACUUCACAUGCCCCAGAUGUCCUAGACUUUUUGCGGCUUACUUCCACUAUGUGGGUUUUACGCCGCCAUUCCCGCCUCAUCCAUAGCUGUUUGGAGUCCUUCUCCACAUUCUUCAGGAAAGUUUCGUUGUCCCCUUCCUUUUCUUUUCUUUAUUUCUUCCAUUCGGGACAAUAUCAGAUUUAGGUGUAGGGGGAGUUGUACAGUUGGUACUAUUCAUUUUAGGUGUUUUCAUUUUCUUUUUGUCAUUUGUGAGUAUUUUUAUGGAUAUUUGGGAUCGACAAUGGUUAGUUGAUUCCAAUUUUUCUAUUACCAAGUUUUAUUUAUAAGAAUGUAUCGAGUGCAAUAUGAGUAAGUCUAAGAAUGGCUCCUUGGUGAAUAUUUGAGAUUUUGUGACUUUUGCAAUUUUUGGUUAGCUUUUCUAGGCAUUGUGCAUAUUUUUCUAGUAUUUUUCAUGUAAAUUGGUUCAAUUAUUAAUCUUAGUUCUCCAUGUUUGAGGAAAUGAUGCAACCUUGUGUGAUUUUUAACAUUGUUUUGUUGCUAAUUUGUGAAUAGUGUUUGGCUAUAUUCCGGUGGUUAUCGCUACCUAGUAACCGGGAGUGUUCACCUAAAGUAUCGACUUUCGUGUCAAACAGUAGCGGUAGCUAUGAGUAUGUGGCCCUUAAAUGAUGAAAAGUUGAGUAACCGGAUUCCUUCUUUUGGUAGAUGUCAGAAUUUACAUCAAAAGACUUGAAUGGCUAAGGACUAAAUCUUGUCCCUAAAAAAUGAACAAAAAAAAAAUAAAAAAAUAGAGAAAAAAAAGAAAACAAAAAAAAGAAACUGUGCGAGUAUAGAGUUGAUUAUGUUAGCCUGUCGAUCCAUGGGUUUGAUGUUGAGAUUUUGAUUAAUAGUUGAGUCGUUUGCUGAUCAAUGCUAGUCAAAUGUUUAAUCUUCUUAGAUUAGUUAGUCAGGAAUUGGAGAAGUCCUUGGUUUUAAAAGCUAACCGAAGAGUUAUUUCUUGGAACUUGGCUAUCAAUGCUUGAUGUCUACUUUGAUGAUAUUUUAACAAUAGAUGAGUUGAGUGAUAACCAUUGUUGGGUUUCAGUUACUGAUUUGUUGUUUCUCAUACUUGAGAACAAGUAUGUUCUAGGUGUGGGGGGAAAUUGAUAGGGUGCAAAAUUGUUAUUCAAUUUAUGAUUAGUUUUCCCUUUUAUUUUAGCCAAAUAUUGUUUUAAUUGUCGAAUUCUAUUUAUAUUUGGUAUUUGAUGCUAUUGUAGGGCGGUGGAGCGAAAGUUGCUAAAAAGGGACAAUUUUCUUCAAAGUUGAUUGUCAAGUGCGGAGAUGCGGGAUUUGCACGUAAGAGUUUCCUAAUCCAAGAUGGAGUCUGAGCAGAGUAGCGACUUGAGAUUAAGAAAGUUUUUCUUCUAGAGAUUUGAUUUAAUUAGGAAACAAUUAGCCUUAUCUUUUGGGAGUGGUUCCUUUUUCAAUUAGAAGUAUUUUUAUUCUUGAAAGCAAGAAAAUAGGGGAAGGGCCGUUUGACUUUUAGUACUCGACAAAAAACAAAACUUGGGAGACGAGAAUUUUUUGGGAGCGCUGGUGACUAGUCUCGCGGGCAGGAACAGAACAAAGUUGCUGUCCUCUUUGUCAUUGCUUUUACUCUCAUUUUCUAUUUUAUUUGAUGCUUAUGCAAUUUACGUCAAUUAAAUUGUGUUGCUUGAUGCCGAUGACGUGCAACUAAAUUUUGCUUUUCUAGCCAAGAAAUAACGUGAAUUUGGGUCAUCAACAACUAUGAGAUCAAACUGUUUUUAUUAAUUUCUUUUAUUCAUUAGUAUUCGUAUGUUUUCAAGUUUAAUUGCUUAUAGGAGUUAGUUGUUUGAAUAUCAAAGGCGUUUGAUAUUUAAUUCAACCUAACAAACUAUUGCCAGUUAAAACAGUUAAAUUCGUAAUUGUUUAAUUAUUUUAAAUUAGUAGCGACUAGCGUGAUUGGCUUUACGUUAGGAAGACAUAUGAUUUAAUUUAAAUAAACCCUGAUAAUGUGUUUAUUAAUUAGAACAGGACUUUUCUAGUUUCUAAUGCAAUUAAAGAAUUAAAUUUUAUGGAUGUACCUAGGGUUAUUUUUUGGUUAGAAAAGUAGUUAACUAGUGUACCUUAACUAUUGAGAUACUAAGGAAGAGCUGGUUGUGAUCACAUGUUUGGCAACUAUAACCUGUUUAUUAACCAUAAAUGAAAUAAUUCUUGCAUCGAUGAGCAGUUGUUUGACCCGUUUCCAGAGUUAUUUCCUUGGUUAGAGCUCGUUUAUCCUUGAUUUAAAUUUAAUCUGUUUUAGUUUAAUUAUUUUCAAUUUGCAUUGAUUAUUUAUUUUUAAUUGCAAUUUUCCAAACUCCCCCCAAUUAAUUGUCACUUGAAAGAAGCAAAUUUUCACUCGAAACCUUGAGUUUAUAUCUUUUUGAGUAGGAAUUUAUUUUUACACAAGCCUGGCACUUGUCAAUUAACACAAGGUUUCGAGCAAUGCACAGUUUCUUUUGUAUCUAGAAUGGCUAAUGUAGCAAGUCAUAUGCUAGCACAUUUUGCAACAUACCUAGUUUAUGAUAUAAAAUGGGUAAAUGAUUUCCCAAUUCGACUAAUAGAAGCAGCUAGGAAGGAUGAGUGGGUGAAUGUCCCCUUUUGUAAUUAACUCUUGUACUUCAAGUGUUGAUAGAUAUACUGAUAGUAUCAUUUGUUGAAAAAAAGAGAAAGUGUUUAUUUGUUUAAUAAAAUGGUCACGGUAGUGUUUAUAUAAUUUUGUAAACUUCGGAAAGUAAAUUACCUCGUUGAAUUUGUAUAAUUUGAUUAUGUUGAAGAAACAUAAUCUUGAAAAAGCAGAGAAAUUUUCUAGUAAAUAUUUAUGUUAUUUUGAUAGCUAAUCAUUGUUCAUAUCAAUAUACUAGCUAUAAACUUAUACUCGCAAUACUACUGUUACGGUAUAAAAUUUCUCGUCAGAGCAAUUUAUAAUUUCAUCCCAUAUUUACCCUUGACUGUUAACCUCAAGUUCUUCAGAUAUCCAUGGGACAGUGUAACCCCUUUGAAGGUCAAUUCUUACACCCUCAUCAAAGUUUCUGGAGUUGCGUAUUAUAGGGGUGCAAACACAAAAACGAGACAUCCUUAAUCAAAUGGAGUUCCUUCUUUUUGCGAUUCAUUCCUCUGCAAAGCUCCUCCUCCUCCGAUUUUAAUAUAUGCCGCUGUUAAAAUAGGAUACUAAUUAGGUGAAUACGAGGACUCUCGUUCGACUCUCGAUCUUUCCUCUCAAAUUACACUAAUAUUUUUAAUCAUACACUCAUCCCCUUACUAACUUCCUAUGGGCCCAAUAUGUUGAGUAGAAUUCGAUUGGAACAACCGAAAAGAAAAGAAAAGAAAACAAAUACAAAACAAUGAAAUGGACACUUAGUCAAGUUGGAACCUAGGAGGAAGUGAGGAGCACAAGUGCGAACAGAUCACCAAGGAAAAAGAAACAAAUUUUUCGAGAAUGCAAUUUGAUUUCAAGCUCAAUCAUAUUCUAAGAGUCAAUGAUAAGAUCGAAAAAUGUAGGUCCAUUGUUAAGAUAUAGACGGAGAUGGUUGCUUAUUGAGCGUUGGAAAUAUUUCAUAAGCAAGUUGUACUUAUAUCUCAACUUGUAUAAUUUUAAUUUAAUAAGAUUAAGUUAAUGACCAUGUCAAUGAUCUCUGCGUCGUGCAUGACAUUCUUUUUUCUUGUACUCUCCAAAAGCCUCCUCCAGCAGUGGCUGCAUGUCUGUACAUGUUCCCCCACAACAAGAAUAAUGAAUCAAUUGCCAUAAUUGCACGCAUUUAAAUUUUCUGAGCUGGUGAUAAAUUGCAUAGUUUUGAUUUUUUCUGUUUCCGGUUCCCACUCUAGCUACUUCUAGAUUUAUUAAUUGGAAAAAAAAGAAGAAGGAAUAAAUUAAACCUUAUUUAAUUACUUUUUUAGUCAGGAUAUCUAUAGUAGAUGUAAUUAUCUCUAUAGAAAUGAAUGAAGCAUCCUAGCUUGUGAUCAUUAUCCUCUGUUGCAAUUCUCUUGUUCAAACUUCAAAUUUAGGUCUUGUUUGCUAAUCCAAUUCAGCAUUUAAAUUUAAUGGAUUCAGAUUUUAAUAUAUUCAGAUGCGUUUGAUAACCAAAAAUUGAACAUCUGAAUUAAUUAAGUGAUACUAAAAUUUUCAGGCAAAACUUACCCCUAAAAAAGAGCGAUAAGUUAUUCACUUAUCACUUAAUGUGAUAUACACUCAAAUAUAUCAGAUUUACUACUUAUAAUAACUUAAUGAAUUCAGAAUUCAAAUUUCAUAUUUCAAUUUUAUCAAACGCACCCUAUCUCACGGCAAACUGAAUAUGAAAUCCAAAGUUGAAAAUCCAAGAUGUUAGAACUUUGAAACCAUAGAGCCUCUAGGCAAAUUCAGCAUUUUUACAUUCUAUUGAUUUAGGGCAUCUUCAAUUAUCAGUUUCAACUCCAUGGUAUAAUAUAGAUAUUACCUCUAAUAGUUGUACGCACUUACACAACAAAUACAGAUUGUGAAAUUAAUUGUUUAAGUUUGAUAUUUUGUAGGCUUUGGGAUAUAAUUUUCACGUUUAGGAAAAAGAAAAUAUGUUAGUAAGUAAUAAUGUGAUACCCCUUGUCCCACGUUGGAAGUGGGAGAGGAAAAGGAUUGAUAUAUAUGCAAGAUUUGGUCGCAUAAGUUACUAGUUACUUGGGCUAACCAUGUCGGAAAGUGUAUUUCGACACAAAAAUUACUUACGCCAACCAUGGGCUUGGAUGGUGAUAAAUAACUUACUAGAAGCCAGGCAUGUUUAUGUUUAGAUGUCCUGAAAGCAGAGUAGUUCAGAAUCUAGAUAAUGGUAACGAUAUGAUGAGAAUGUGAAGUUAUUUGGUAAACUUUAUAGAUUAAUAAUUUCAUCAAGGCAUCGUAUAUAACCAUGAUGACACAAUCUCAACUUUCAUUCUUUUGUUAAAUCUUAGUUUUUUUCUCUUAAAUUUUUUCGAAUAAAGGAAUGAUGGAAUUUAAGCAGUAGAGGGGUGGAAGGGGAAUUUGAAUUCAAAACCUCUAAUUUCUAAGUUUUUCACUAAGCAAUCGUCAAAACCAAAAAAAAAAAAAAAUUAAAAGAAAAAAAAAAUUAGCACCUUAUGGUCAAUGCUCCUGUUCGAAGAUUUAUUCCUUUGGUUUGUCAUCAUCUCCCUCUAUGAAAUCUAAGUACCCUUGGUUGACAAUUUGUUUCCCUGAGCAUCCAUCAACACUUUUAUAUAGUAUUUCUUUUAAUAUAGUAUUAGAUUAGAUUAGAUUAGAUUAGAUUAUCAAUGCACCAUCAAUAUAGUAUUAGAUUAUCAAUGCACCAUCAAAACACUUUUAUAUAGUAUUAGAUUAGAUUAGAUUAUCAAUGCACCAUCAAUAUCCUUAAAUAUAAAAGCUUAAGUAUAGUAAUCAAAAUACUGUUAGUAAUCUGUAUGAUUAUUUUUUAUCCUUUAAUGUUUUAGUUUUAGGAAGAUCACAAAUGCUGCGUAUAAAGCAUGCCAUAGGCUAAAUUAAGCUAAAUUAAGUACAUUGCUAAAAUGGAGAGCAUUGCUAAAUUAAGUACUUUAAGAUAAAGACUUAAGCAGCCAGAUCCAUUUGAUGUCAGCUGCUUCAAUAUCCACCUCAAAAUAAAUUAGCCCUUGUUCUAGAUUAGCUUAAUGCUAAGUCCCUUCACCAUUCUUAGUAAUAAUUCAAUUCUGCCUCAAUUUUCUUCUGAUCUUCAAGGUAAAUGUACGAUAAAUUUCAAAAUAUAUCCCAAAUAUAUGAAUUUCUUGAAACCAUCCUUCAAUCUCAUUACCUACUCAACAAAAUGUUCCAUAAACACAAAUAUAUUAAUGAACUUGGAGUUGAUUUGAAGAAUUGACGAGAACCGCAAGCUAGAAUUUUUCAUAUAUUCAAACAAGAAAUUGGAAAAAUCUGACUAGCUUGCAACGAGUACUACAUCUCAAGACAAGGGAUCUUUUCAGUCACUCUUUAAUUGUAUCGAAGACCUACUUGCAUCUAUGAAUAAGCAAUACUGAGUGAUUUUAGAUGUGGAGUUGAUUCCAUGUGGUAGGACAACUUUGGUUUUCAAAAAUAAGGGCAGUCCAAUUCACUCAAUACAAAAAAAAAAUUUUAAAUGAUAAUAUUCAAAGGAACGUCUAUCUUACCUAAAAAAACAAACAAACAAAAAAAAAAACAAUAAAAAGGAGAUUGAUAUCCUAUCCAGUAUCCACAGAUUGAACAAUAGCCACAUUAUCUUAUAAUUCUUAAUGAUCAUUAGCUGAACUAUCAACUUUAGCAGUCAAGAAAGGCUGUAACUUGUAUAAGGACAAUAAAUUCUUUAUUCCGGCGUCCGGAGACUUGAGACGUGGACGCUUCAUUAGUCAAUAAUAAAGUGUGGAAUUCGACGAAUAUUCUUAGCUCGUUCAAGAUAACAGAGAAGAUUCACUCUUGUACAAGCAACAGGCACAGCUACUUAAACUAUUGGAUAAUUUCAUAAACCUUGGCUGAAGUUUUGGACAAUUUCAGUACCCCUCUUAUUUUCAAUAUUACGCUGACCAUUCUUACUUUAACUAAUGUAGUAACCAAUUCAGCCCAUAUCAGUAAAAGAAAUGGAAUAAAUUGACAAGAAAUGGUGUCAUCACAUUUUGUUCCACAUUUACCCUUAUAGACCCUAAAAGAAAUAUUGUAACAUAGGACAAAUUUUACUUCGUACCUUCGAACUUGAAUCACUUUUCUAUUUUCUUACUCUAAACUUUAAUUUUGGAUGCUUUCCAUGUGAUUGGAGGCAACAGCACAACAGAGCUCUUCUUAAGUCUCUGAUCGUUAGUGUCACAUGACCAUUGCUAAUUAUGCUAUUGCUUUUGAAUGGAAAUAGCAUAAAAGUCUUGGUGAAUGAACAAAUUGAAUAGACCAUUUUGCAGAGCAGUGAAAUAUUCCGAAGCCGUGAAGCACAGUGAUAAGCUACAAAUUAUAGUAAUUUAUAUUUAUUAAUUGUCAAUGAAUGGUUUUAUUUGAGCUAUAAUUAGAAUGGAAGUUGCCUAAUUUAAGUAUAUUUUGGUUUUUGCGGGAAAAGCACGCAAUUGAGGAGGAGAUGAAUAAAAAACGCAACAAAAGAAGAAGAAACGUUGAAAGGGACUUUGUGAGGACUUCUUCCAGUUCCAAUGAUUUCCGGAGAAAUUUCUAAAAUUAUGAUGAAUUUUAAAAAAAUUCUACAAAGGCGGCAUUUUGAGUAUGGGAUUCCGUCCAAGGGGUCUUCACAUUCAGUAAAUGCGAGCUCCCUCUCAGCUCGCAUUUACUGAAUGCGAAGUCUCUUGAAUUUGCAACCAACGAAAUCCAAAAAAAAAAAAAAAAAAAAACAGACCUCGCAUUUGUUAACAGUACGUAGGCCUGACCUCUUAUCCCGUUUCUGAGCAACAGAGCAUGCCACGAAUUUGAAAGCCAUUUGCCAAGUGAAAAGAAAAUGUGCAGCGCAAAUGGGACACAAAAUUGAUUGGGGAGUCCUGUUGAGGUAGUACAAGUGGCAAAUUGGGAGGGGACAGAGAGGCGCAGCUGGCUAUCUUCACAGAAAUGGGUUCCGAACAGGGGUCCAAGCUCUACAAUGGCGCAGAGCUUCCGACGAGAAAGAUGUGAGGGAUUUCGUCUGCCGAUCCUCGAAGCUUGGACUGGUGUCUAGCUCAGCAAAAGAGAAGAGAGAGUGAGCUGGAUGGAGAGAGUGAGCUCCAAUUUCUGUAGGUUAGGAGACAGAUUAGAAUGCCGUAAUUAGAGCUCUGCCUUUUUUUCAGAUUGAGUACAUCGCAUUCGAGAAAUGCGAGGUACCUCAGCUCGCAUUUGGCAUAUACGACCUUUGUUGUUUUUUACUUUUUCUCAAAACCUUUCUCUUUUUUCUUGAAACACUGACCUCGCAUUUGUGAAAUGUGAAGUCUUUGAACUAGCGUUUCACAAAUGUGAAGACCAUAAUCCUAGAAUUAGCUUCAAAAAUUACCCCCCUUGUAAAACAACUUUUUUUUCUAUCACAAUUUAAGAAUUUACUCUGAUUUUUGAGCAUAACAAGUUUGCGGCCAGAGUUAGAGCCGGUCUUCGGGCCGAACUUUAUUGGAAAACCCAUUCAAACUCGAUUUUUGGUAAGUUUUCAAGACCUAUUCCUACCACAUUUCGGAUGCAACUUUGAGAGACUAUAAAUAGGACAUUCUAGGAUAUUUUUAGGUUAGAAAGCAUUUAGCUUACAUUAGUUCAUCCUUUUUAUAUCUUCUUUUCUUGAGAGAUCACAAAGGAAGUGUUGAAGAAUCAAAGAGAAAGUUCAAGAUGGAGAUUGGAGUAGGGAAAAAUUGAGAACUUUUCUUUACUUUUAACUUCUUAUUUUGUCUUUCAUUUGAAUUCUUGGAUUUAUCUAUGAAUAUGUUGAACUAAUUUAUAUCUAGACUUAAGAUUUUGUGAAGGAGAUUUGAUUAUUUGUUCUAGAUAAAUUAUUCAAUUUUUCUUUGAUUUAUCUAUCUUGCCUUUAUUACAUAUUUUUGUUUGGCCACUAUAGAUAUGCUUUUAGGGUUUGUAUUGAAUUGAGAAGCGAUAUACAACCAUAUAUUAGAUAAAUAAACUUACUUAACCUAAUUAUGAAUGUGGGUUAGGAUUUGUAUGGCAUAAUCAUAUCACCUAAAAUCUUAAAGGGUUUAAUUAAAUACCUAUGAUCUUGAGAGCAAUGUGAGAUUUCAUUAAACACAAUUUAGAUGUAUCGAGAGAUAAUUAAAAUACCUUUACGUGAUACAUCUUUGACAUGUUAAGAAAAUAAUUGGAUAAUGAUUCCAAUUAUAAAUCAAAAUUUGAAACUCUAGUUUUUGCUAAUUGUUUUCUCACCUAUAUCUUAUUUGAUUUCAUUACUUAUUUAAUUUCUUAAUUAGUGAUUAAAAACCCUCUAAAUUUAAAUUUUAUUAUUUUUAUUAGAGUAAUUAAAGUAGAAAAAAUUAACUCAUUCCUAUAUGUUUGACCCUGGAGUACUCCAAGUGAAUUAUUAUUUCGAUCAACCCUAUACAGUUAUAGAAAUUCAUCGAUCACACAGCAACUAAAAAAAAAAAUUAAUGCACAAUAAUGUCAUGAACACAGUUCUCAUAUUAGUUGUUCAACAUUCAUGGUGGAUUUCAAUUAGUGGUAAAUAGAUAAAGUCGUCGAAAAAAGUAAUCUAAUUACUAGAUAAUUGAAUUUAUACUACAGCAUAUUUCUUUUUUCUACUGCAAAAACUUAACUAAUUUAAGACAAUGUAGUCCAAGCUAAUUGAAGAUUAAUUUCCCUAAAAAAUGUUCAUGAUAAAAACUCAACAAAGAGAUAAUACAACAGCUUACUUUUGGAGGUGAUCUUAUACGGUCUUUAUUAACAAACUAAUUAGCCACCUAAGCCUUUUUUUUUUCCUUUUGGGACUACACAUGACAAAAUGAGGAGUGAAUCAGUCGCUUAGUAUCUAAAAUUUUCGCUCCAUAAUUAGUUCAACCUGAUUUAAGACUAAAUUUUUACUAUAGGAAUGUUCGUGAUUCAGCAAUGAAACACCAUAUAAACUUAUUUUGGGAGAUUUGUCCUAGAAGAGAAAAAAUGAGCAACCAAUCAGAAAGUCGUACUUACAUAUCAAAAUCGAUACUGUCUACUUAAUUCACCAGGCACCAGCUAUGUAUAUUUCAUCCAUUUUCACAUAAUAGAAAGAACAAUAAUGCAUGGCAUUAUCCAUCAUAAAUUUCUCAUAUAACAUCAAGAUAUCAUGGUGUGGACCUCAAAUGACUCGUCAUGUCUACUGGCUACAUUUUAAACAUAUCUUAUGGCCAGAAUGUUCAUCUUAUCAACUUAACGAGUUUAUUCAUGGUACCAUACCAUUCAAUUAAAAAAGUUUCCACCUUUUACCUUUUAUUUAUAGAUGUCGAGGAAUAUAGCUGAUAACGCACUUUUGGCAGCAAUCUUCCUUCACCCAAUUAAAGAUUUUCGGAGCUUAAAGUUCAGCUCCUAAAGCUCUUCUCCAAGGCUCACCAACCAACAGAGAAAUUACUUUUAGCAAAGUUUUGAUGGCAUCUUGGCAAGAUUGGAAGAUUAUAUUGCGCUUCUAAGAUAAUGUUUAAAAAAGCUAUUUUAACGAGGGCAUUAUGGUCAAUUUGCCCCUGAUGAUAUUGACAUUAGGUCCCAUCAACAUCAGAAGGGAGCUCAUUGUAUUAUUGGAUAUAACAAGAGUGCUAGUGAAAUUAUGAAAACCCUCAAGGAAGGUUUUUGAAAUUAACCCUAAAAUACUCAUUCCACGCAAGGCGUGGCGUUCCCCUCCUAGUUCCUAUAAAUAGGGCUGCAACUCAAUGCACUUAUCACUCGAUAUCAAUAAUUUAGCACAUUAUUUACAUUUUGAGUGAGAUUGUGAUCAAAUGACAUCUUCAAAAAAUUUGCUCUUUCUUAUUGGUGUUCUUUUUGCACUUGUGCUCCUCAUUUCCUCUGAUGCAACAGCUGCAGGUGCCUAGUCCCUUUUUUUCUUUUCCUUUCUUCCUUUUUUUUUUUGGCUGCACCUAAAUACUUAAAUGAAUGGAGAUUUGGAGACUCAUUAUUGGGAUGUGAAUUUUUAUGGAAGGCUAUUUGUAUAUUAUCAAGCAAGUCAUAUUAAUGUGCUAAUAUCUUUUUCAUUGUUUAGCAAAAGUAAAUUUGGGUUGCUUCUAUCAAUGGUUAGUGGCACAUCUGAUUUUUCAUGCAUCCUUAUAGUAUUGCUGUAAGGAUACACGUUCCAUAGUGUCGCACCAAAGAUUAAACUAACGUCGAAAACCAAAUUAAAUGCUUCUAAUUAUAAUUUAAAGCAAAAUAAUUCCCCUUAUAAAUGGACGAAACUUCCUGCCAACAAAUCCAAAUUCAAGAAAAAAUUUUCUUAAGGGGAAACUCUGCCAAAAUUUUCUUAAAAUAAAUAAAAUAUUUAAUUAAAAAAAUGAAGCAAAAUAAUUCAUAUCCAAGUCGCACCAUCUUAUAUGCCUAGACUGUUUUGUUUAAUCCAUAGUAUUCUUUUCUUUGCAUAUAUCUUGCAAAUUUUCAGCCAAGCCGGUCACCUAACGUUCGCAGCUUAAGAUAAAGCUCCAAAUAUUUAUGUCUCCUUGUGUCUUGAAACAGAUCAGAAGAGCGUGAAAACCACUGGUGUCCACGAUGCCAGUUCAGGCGAGGUUCAUCAGGAUAGCAAAAGCGAAGAUCGUUGCAGACAUGGUUGCUGCCACUGGUACCAUGGACACUGCCAAAGAUGCUGUCGAACUGCCGAGGAGACCCCUGAAGUCACAUCUGGAGAUGAGGAUACCGUAACCGCAGAUCGUUGCAGACAUGGUUGCUGCCGCUGGUACCAUGGACAUUGCCAAAAAUGCUGUCCACCUGAAGAUCGUUGCAGACAUGGUUGCUGCCACUGGUACCAUGGACAUUGCCAAAGAUGCUGUCCACCUGCUGAGGAGACCCCUGAACAUCGUUGCAGACAUGGUUGCUGCCGCUGGUACCAUGGACAUUGCCAAAGAUGCUGUCCGCCUGCUGAGGAGACUUGCAGACAUGGUUGCUGCCACUGGUACCAUGGACAUUGCCAAAGAUGCUGUCGAACUGCUGAGCAGACCCCUGAAGCUACAUCCGGAGAUGAGGUCAAAAAUUAACGCUAAAUAAAUAAGGGCGUGACACAGGAUCCGUGACACCUAUAUUAUUACCUUAAUAUGUUAUGUUGUGUUUGCUUUUAAUGGUUGAUUUCCUAUAUGUGUAAAAGACUUGUGCGGCUUCUCUUUGAAUUGGUGUAGAAUCAACGGGGGAAGCAUGUAAUGAGUAUUCAGUUCGAGUGCUCUUCUUAUGUUGUUGUCAUGUUGAAUAAAUAAAUCUACUUGAUCAUCUACUACAAUUGAUGAUCUUCUUAUGUUUUUUUUUCACUUUAUCUUCCUUCAAGAUUUUUGGUGGAAAUGCUUCAUUUAUACGAAUUUUCCUAGUUAGUAAAUGCUUCUAUUACACUUGUACAAUACACAUUUAAAAGUAUAACACAACAAAAGCUUGUGUAGUUCAUAUAUUUAAAAAAUAUUCAUACUUUUCAACUAAACUAUAAAAAUAUGUAAUAAAUUCUUUAUACAUUAUACUUUACGAACUAUACUUUAAAUUUUAAAAAUAUUUAAUAGUAUCACUUAUCAAUAACUCCACAUGUUAAUUUGUCUUCCAAUUCAGUAAAUUAUAGUAGCUAAUUCUCAAAGCUAACCGACACCAAAAUUCCCUCACUUGUUCAGCUCCUAGUGGAUUUAUAUUAAUUACAUUGCAUUUAUUUCCUAAGCAUGAGUUUUGUAACCCCUCAUAUUAAAUCUCAAUGAUUGAUUUUAACGGUUACCCAGGCGUCUAGUAAUUGGUUUGCUAUUAAUUUGAACUAGACAUUUAUUAGGUCUAGUAGAAUUUAUUCCUUCUUAUCACUUAGUUCAUAAACCUUACGAAUCGUUAAAACCAGCUCUAACAUCAGCUAACAAGACUUCUACAAUUUCGGGUUUUGCUUAGAAAUCAGUCUGAUAGGUUAACUUGCUUCGUCCAACUUUAUGAGUUGCUUCUUUUUUCUUUUUUUUUCCAUAUUUGACAUUUCAUCUUACUUUAAUAUGGGGACCAAGUUAGUAUUGUUGACAUUUCAUAUCUAAGACUUCUUAAUUAAUUGAUUUGUUAUAAGAACUAUAACGUAUGCGUGUUUUGUAAGCUUUCAUGUUUUUUUAUUUUUUCAAUUCUUGUGGACCAGCAACGGAUAGUUUCUUCUAGUACCAAUCUUCCUUUGAAGUUCUUUAAUUUUUUUUUUGUGUCCAAAUGUAAAUUAAAAGAACCAACAACUUUGAACAAGUCUAUAUCUAGUAAAGAUAGAUAUAAAGAGGGAUACUAUAUCACUGCAACAAAAAAGGGAUUUGGCGAGGAGCAAAAGUCCACGCCAAAAUUUUUGACUUCGUCGCCAAUUAAUUUCAGCGAGAAAAAUGCUUCCUCGUCAAGUUUCUUGCUAGAUGCUCAUCGCUAAAAGUUAUUAGAGAGGAUGUUGUUGCUUUUCUCGCUAAUGAAACAGAUCAAUAGCAAGGAUUGACCUCCUCGCCAAUCUGAUUCAAAUACUAUGGCGAGAAAAGCUUUCCUCACCACUAAAGUUAAAAACUCCCCACAAAAACCAGUAGUUCCUAGCAAAUAGUCAAGGUGUUCUGCUAGGAAAAAUAGCGCAUCCUUACCAAUAGUAUAGAAUUAGCAAGGAUUCUUUUGACAAAUCUGCAAUGCCUCGUGUACCAGUAAAACAUUUUUGGCCAGGAAAGUUUCCUCUCUAAUAAGCAAUAAUUGAUUAUUGUCUAACUGUUUGGUGGGAAAAUGUUCCUCUCCAAUGCUGUUAUGAACAUUUCUUAAUCCCAUUUAGCAUGCUAAUCUUAAUUCUCUGAGCAAAUUACUGGGUGGUUUUAUUAGAAAAUUUAGCUGCAAAUAGCUUCAAUUUGGCUUCUCAUGUGUCUGUUGUACAUUUUCCAGGUUCUUAUAAGUAUCAAAUUGUUUGGCAAAAUUUUUUUUUAAUGAAUCAUGACCAACGUAGCUGCUCAUUAAAUUUAAACUCAUAAGCCCUAGUAUUUGAUAGCUUUUUGGAAUAUCACUUGGUGCCAACAACCCCCUUUUGCUACUUUGAUAAACAUUCAAUAGAAAACAUACAAAAGCUUUGGUUAGCUAAAAAUAAUUGUUAGCAAAGUAAUACAUCAACAUCCAGCUCUUUCAACAUCUUGAGCCAUACAAAUAGGAAGUGCUUGAAAUCAAUUGGCAAUCCAAAUUUUUUUUAGCUCAUUAACCAUCCAAGAAAUCGCAACUUCAAUAAGUCAUUACAAAAGAAGAUUUCAUCAAGAGAACACCACAAAAAGGAGAAGCAGAAAAAAAAUAUAAGAGAGAGAGAGAGAGAGUUAAACUAGUCAUAUGGACACAUAUUUGUCACCUCAGUAUUUCCAAUUCCUUAAUUCAGUCCAGUUAUCUUGGAACUCUAUCGGCAAUCCAUGGAACAUUUUUUGAAUGACAAUAUGCUGUUGCAACCUUCUGGUGAAGACUUCAAAGGUUCUAUGAUAGGUUGCAUUUUUGUCAUUAAUUCUAUGAUUAUUUUCCUCAUUUAUAUUACCAAAUAUUGUAUUAAUUGAUUGAUUCUACUUAUAUUUGGUAUUUUGUGUCAAUUGUAGGAAGGUGGAGCAAAAAAUAAUAAAAGAGGUGAUUUUUCAAGAGUUUUCCAUUUCAAGAUGGAGUUUACGUGGAGUAUUGGAUGAAAAUUAGGAAACUACCACUUUUUAUUAGAUGUCUUAUUAGGGAACAAUUAGCAAUAGUUGGAGAAGUUUCCUUUUGCAAUUAGAAUUCUAUUUUUAGUUGGCCAAUGGACUGCCGAAAUAAUGGACUUCAAUUAGGAAACAAAGAGAGAAAAAAGGCCGGAAUCCCGCGUGAUUACUACCUUGGAGGGAACAAGAAAAAGGAGACGUCCGCUGGUCUCUUCUUUAGUGAGUCUUUUGGAAAAAACCAAUGGUUAUCGAUGGUGUCCUGCGGAUCUCUCCUGAUGAUGUGUAGCUAAAUCUCCGUUUUCUAGUCGAAUGUCAAUUUGAGGACUCGAUUCCAAACAUAUUUGAUAAGAGAAUAUUUAAUGUACAUUUUGUACAAGUUUGGCAUGAACUUUUGAUGUGUUUUGAGAAGAUUAAAGCCAUAUUUGAACUCUUUUGGUGAUAAAUGCUUAAAUAUUAUGUAAGUGUUCAAAACUUGAUAAAUGAGUGGAUUAAUGCGUUAAUUUUGUGAAAUUGUGAAGGAUAUUGAUAUAUGAAAUUCAUGCACGAGAUGAAGGAAAUGUAAGGAUCGUCUAGAGGAUAAAGUACAAAAGAAACUAGGAGCAAAAAUGAAGAAAAAGGAAAGAAGUGAAAAACUGGAAAUUGAUCAGCACAGAUUUGAGCUCGGAUCCGUGUGAACAAAGGGCGAUCCGAGCCCUCGUCUGCACUUCUGGAGCAGUGCAUCCGAGGCCAGACAAUCUGAGCUCGGAUUAUUAAGAGAAAGACCUCGGAUCAGCCUUGAUCCGAGCUCAGAUCGUAGUGCACACCUCGGAUCCAGGUCUCGGAUCUGCCUCUCUUCUGCAAGUGGCACGGCCGUUUUUUCUCAUUUUCACACAACUUUCCAGCUAUCUUGGGUGAGAGAAUUCGAUGGCACAUGCUUCUGCAACAAAAGGGAAGACAAAAUGAGUUAUUGAUAAGUCAAAACAACAUUUCUUUUGACUUUCUUUACAAAAUCUGAGUUGUUGGAAUCAUGAAGGAGAAGAAAGUGCCUUUCUACCACCUUUUAUGCAGAGAACUAAGGAGAAGUCAGGCAUCACCAUAUGGAGGAGUUUUUCAUCUUGUAACAUUUUUCUCUCUAGCUAGAAGUUCUAAAAACAAGCACUUGGAGAUUUCACUUGUAAUCAUCUUGUACAAGACAUAGCAAAAAUUUGAGGGUUUCACCAUUAAUUGGCUAAGCUUUUCUUUAUCUUUCUUGUACUUGUACUUUAUGAUGUUUUGCAUUAAUAAACUUGUGAGUUUGAUUGUUAUAUUAUUCAUGAGUAGCUAAAUUUCUUUAUCUAGAGAGUAGAUAAAUGAUAUGAAUUGAAUGUGAUUUACACUUGUUAUAUCUUGUAUUAACUUGUCUAUUUGUGCAGUUGUAAUUACUUGUUGUUGUUUGAUCACCAAUAGCAUGUUUAUAGUUGUUAUUAGUCAAUAAGAAUUGGUAGUAACAAUAGAAAAAAUAUGAGUAGAGCUUGAGUUGUAUGUUCAUGAAAAUAGAUGUACACUUAAGUGGAUUAGCUAGCAUUUCAUGAAGGAAAACAGAGUAGAACUGGUAGUUCACCAUGAAAAUAGGGAAAACUGGAUUACUCUAGGCCAUUUUAUCAUGAGAAUGAGAUUUGGCAAUAUUGAAAAUGAAUCCCUGGUUAAACAACAAUAAUAACAAGAGGUAAAUCUAUUCAUUUGUGUUGUUUAUACCAUAAGUGGAAUCUACAUCCCUAGAUUUAUUCUUGAGUGAAAUUUAUCCAUUUGCAUUUAGCAUUUGUUAAACUAGAUUUAUAGACAACAACAUUAUAAUUUCUCUGCUCAAAUUCAUUUAUAAGUCUAAAUAAUAGAGAAAAUAAGGGCCUAGUACUUAUUUAAAUUGCUCCUCGUGGGAUCGACUUGAUACAUACCUUACAUUACGAUUUCGACCUGUAUAGUUGCAGUCAACGGGUAUAAAAUCGAAUUCAAACUUGCAUUGAUAUAAAAAUCCCGUCACAUAUGUGAGAUCGAAUUAUUUUACUUAUUUCUUUUAUUCAUUGGUAUUUGUACAUUUUCUGAUUUAACUUCAUAUACUUGUUAUGUUAUUUGAAUGUCAAGGGCUCGAUAUUCGAAUUAACCUAAUAAUCUACUGUUAGAUUAAUUGAUUGAAUCCCUAAUUGUUCAAUUGAUUAAUACCAGUGGCAACUAGCGUGAUUAGUUUCAUGUUAAGGAAACAUAUGAUCUAACUUAAACGAACCCUCGUAGCGUGUUUGUUAAUUAAGGUUGGCUUUUCUAAUUCUUAUUGCAAUUGAGAAAUUAAAUCCUAUAGUCGUACCUAGGGUUAUUUCUUGGUUAGAAAAAUAGUUAAUGGUCGUACCUUAACUAUCGAAAAAGUAAGAAAAGAUUGGUUGUUUAUCGCGUGUAUAACAACUAUAACCAAUCUAUUAAUUAGUAAUUGAAUUAUCUUUGCAUCGAUGAUCAGUUGAAAGGACCAUGUCUGAAAAGUUGCACCUUUGGCUAGAGUUGUAUUGGUUAUUGAUUAAUUCCUGUUUAUUUCUAUUAGUUGUUUCAUUAGUUGAUUAAUUAGUUAUUUUAUAUUUUUCAAAAACCCCCCAUACUUCGGACUCUGGAAGAAAUGAAUUAUCCCCAAUCCCUGUAGAUUCGACCCUGCUCACCGCUAUAUACAAAUUUGUAUUUUUCUUGAGUAGGUAAUUAUUAUUGCACAUGUUCAACACCUGUCAUUCUAUAACUGUAUACAGAGUCAUCUUUUUCAAAGAUUUCCCAUGCUGCAAAAUGUACUCUACGAGCUUUAUUUCACCCUGUUCCUGAAGAGUUUGCUUGAUCCGAUAUACCCGAAUGGGAUGGUUAUUUCUUUCACAAAUAAUUAUGAAUUUGUAGACAGGGCAAGUAGGGUCGUAUCCACAGGGACUGGGUAUAUUUGUUUCUUAAGAAAUCCAAAAUAACAUAGGGGGGUGAUUUUGUAGGAACGACGACAAUAAAAUAAAUUCAAUUAAGAAAAUAAAAAUAAAUAACUAAUUAGAGAUUAAACAACAAUUCACUGAACUUAGAGUAAUAAUAAUUAAAGGCCUAAAUCAAUUAAAACAAGGAAGCAUGAAAAUAGAUGUACACUUAAGUGGAUUAGCUAGCAUUUCAUGAAGGAAAACAGAGUAGAACUAGUAGUUCACCAUGAAAAUAGGGAAAACUGGAUUACUCUAGGUCAUUUUAUCAUGAGAAUGAGAUUUGGCAAUAUUGAAAAUGAAUCCCUGGUUAAACAACAAUAAUAACAAGAGGUAAAUCUAUUCAUUUGUGUUGUUUAUACCAUAAGUGGAAUCUACAUCCCUAGAUUUAUUCUUGAGUGAAAUUUAUCCAUUUGCAUUUAGCAUUUGUUAAACUAGAUUUAUAGACAACAACAUUAUAAUUUCUCUGCUCAAAUUCAUUUAUAAGUCUAAAUAAUAGAGAAAAUAAGGGCCUAGUACUUGUUUAAAUUGCUCCUCGUGGGAUCGACUCGAUACAUACCAUACAUUACGAUUUCGACCUGUAUAGUUGCAGUCAACGGGUAUAAAAUCGGAUUCAAACUUGCAUUGAUAUAAAAAUCCCUUCAAGUUUUUGGCGUCGUUGCCAGAGAGUGGCAAUAUUAGGGUCUAAUCAUCUCUAUUAAUUUAGAUAUUUCUAUUGUUUUUAAGUUGUUUAUAGUUGAUUUUGCAUUAAUUUAGUUUUUGACAAUUAAAGCUGCAUAAUUUCUCUUAUUUCUAUUUGUAGUAAAUGCAUCGAACAUAUCGAGAAGUUACACCUUUCGAUCCAAAAAUUGAGAGGACACUUUGUAGACAAAGGAGCGAUAUACCGCAUCAAGAGGAACAAGAGAUUUGACAGCCGAUAGAGGAAAUUUUGAAAGAGCUACCGUUUGAGGAAGAAAUGGCGGAAAACAAACCAAAUAGGCGAGUUUUACGAGAUUUUGCUUUACCGGGGACACAAAGAUCUCAAACUAGCAUUGCAAAACCAACGGUAAAUGCUAAUAAUUUUGAGAUUAAACCAUCACUGAUUCAAAUGGUUCAACAAUCUCAAUAUGGGGGUAAUGCAACCGAAGAUCCAAAUUCUCACUUGUUAACAUUUCUUGAAAUCUGUGAUACAAUUAAGUUUAAUGGUAUUAGUGAUGAUGCAAUUAAACUUCGAUUGUUUUCAUUUUCGCUAAGGGACAAGGCCAAGGUUUGGUUAUAAUCUCAUCCUUCAAAUACUUUUACUACUUGGGCUGAAUUAGCUAAGGCUUUUCUUAAUAAAUUCUUUCCACCUGGAAAAACUGCUAAACUUAGAAUGGAUAUAACUAGUUUCUCUCAACAGAAAGGAGAGACAUUGUAUGAAGGUUGGGAGCGCUAUCAGGAAUUACAACGAAGAUGUCCUCAUCAUGGUUUACCAGAUUGGCUUAUAGUGCAAACAUUUUGCAAUGGUCUCACUUAUCCAACAAAGACGCAUGUAGAUGCAGCAGCGGGAGAAGCAUUGAUGGAAAAAUCAGCCAAGGAAGCUCAACAAUUGAUUGAAGAAAUGGCCGCUAAUAACUACCAAUGGGCCAACGAACGAGGUAAUACAAGGAGAACCGUAGGUAUGCUUGAAGUAGAUACCUUAAAUAUGUUAAGUGCAAAGAUGGAUAAUGUGGUUAAGAUACUUAAUAGGCAUGUUGGUUCUAGCUCUAAUCAAGGAGUAGUUGUUACAUGUUCUACUACUUGCAGCGGAGAUCAUGAUGAUUCUAUGUGUUCUAGCAGCGAACAAGUUCAAUAUCUCAACAAUUACAACCGUCCACCCCAAAAUAAUCUAUACUCCAAUACCUACAAUCCAGGAUGACUUAAUCAUCCGAAUUUUGGAUGGAAGGAUCAAGGGAACCAACAAAAACCAGUUAAUCCACUGGAUUUUCAACCGAAGCAACCACUUCCAGAGUCCAAACCAGCUUGGGAAUUGACAAUUAAGAAGCUGGCAAAUGUAUCAAAUGAUAAAAUUGAAAAGUUAGCUAGUGUCACUACUCAACGAUUUGAAAGAAUUGAGGGAAUGAUGGACCAACUCACCAAUAUGUAUAGGAAUGUUGAGAUCCAAUUAGGGCAAAUAGCAAAUGCAGUUAACAAUCGCAACCAAGGGGAUUUACCUAGCAAGACUGAGGUGAACCCAAGGGAGCAUGUGAAGGCCAUAACCUCCGUAGUGGUAAGGAAGUAGGUGAGCCACCUGUAGUUGAAAGUGAGAGAAAAUAUGAAAGAAGAGAAAACAAGCAGUUGAGUGAGUUAGGAGAUGAUAACAAAACAAUUGAUGGGAAAGAAAAUGUGGAAGAGUGUGAGCCACAAAUUGAAGAGGCAACACUAAUUCCUCUACCGGUGCCAUUUCCUCAAAGAUUGAAACCUUCAAGAAAUGACAAAGAAUUUGAGAAGUUUGUUAACAUUUUCAAACAAUUACAUAUUAACAUUCCUUUUGUUGAUGUUAUUUUACAGAUUCCUUCAUAUGCAAAGUUUCUCAAAGAAAUAAUGACUAAGAAAAGGAGGUUAGUAGAUAGUGAAACAAUUUCAUUAACGGAAGAAUGUAGUGCCAUCAUACAAAAUAAAUUGCCACCAAAGUUGAAAGAUCCGGGGAGUUUCACAGUUCCUUGCACUAUCGAUAAUGUAGAAUUUUCUAAAGCACUACGUGACCUUGGUGUGAGUGUUUCAUUGAUCCCUUUAACUGUGACUAGGCAAUUGGGGUUGAAAGAGUUAAAACGUACUAACAUUUCCUUGCAAUUGGCUGACAAGUCUAUUAGACAUCCAAUGGGCAUUUUGGAGAAUAUGCUUAUUAAAGUGCAGAAAUUCAUUAUUCCUGUUGAUUUUAUUGUUUUAGAUAUGGAGGAAGAUGUCAAUGUACCUAUUAUACUUGGUAGACCAUUUCUGGCCACUGCAGAUACAAUAAUAGAUGUUAAAUGUGGUAAAUUUAAGUUCCAAAUUGGUGAAGAGGAAGUGGAGUUUGAUUUGAGUAAAGUGGAGAAGUAUCCCUCUUUUACUGACCAUAUUUAUUCUAUUGACAUAUGUGAUGAAUUAGCGUUAGAGAUAAGUCAAGUUAAUCUUGAUAAUGAUUCUCUUGAACUUUGUCUUAAUGAUGUAGGCUUACAAGAGGAACAAGUUGAAGAAAUGACUGAAUUUUUGCAGGUACAAAUUCCUUACAAAAGGAGAAAUGCGUAUGAGGAGUUAGGGCUGAGCAAAGGGCUACCUCCACCAUCGUGUGAGCAAGCUUCACGGCUUGAGCUUAAGCCACUCUCUAAACACUUCAAAUAUGCAUUUCUUGGAGAAAAUGAGACAUUGCCGGUGAUUGUCAAUACUGCACUAGAUGAGGAACAACUAGGAAAGCUUUUACGUGUUUUGAGGAAACAUUUAAAAGCUAUAGGAUGGACAACUUUUGAUAUCAAAGGAAUUAGUCCAACUAUUUGUAUACACAGGAUUUUGUUAGAAGAAAAUUCUAAGCCGGUGGUUGAAAUUCAAAGAAGGUUAAAUUCAAACAUGAAAGAAGUGAUAAGAGUACAAAUCCUUAAAUGGCUAGAUGCAGGUAUAAUUUUUCCAAUCUCUGAUAGUGUUUGAAUUUCUCCUAUUUAUGUAGUGCCAAAGAAAGGGGGGAUAAACAUAGUACGUGGUAAAAAUAAUGAAAUGAUUUCCUCUAGAGUUGUGGUUGGGUGACGAGUCUGUACUGAUUAUAGAAAACUGAAUGCAGCUACUAGAAAGGAUCAUUUCCCUCUUCCUUUUCUUGAUCAAAUGGUAGAAAGAUUGGCUGGAUAUGAAUUUUAUUGUUUCUUGGAUGGUUUUUCAGGAUACAAUCAAAUAGUCAUUGUACUGAAAGAUCAAGAUAAAACCACAUUCACUUGUCCUUACGGCACUUUUGCAUUUCGAAAAAUGCCUUUUUGAUUGUAUAAUGCACCGGCCACUUUCCAACAUUGCAUGAUGGCAAUUUUCUCUGAUUUUAAUGAGAAAAUCAUGGAAAUCUUCAUGGAUGAUUUUUCUGUAUUUGGAUCUACUUAUGAUCAUUGCCUUAACAAUUUAGAUCUAAUUUUGCAGAGAUAUGAAGAAACAAACCUUGUACUCAAUUGAAAAAAAUGUCACUUCAUGGUUUGUGAGGGUAUUGUUCUAGGGCACAAAAUUUCUUCACAAGGUAUUGAGAUAGAUCAAACCAAGAUAGAGGUUAUUGAGAGAAUGCCUCCACCUACCAAUGUGAAAGGCAUUCAAAACUUUCUUGGACACAUGGAAUUUUAUCGGCAGUUUAUUAAGGAUUUCUCCAAGAUUGCUAAACCUUUAUGUGAAUUACUUGCAAAAAAUAUUACUUUUCACUUUAAUGAUGAGUGUUUAUUUGCUUUUAAUAGGUUGAAAAAGGAACUUGUCUCCACAUCCAUAAUAGCAUCACCACCAGAUUGGAGCUUGCCAUUCGAAUUGAUGUGCGAUGCGAGUGAUUUUGCAGUUGGAGCUGUUCUUGGGUAAAAACAUGAUAAGCGACUUUAUGUCAUUUAUUAUGCAAGUAAAAUGCUAAAUGAAACCCAAGUCAACUAUGCAACAACAGAGAAGGAGUUGCUAGUAGUGAUAUUUGCAUUGGAUAAGUUUAGAUCGUAUUUAGUAGGAUCUAAAGUCAUCAUUUAUACCGACCAUGCAGCACUCAAGUAUCUCUUAAAUAAGAAAGAUGCAAAACCUGGACUAAUUCGAUGGAUUUUAUUAUUGCAGAAAUUUGAUUUGGAGAUCAAAGAUAAAAAAGGAUCCGAGAACUUAGUCGCUGAUCAUCUUUCUAGACUGAAAAACAUGCUUCAAGAAGACCAUUCAUCCAUUAAAGAAGAAUUUUCAGAUGAGUUUUUAAUGGCAAUUUAAAAGUCACCAUGGUAUGCUAAUUUAGUUAAUUUUGUAGUUAGUGGAGUGAUAUCAAGUGAUUUGAAUUCCCACCAAAGGAAAAAAUUCUUAAAUGAUGCUAAACAUUAUUUUUGGGAGGAACCAUUCUUUUAUAAACAUUGUGCAGAUGGAAUAAUUAGAAGAUGUGUUCCGGAAGAAGAGGUACACAGUAUUUUAAUACAUUGUCAUACCCUUGAAACGGGAGGUCAUUUUAGUACAACUAAAACCGUAGCAAAGGUAUGACAAUUUGAAUUUUACUGGCCUACUAUAUACCGAGAUGCUAGAAAUUGGGUUAAAAGUUGUAAUUAAUGCCAAAGAACUGGUAACAUCUCUAGAAAGGAUGAAAUGUCUCUAACUAAAUAUUUGGAAGUUGAACUAUUUGAUGUUUGGGGUAUUGAUUUUAUGGAACCAUUUCCUAGUUCUUUUAAUAAUAACUACAUCUUAGUAGCAGUGGAUUAUGUUUCUAAAUGGGUAGAGGCAAUUGUUUUCACCUACUAAUGACUCUAAGGUUGUACUCCGGUUUCUUAAAAAGAAUAUUAUUUGCAGAUUUGGUAUCCAAAAGACCAUAGUUAGUGAUGAAGAAAAAUAUUUUUGUAAUAAACACCUUCACUCAUUGUUUAAAUAUGGCUGCAGGUACAAGACAUCACUUCUGUACCAUCCUCAAGCCAACGGACAAGCGAAACUAGCUAAUAGAGAGAUAAAACUCAUUUUGGAGAAAACUGUAAUUGAAUCACGCAAAGAUUGGGCUACAAAGCUAGAUGAUGCACUAUGGACUUACCGACCGGCAUUUAAGACACCUUUAAGGAUGUCGCCGUAUCGUUUAGUCUAUGAAAAAACUUGUCACUUACCUGUAGAGAUUGAACAUAAAGCUUAUUGGGCUAUUAAAGCAAUUAACGUGAACUUUAAUCUUUCAGGUGGAAGGAGGCUACUUGAGUUAAGUGAAUUGGAGGAACACCGAUUACAUGCGUAUGAAAAUGCCAAAAUUUAUAAAGAGAAGAUCAAAUAUUGGCAUGAUAAAUAUAUUCUUCCUAAGCAUUUUGAAGAAGGGCAAAAGGUGUUAUUGUUUAACUUAAGACUUAAAUUGUUCCCUGGAAAGCUUAAGUCUCGAUGGUCCGGACCAUUUGAAAUAGCUCACACAUUUCCUUAUGGAGCGGUGGAAAUAAAAGGAGAAAAUGGUGCCCCAUUCAAAGUGAAUGAUCAAAGAUUGAAGCUCUAUUUGGCCGGAGAAAGGGUUCCUAAAGGAGUAAUUUACUCCUUAGGAAACACAAUGGAGAGUUAAGAAAACUGUAGGAGAGUCGAGUUUAACGAUUUUAAAUAAAGCGCUUGUUGGGAGGCAACCCAAUAAUAAUAUUGUAGUUGUGUGUUUUUAUGUGUUUCUUAAAUUUUGGUGUUAUUUGAUUGACUAAUUAUAUGUAUUUCACUUGUUGUAGGGGGUGCCGGCAUUUCAACUUCCAUAGGUGCACUUGAAGAACAAUAGUUAAAAGGGAAGUUUUCUUACCAAAUUCUGUUUUAAGUGUUUAAAAUUCCCUUUCAUGUAUAAUAUGUUGCAUUUCCAUUGUAUUCAAGUAAGUUUUAGUGAUAACAUGUUUAUACAUGUUCAUUGAUUCAUUUGAUGUGUAUCUCAUACCUAAGGGAGCCCUCUUAGUGUAAAAGUGCCAAAAUGAUCAAAGAAACUCACCCCUCGAUUUGCAAUGUAUAUGUGUUUGAUGUAUUUUGAGAGGUUGGAUAUUGUGUUUAUGGUAUAUUACACUUGCGUGAAAGGGUAGAAUUGAUAGAAAUUUCGUCCAAGGUGUAAUUUGGAAAUUGCCGAAAAAGGAGGAAAAAGUUUGAAAAAUUGCAAUUUCUGAAAUUGUUGCAGAAAAAGCCAGAUCCGAGCUCGAAUCCGUUAAAGAUUCAAAGACGAAAUUGGAGAUCCAACCUCGGAUCCGAAGUUGUUCACUAUGAUCCGAGGGCUCAUCUGUGUUUCUGGAAGGCCGGAUCCGAGCCUAUAGGAUCCGAGCCUUGGUAUACACGAUCCGACCUCGGAUUGUGUAUUCUUGAAAAAUUCAGCAUAGGGGAUCCGAACUAGGAUCCAACAAAAUCUAGUAGGAUCCGAGGGCUCGACUGAACUUCUGAAGUAGCGGAUCCGAGCCCUAUCGGAUCCGAGGGAUGCCAGAACCGAUCCGACCUCGGAUCUGUGCGCGAUAAAAACAAAUCCGAGGCUUCGGUUCUGCAUUUGUCCAAUUCUCCUUUUCCUAUUUCACCGAAAACCCUAGCCCUUUUUCACCAAUCUUCCAUUUCAUCCAAUAAUUAUUCAAUCUUUCACCACAAAAACAUCUCCCAACCUCUUGUGAUCAUAAACCCUCAACAAAUUCAUUUUAAAAACAUCAAUUUGGGGGGUUUUGAUCUUCAAAACGGGAAUUCAGGCCGCACUGAAAUCUCGCAAUUUGUGGUCGAAUUUGGGCUUGUUUCUUCAUCACUUUGCAUCAUUAUCAUCCUCCACCAUCAAUCUACACAUUUGAGGUAACAAUUUGCAAUUUUCUUUGAGAUUUUAUAAUUCCCAAUUUUACAUUUUUCUAGUUUUGGACAUAUUUUGGUAAUUGCUCAUAAGUUGAAAUUUUUUGAUACAAUUGUGCUACAUUGUGCUUAAAUAGAUUGUCACAACUAUUUUCAUGCUUAGUUUUGAGAGAAUUGUGAAUUUGGUAUUAUUUUGUAGAUUUUUCUUCUAAAAUUUUAGGUUAAUGCACAUGAACUCUUUAAUGAAUGAAAUUACUCCUCUAUGUGAACUACUUGCAUGCUUAAAAUUGAGAAAAUUGUUAUUAUAGUGAUAUUUUUGUAUAUUUUUCUCAAUUUUUAAGUUUAAGCAUGUUAAAUCUUUUGCUUGAAUAUUCCUUGUUCUUAGAGAUAAUUGGCAUUCAUUAAGAAGAAUUGGAGCUCAUUAGUUGGUACUUUGGUGAUAAUGUGUAUAGCCAAUUGGUGUGUAAUUGUUGGAUAAAAUCAUGAGAUAAUUGGCCCGUACAUUCUUGAAGUAAUGAAAUUGAUCUUUUAAGAGUCCUUUUUACUUUGAGAUUAUAUUCUAUUGAAAUAUGCAUCAAUUCUUAAGAGAUUGGACUUUUUAAUGAGAUUCUAAUUAAAAUAUGCUGUUCAAUUGUUGAAAGUGGAAUAUUCAAACAAUGUGUUGAGAUUGUAGAUUGAAAUUGAUAUCAUGCAUGUGCAAUGAGCUUGUGAAUUGGUUAAAUACGAUAUGGCCGUGAAUUUGUUGAUUGUUGGCAGGGAGUUUUUUCCUUUUAUUAGGGGAAACUCUGCCGAAAUUUUCCCAAAUCAUUUUUAAACAUUGUUGGUCGUGUAUUUUCAAGGGAUUUAGAAUUCUUCUAAUGUGUGUUUGAUCUUGUUUUUGAUAUAGGUACCAUGACUCGCACAAGACGAUCUCGUGUUCGCACUCCUUCACCUUCUUCAAGUGAAGAGCAUACUCCUUCAAUGCCUAAGGAGUCACCAGGGGAAGAAUCUCCUUCACCACAGUCGCCGCCACGCUUACGGCGUAAGAGAGCAUCUACGAGCCAUGAGAAGCUAGCUCUAGAUUAUGACACCACUCGUUUUAGACAAAGAGAUCAUAAUUGAAAAACACUUGGCCCCGGAGAUGGAUGACCACUCACUACAAGAAAAUUGUUCAUCAGUGACAACACAAAGUCAUCACAGAACAUACAAAUAUCGUCACAAAUACCUUUUAUUGACGACUUUUCGAUCGUCACAAAGUCGUCACUAAAUCCCCGUCGGUAAAAGUAAACAGUGACGACAUUUUAGGUAGAGCAUUUUUGACAAAAGAUCAAUUCGUCAAUAAAACACUUCCAGAUUGUCGUCACUAAUGACAACUAUUUAGUGACAACUAUUUGGUCGUCACUAAAUAGUUGUCAUUAGUGACGACAAUCUGGAAGUGUUUUAUUGACGAAUUGACCUUUUGUCAAAAAUGCUCUACUUAAAGUCGUCACUAAAAAGCACCGAAAGCCAUUGUAUAUAACUAUUUUACUGACAACAAUUGUCGUCACAAAUGUAACUUAGAUUUAGUGACAGUCUCUGUUGUGACAAGGAGUUUUUAUUUUCUAUUUUGUGACAACUUUUUUUUGUCAUUAGAUAAUUUCAUAAUAGCUUAAUAGUCAUAAUUUGGCCUGUAAUCAUUGCUAAAUCAUUGAUUUUGAACAAACCAUACAAAUAAACAUAAACGAUUGAUAACCAAAAGUAUUUGCAUUAGAUUACAUGGUAAUAAUAUAGCAUUCUCAAAUGCCAAAUUCAAGUGUACAUUGCCCAACUAAUGCCUACAAAAAUAACAUUUGUCCAAAAUAUCACUUGUACAUAAGGUACAUUUACAAAAGCAAUCACAGUUUAAGAAAUUGAAGAACAUCUAAAUGAACCACUCCAUGAGCAAAAGGCAAUUUUGUCUUCAACAUUCUUCAACCAUAACCAUAGAUAUCUUCCAAAAGCUAGUAUGAAUAGCAUUUAUCUGUCAUAAAAGAGUAAAAGAAGUAGGUAAGGGGAGGAGUACAAUAAUAAAGAACAAGUAAUGAGACUUAGAUUAUUAAGACAAAAAUUACAAUUCAUUAAGAAUCUCAUAUAAUUUGGGCCCACAUAUUACAACACCAGCAAGAAGUUAGAAAUCACAGUCCAAUCUAUACAAAUACAACACUGCAUAAGCUCAACUAAAGAGCUCUCUAAAACAGUUUUUUUUUAAUUUUCUUUCUUCUUCUUUAAAUAGCUCAACUUAUUGAACAAUUAAAUUGGACUCCCACAGUAAUUAUUGUUUAAUGUUUAUGCUUUUGGUUGUUUAUAUAUUAAAACUAGGUGAUUGCUUCCCACGCAAGGCAUGGGAACUUUAGACCUGUUAGUAAGGUUGUAUUUGUUAUUGUAAUAUUUUUAAUAUUUUAGAUGAUGAAAAGAGUGAUGUGAUGUGUAUCGUGAACUUGGGCUAGGAGUGAAAAGGAGUAUUAGUCAAAAAUAUAUUAGUUCCAAGAGUAGUCAUGUACUAAUACAAAGGAUACAGCCAAUGCAGUAAUGAUGAUUCACAAGAAAAAGGAAAGCAUGAUAUUUACAUAUACAACAGUAAUUUAGUAUAGAUGAUUCAAAAGAAAGAGGCUCCUUUGACGUUCAAAUACAUUCCAUUAUCAUGUAACAACAACUCAGAUGACAAUGAAAUAAAUUCACAAGUACCAAUCACUUGGUCAUUACUGCAGUAACAGUUAAUGGAAGUAGCAAGAUAUUGCUACAACUUGGUCACAUGCAAAUUUUUUUUUUGUUCUGGGUUCACAAGGAAUGAAUUCAUAAAUUAUGAAGCAGCAAAAUAAAUUCACAAGUACCAAUCACUUGGUCAUUACCACAGCAACAGUUUCAAUACCAACAGUUUCAACUUUCUUGAGACAAUCAAGUUGCAUCUUAAGUUUGCAAAAUAUCAAGUUUUACAUGUCCAUUAAAAAUUUUAAAAAGUACCUUUGCUUUCAUCACCACCUUUCCGGCUUAGGAUACCUCCUUGAACACCACCCCCAUAAAGCCACUGCUUCAUCUGGUUUUACACUCUUGUUGGGUUCCUUUCCAUCAAAGUAGUCCUUGAGAAGUUAUUGGACUUUUGGGAUCCUGGUAGCCCCACUAACAGGAACAAUUUCAUGCAUCUGGUGGUUCUCCAAACCAGCAUCCCCCAUAGCCUUCUUGACAAGUCCCAUGUUUUUGCUAAAGAGGUCAUUGUUCAACUCGUCAAAUCAAGCAUGAGUCUUAACUUGCUGCUGGCUGCUUAAAGCUCUUUUGGCACGGUCAGCUUCCCUCAGUUUUCCAAGUGGUCUGUUGUGGUUGCUGAUGUUCUUUCCAUGUUUCUUGUUAAUCAACUUGAUGAAAUAUUCUAUAAUCCUUUGAUGAAAGCCUUUGCCUACAAUAAAACAGAGCAAUUAGAACCAUAUGAAAGCUUUUUAUAAGAAAUGUAACUAAUAAAACUUAUACAAGAAAUUGGUUGCUUUAAUUAGUGUAGUUAGAUAAACUUUUUUAAUUCGUAGUUAGACAGGCAACUGCUGCUGCUCUGGGUUCAUUGAUAGUCCUAGCAACAUUCAGCCCAGCAAUAAUACCUGCAUUCUUUGUUGCCUGCCUCUGGGCAUCACUGAAGUAAAAUAUGAUUCAACGAGUAACUCUAGAAAUUGAACUAUACCGGGAACAGUUACCACAGCAUCCUUAAUUUUCUUUGCAAGGAAAGCUUCAGCUGCUUCUUUCAUCUUAGUUAAAACCAUUACACUAAUUUCCUCAAGACUGAAGACUUUAACCUUACUAUCCUUAAUUUUCACCUAGAUAUAAGGUUUUCCAUCCUUGUUCACAAUCUUACAAGGAACGAGCUUCAUAUCCCUCUAAACUUCAUUAGUCUCAAUCCUGUUAUAUAACAGUUAAGACUUCAGUGAGCAUAUGUAUACACACCAAAAUGUUCCAGCAAAAAUGAUAAAUACACGAGUGUGCCUUACUUUCAUCCAAUAAAUCUCUUGACAUCAAAGAUAGUUCUUUCAACAUUAACAUCGAAUCAGUCUUUCGCUACCAGCAAAUGCAAUCCAUGAUGGCUUAAUACGAUUCCUUGGUCAUUUGCUGUGAUUUCAACAUGACCAUUUUUGUAAAUAUGAGCACAUGAAUAGGUAGUUCCAAGAUCUAUUCCAAUGACUAUUCCCAAUUUUGCAGCUUAUUCUUUGGUGAUGGAAAUUGUAGAUAGACAGCCUUUUGCACCGAAAAAUAUUAUUGGAAAAAGUAAAACUCUUAUGUAUAGUUUUUGAGAGAAAAAAACUAAAACACUGCAGGAUGAAGCAAUUCCACACUCAUGAUGAAAUCCACAAUUACUCGAGCAACCGUGGGAUUGAAGAGUUCGAAGAGCUUGCUCAAACAUUGUGGUGACCAUCCCAAGAACAAGUGGAAAAAAUAAGAACUCAUUUAAUUUCAAGAAAAUGAAAUGAACAUCAAGUAUCAAACUAACAAACAGUGCAGGAACAGAAGAAGGAUAUGAACUGCGAAGAACAAUCUGAUAGAUAGCCUAGUGGUUAAUGGUUUUUUUUCCCAUCUCCCUUUUUUCUUCCUUCCCAAUCCUUCCUUGCUAAAAAAUGGCUUUGAAAGUAUCAAAUAGUACCUAUCAAAUUAGCGAACUGAGUUAGUUUAAAGAAGAUCCUAUAAUAGUUAUUCUAAAAAUCUUUAGUCACUUGCUACGUGAGGAGGGCGUGGCAGAUAAUAACUCUUUGUUUUUUGGCUCAUUUCGAAUUGAUAUACUUUUUGGCUUAAUUGGAGAGAACUAAUUUGAAUCAUUUCCAACCAGUUUACAGAUAAAAAAAAUUUCAUUUAUGAAAAUGAAAUAGAAAAAAUAAUAGCACAAAAACAAUGAAAAUAGACAUCAAUGGCUAGUAAAAAAAAGGUGUUCUUUUAUCAUUGAAAAUUAGGCCAAUGCUGAUCAAUGAGCUAUAGUUGUUUGACUAUCAACAGACAUAAUAUCAAGAAAUUACGAGAGCUUUUUUUGCUGUAACAUCAACAGGCAUAAUAUCAGAUGUGUAAUCUUGUUUUACCAGAGUUUCUGCCUAUACAGUGAUAAUCUAGCACAUUAACAGGCAAAAACAAUAAUCAGGCAGACAGUCACUGAAUCGAAUAAUCAGGUAGCUUAUUUUCAUUGAGCACCACCUUGCCAUCAGAUGAUUUUCAUGAAUCACUUAUCAGCAUCUUUGACUACAAGAAUUAGUACCUUUUAAUAGAUCAGCAGAAAGCCGCAAGAUUUUUCCAAACUUUAUCAACCACGCUGCAUAUCACAUGAUAUUAUUCCCAUUCAAUUGUUGAUGGAGGCUUGGAAGUAAUAUCUUGAACAACUCGAUUUACACCACAUACACUAUUGCAUAUCUUUCUUGCAACAACAUCAAGGAAAUUGUGUUCAAAAUUGUACCAGUCAGCAGUCAUCCCAUCUUGAUUUGUGACAGCUCUCAAUGCAACAACAUGAGAAUGUGUUCUUUGAUCACCUUGAACUCCAACAGACCUUAUGGGCAAGAAAACAGCAAAAGCUUGCUAUAUUUUAAAAAAAACAACCAAACCAAAUCAAACCAACCUUUACUAAUGAUUCUAAGAAAAACCCACUUCAAUUUUGCCAAGAAACAAAUUGCAAAACAAAUGAUACAGGAAAAGAAACAUCCAACUUCAUAAAACUAAACAAAAAAGCCAUAGAAAACAACAGAAAACGUAAAUGGAGUUUGAAAGUGAUAUUCUUAGAGGGGUUCAAAUGCAACUAAAUAGGGACUUAACUGAAUGAAUUAUGGAUGUUUUAGGGUCGAAUUAAGUUCAGGAACUCUGGGGCUAAAUUACAAAAAAGAAAAUGGAAUGACCGGAAUUGCAAAUUUAAGCAAACGAUCGUCUUCCCCAAGCAGAUUAGGCAUCAAUCUUCUAUUUAGACCUUCACUCGGGCAUUUUAACAAACAGUACAUGGGCAUAGAAGGAUCCAGCAAUUUUUGCUCAAUUGGGACUGUAAUUAGCCCCCCAAAAUUUGUCAAAACACAAGAGAUUUCAGUCCAAACAACAUACAAUAGCAUACAAUCUAAAAUCGUUAGCAAUCAACAUGAAGUUGGCACUGAACAAACGCACGGCAAACAUGCUUUGAGACUUUUCAAUGUUCAUACUAAAAAUGGAAAACUAAAAUUCAAAGAAGGCAGACCGCUUAUAGCGUUUGCUUGGCGAAGUCUGCAGGCGAUGGUGAUGGUCGAAGGAAGGUGCGAAUGAUCAGGCGGCUAUAGCUGCCAUGGUAGCCACGCUGGAGCUGGGCGCCAGUGGUGGGUGGCAACAUGAAAUCGAGGAGCGACAGUGAGAGAGAAAGGUCGUGCGGGAAGGGGAGAUGCGUCAGGCAGCUAGGCGGCGCACGAAAUGGAGGUGCCGUGGCGGAACUUGGAGGCGUCGGAAAUUGGAUGAGAGCAGAGUGACGGCAGCUAUGGAGAUUGCGCUCUGUGAUGGCCGAUGAGCGGCUGUUGCUCUGUAUUUUCUUUGUGUCCCCUCUAGGCCAAGACCUUUCUCUGUUUCUGGUUUCACUUCCUCAAUCACCAGCCCCCAAAUGAAACUUUAGUCUUUUCCUUCGUUCCCCUGCCGACGACCCCUUUUCUUCCUUGACAGCUAAAAGAUUUUGGGCAGAAAUUUGCAAAAAAUAUUGUAGAAUAUUAGGGAUUUGGAAAAAUUGGGGAAAAUGUAUAGGAGAGAGAAAAAUGAACCUUUCCAAUGAAAACCUUGCCCUUUAAUGCUGGACAGCCAUGGUGAUGCUAGUGAGAAGCCAGAGAACGGAUUUGUUGUGUGGGUGAAGGUAUCAGGUGCCGUGUGGAAGCUCUGUUUUGUGCUCAGUGCAGAAGCUUGUUUGUUUCAGCUCGGUGAAAGUUUGUGUUGCUCAAGUGUUCCGUUGCUUUAACUCAGACCAAGUGUUCCGUUGCUUUUCUUUUCAGAAUGUGUUCCGCUGCUUUGGUCUUUGCUUUGCUUUGGAUAUUGUUUUUGUUGCGCGGCACUUUCACUAUGAUUUGAUCAAAAUUUUGACUUCACUCAUUUUCCCUCCAUUUGAUACCAAAAUUCAUGUUUUUUUCUGGAUUUGUAAUAUGGUUUGAACCAUAGAUUUUAAUGCUAUAGUAUUAUUCUUUAUUUUUUAGCAAAAAAUAAAAAUUUUCAUCAACAUAGGUGGCAAAAUUUGUUAAUUUCAUAUAAUUGAAAAUGUACUUUUAUAAUUUGCUAAUAUUUUAUACUAAUUUCUUAUAAUUGCAGCACUAAAGAACAUCAUGUAAUUCAAAAUAAUUAAACUCAAAUUAUAUCGUUAUAACAUAGUUUCAAUAAAAAUAAUCAUUUUCCCAACAUUUGAGACCAAUCAUCAUGCUUUUUUUAUUUUUAAUUUGGUUUGAAGCAUAGAUUUUAUUGCUAUAGUAUUAUUCUUUAUUUUUUAGUACAAAAACACAAAUUUUCAUCAAUAUAGGUGGCAAAAUUUGUUAAUUACAUAUAAGUGAAAAUAUACUUUUAUAAUUUGCAAAUAUUUUAGCCCUGCAAUUUUUUAUAAUUGCAGCACUAAAGUACAUCAUUAAUUGAAAAUAACGAAAGUCAAAUUCUAUGGUUAUAACAGACUUUCAUUAAAAAUAAUCAAAUGCUAUUAAUAAGACAUUAUUGUUAAGUCAAAAUCAAAGAAAAUUUAGUGAUGACAUAAUGUUAUCACUAAUUUAUUCAAGAUUAUAAUGACAAGAAAAGUCGUCACUAAUUAAAUUGCUAGUUUUUAAUAUUGUCAAUUGCUAGUUUUUAAUACUUUUGUGAAAAUACUGAUAAUGGUUGAGAAAAUUUUGUUACAUUACUGCAAGUGAUAAAUGUACUUUUGUUCUUUUUCAAACAUUUAUUUUAAUGUUUAAUUUUGUUUAAAACUAUUGUACUAGUAUAGAUUUGCAAAACAAAACUUAAGUUCUCAAUAGUUAAAAAAUUCAUUACAGAGAAAACACAAAGUAGUAGUUGCAAAAUGUGUAUAAAUUACAGAUAUUUUAAUGUGUAUAAAUUACAGUUUAUUUUAAUAUUUAAUUUUGUUUGAAACUAUUUUACUAGUAUAGAUUUGCAAGACAUAGAUUUAUGGGUAAUUUUUUUUUUUUGCUUUCACAUAUUUAAUUUAUGUUAAAUACAAAACCUACCAGUUUCCCUUUCAUAAAAAUAUUAGUGCAACACUUUUUGAAUUUUACUUACAAACAUUUAUGUAUUUAACGUAAAUUAAAUGAUUCAGAGUGAAAUGCCCAUAAAGAGCAGAAUAUUUAUUCAUGUAAUGGAGGAAACCCACAAGGAGUUGGUACUUUAUGGGCCAUUUCUUUUUUUAAAAAAAUUUAAUUUAUGUUGAAAAGAUAACCUGCCAGUUUUCGUUUUGUAAGAAAUCAGUGUAAUACUUUUUGAAUUUUACUUACAAACAUUUAUAAAUUUAUCAUAAAUUAUAUGUUUGAGAGUAAAAUGCCCGUAAAAAGUUGGUACUUUAAAUAGAUAAUGCUCAUUUGCCCAUAAACUACACUCCCUAAAGGCUAUUUUGUUAAUUAUUUUGUAGUACUUUGUUAUUCCUUUGCUAAUACUACUUGGCAUGUAGUACAAAGGAUAAAUCUGGCAUAAAUUUCUUAUUCCAUUGAUAAAAAGACCUGCCUGCCUUAUAACUAUUGUAAUGAAAGAUAUAUCUUUAGAGUUUAUAACAAAUUAUUACUUAAGUUUGAGAAAAUUAUAAAAUAUUUAUGCAUAGUUUAUCAAGAUACCAUUCGCAAUUUCCUAAUAAAAAAAUAGGGGCUAAAUUGUAAAAGCUAGGGUGCCAUAAUAGAAAUAAUAAAAUUGGUGUAUUACAUAUGGGGGUUAAAUUGCAAAAGUUAGAGUGCCAUAGUAGAAUUAAUAAAAUUGAAUUAAUAAAAUUGGUGAAUUACAUAUGGGGCUAAAUUACAAAAAUUAGGGAGUAAUAAUAGAAUUAAAGAAAUCGGUGCACUACAUAUGGGGCUAAAUUGUAAAAGUUAAGGUAUCAUAAUCGAAUUAAUGGAAUUUUUUACAACAUUUGGGGCUAAAUCGCAAAAGUUAGGGUGGCACAGUAGAAUUACAGAAAGUGACUUAGAAAUAAGUACUUUAAACAGUGACGAUUAAUUCUUGUCACUAAAUCCAAAUCGGUAGAGUGACAGUGACGAUAUUAGAAGUUGUCACUAUAUAGAUCAUUUUAGUGACAACUUUUUCAAGGUCGUCACUGAACACUUAGUUGCUUUGAGCAAUUAUGACAACUUUCCUUGUCGUCACUAAACAAUCACGUUUUGUGACGAAUUUUGUCGUCACUAAAAAAUGUUGUCACUAAUGACCAUAUUUCUUGCAGUGUAGUUUGUGACGAAAAUAACGGGUCGUCACUAAACAUUUAGUUGCUUUGAUGCAAUUAUGACAACUUUAGGUGUCGCGACUAAAGAAGCUCCUUUUGUGACGACUUAUUGUCAUCACUAAAAAAUGUUGUCACUAAUAAAUUUUUUUUUUAGUGAUCAGUGACGACAACAAAAAGUCGUCCGUAAAUAGGCCAAGCAAUAGUGAUGAUGUUCUUAAUGUCGUCACUAUUGUGUGUUCUAAACACUCCCGCGCUCUUGCUAAAACUUGGCGGGAAUUUACUAAGUCGUCACAAAUGGGUUGGCUCCCAUUAGAGGUUUGUGACGAGUUAGAAAUUCGUUAAUAAAUGAUCCACUUUUGUGACAACUUUUUUUCGUCACAGAGAAAAGUUGUCACUGAUGACCAAUUUUCUUGUAGUGACUACAAGAUCUCCACGGCAUUCAAGUGACUUAGAUGGGAGACUAUACUAAAUUUGCCGAAGCAUUACUAUCCCAAUCUGGUCCGGGAGUUCUACGCCAAUGUGGAAGACAAAUAGAGCCACAGUGGCAACCUUAUCAUCUCCUGGGUUCGAGGCAAGAGAGUGGCUCUCACUCGACAUACAAUCACCCAAAUCGUCAAACUAAAGGACAAUGGAGAAGAUGUUAAAUUGACUAAGGAAUUUAAGGCACGUGAUCCAUGGCAAGUCGGAGAAACUGUGGCACGUCUUAAGGGUCAAUAUCGGGAGUGAGGAAGUUCGAAGAAGCUCAUUGUAUACGCCGAUUCCUUUGAGCAUAGGUACCACCUGAUCUUCUAUCUCUUCGCCUUCAAUGUGGUACCAAAAAGGAGUGGAAAAAGGGAGCUCCGAAACGGUGACUUGUAUUUCCUCGAUAAUAUGAUGCAUGGUGUAGGUAGGCUGCUGACUGGUAUUCCUCUGGCCAGCAUCAUCAUCAGUUACAUGCGUACUACAGCUUGCAUGAGAGCCGACGAAACUUGCUUUGGGUUCCCUCGUUUGCUCUCCCUUAUUUUUAAGCAACUCAAGGUUCCUCUGGGAACCGAGUGAGCCAUUGUUACUAGGGCAGCCGAGGAAGUCAACGGCUCAGUACUUAGGUCCUUAGGUAUUCCUACGGAUUUUGGAGCUUCUCUGGUACAGGAUGUUGGAGAAGCAUCGACUUCAGCUUAGCCUCCAGCUCACACUGAACCACACCAGGAAGCUCAAGAGAUGGAGGCAUAGCAGACUCUCCCUCCUCCCAUUCCACGACCACCCCCUCCGCAAUGAUCCAAGUGGCAAGAGGCCCUCAAUGCCAUAUGCUGUAUGGAGACACGAGUCAUCAAGCGCAUUGAUCAGACGGAGCGGCUGAUGACGGAGCGACUAGACAGGCAUGAUCGCCAUCUUCGAGCGAUCGAGGAUCAUUUCCACAUUCGCCGCUCCCCUACACCGAUUCCUAAGCCAAGGCCCGAUGAGGGCAUGCAGAUCGUGAGGAGGGUGGCAGCAAUGCAGAUCAUGAGUUGGGCGGCAGCACUGAAGCGACUGAGCUUGGCGUCUCCUCUGCAUAAUUUACUUUCUUUUCAGCUUUUAUUUAGUUUUUCAUCUUUUAUUUUCGAUUUGGUGUUAACUUUUUGUUAUUUUUCUAUUUUUCUUAAAACUUGUGGAAUGGUCUCACUCUCUAUGGAUAUAUAUUUUUCCCUUCAUACAGAAUUUGGCUAGUAGAAUUUGGAUGAUCGUGAUGAUCGUGGUUUCAAAUUGCAUCACUACUUCUUUUGAGAGGAGUAUUAGUUUCUUUUACCUUCCUCUACAAUGAGGACAUUGUGAAUUUUAAGUGUGGGGGAGGGAUUACUUUAUCUUAUGGGGUGAUUGUGUUUUGAAGUGCAUGAUUUUAGUUAUUUAUGGCCUAGAAAUGUUGGAAUCAUAUUUGGAAAUAUUGUCAUGAAGAUAAUUUUCUUGAAAUUGAGGCUGUUGGCAGGGAGUUUUAUCCAUAUAUAUGGGGAAACUCUGUCAAAAUUUUUCUAAAAUAUUUUCCAAUAUUUCAUUGCAAUUCUUUCCAAUAAUGGCCGAAAUGUUCAAUUUUAAAUGUCUAAUUCUUCCAUUGGAUAAAAUGUUAUAUAUAUUUUGGAAAGUUUAGUCCUUAUUUGACUUGGCAUUAGUCAUUAUGCAAUUAGGAUUUUACAUUUUAGAAAGUAUAUUCGGUUAAAUAAGGAAAAUUAUGCUUAGAAUUUUGCAGGUUUAAUGAUAUUUCUCAUUUUUACUUAAUUUUAUAAGUAAGUGAUUGAUAUAGUCAAAACAAGGCCAGAUUCAUCCUUUAAUUAUGCUCAGAGGGAAAUUGAUUAUUAAAAAAAAAAAUUCUACUCCAAUGAUUCGCAUACUGAGUAACCGGGGGUUAGCAUUUACAAAUGUCGACAUUCGCGUAAAAAGGUAUUGGAAUUAAAAGUAUGCCUAGCAAUUUAAAUGAGUGAAAUGUUGAGUAACCGGGAAUCUUCACCUAAAAGUGUAGAUUUUCACGUAAAAAGGCAUUGUCACUAUUUAAGUAAAAUGAAGUAUAAAAAAUCCCUCUCAGUUAUGAAAAUUUUGAUGGAUAUAUGAUGAGAAAUGCCAUAGAAUUGACUAUGUGAUUUACUUAUUUGUGAAAUUAGGAUAGGAUGAGAGAUUGAGUUGAAAUUGUUAAAAUUAAGGUAUAAUUAUCUUUAUUUAACUUGAUAUUAUGAGUAUUUAGUGUAAUCUGAGAAUUGGUAUAAUGAUUGGUUUCUAGGUUUUGAGGAACUAAAAUUGACAAAAGUACGUAUAUUAUUUUAUCUCUUGAAUCAUUGUAGUAAGUUAUGUGUAAAAUUGCUUGAGGACAAGCAACGAUUCAAGUGUGGGGGAAUUUGAAAGAGAAUAUUUAACGUACAUUUUGUACAAGUUUGGCAUGAACUUUUGGUAUGUUUUGAGAAGAUUAAAACCAUAUUUGCACUCUUUUGGUGAUAAAUAUUUAAAUAUUGUUUAAGUGUUCAAAACUUGAUAAAUGAGUGGAUUAAUACGUUAAUUUUGUGAAAUUGUGAAGGAUAUUGAUAUAUGAAAUUCAUGCACGAGAUGAAGGAAAUGUAAGGAUCGUCCAGAGGAUAAAGUACAAAAGAAACUAGGAGCAAAAGUGAAGAAAAAGGAAAGAAGUGAAAAACUGGAAAUUGAUUAGCACGGAUCCGAGUUUGGAUCCGUGUGAACAAAGGGCGAUUCGAGCCCUCGUCUGUACUUCUGGAGCAGUGCAUCCAAGGCCAGACGAUCCAAGCUCGGAUCAUUAAGAGAAAGGCCUCGGAUCAGUCUUGAUCCGAGCUCGGAUCGUAGUGCACACCUCGGAUCCAAGGCUCGGAUCUACCUCUCUCUUCUGCAAGUGGCACAGCCAUUUUUUCUCAUUUUUCACACAACUUUUCAGCUAUCUUGGGUGAGAGAAUUCGGUGGCACAUGUUUCUGCAACAAAAAGGAAGACAAAAUGAGUUAUUGACAAGUCAAAACAACAUUUCUUUUGACUUUCUUUACAAAAUCUGAGUUGUUGGAAUCAUGAAGGAGAAGAAAGUGCCUUUCUACCACCUUUUAUGCAGAGAACCAAGAAGUCAGGCAUCACCAUAUGGAAGGAGUUUUUCAUCUUGUAACAUUUUUCUCUCUAGCUAGAAGUUCUAAAAACAAGCACUUGGAGAUUUCACUUGUAAUUAUCUUGUACAAGACAUAGCAGAAAUUUGAGGGUUUCAUCAUUAAUUGGCUACGCUUUUCUUUAUCUUUCUUGUACUUGUACUUUAUGAUGUUUUGCAUUAAUAAACUUGUGAGUUUGAUUGUUAUAUCAUUCAUGAGUAGCUAAAUUUCUUUAUCUAGAGAGUAGAUGAAACUUAUGGCUAAAUGAUAUGAAUUGAAUGUGAUUUAAACUUGUUAUAUCUUGUAUUAACUUGUCUAUUUGUGCAGUUGUAAUUACUUGUUGUUGUUUGAUCACCAAUAGCAUGUUUAUAGUUGUUAUUAAUCAAUGAGAAUUGGUAGUAACAAUGGAAAAAACAUGAGUAGAGCUUGAGUUGUAUGUUCAUGAAAAUAGAUGUACACUUAAGUGGAUUAGCUAGCAUUUCAUGAAGGAAAACAGAGUAGAACUAGUAUUUCACCAUGAAAAUAGGGAAAACUGGAUUGCUCUAGGCCAUUUUAUCAUGAGAAUGAGAUUUGGUAAUAUUGGAAAUGAAUCCCUGGUUAAACAACAAUAAUAACAAGAGAAAUUUAUUCAUUUGUGUUGUUUAUGCCAUAAGUGGAAUCUACAUCCCUAAAUUUAUUCUUGAGUGAAAUUUAUCCAUUUGCAUUUAGCAUUUGUUAAACUAGAUUUAUAGACAAUAGCAUUAUAAUUUCUCUACUCAAAUUCAUUUAUAAGUCUAAAUAAUAGAGAAAAUAAGGGUUUAGUACUUGUUUAAAUUGCUCCUCGUGGGAUCGACUCGAUAUAUACCUUACAUUAUGAUUUCGGCCUGUAUACUUGCAGGCAACGGGUAUAAAAUCGGAUUUAAACUUACAUUGAUAUAAAAAUCCCGUCACAUAUGUGAGAUCAAAUUAUUUUACUUAUUUCUUUUAUUCAUUGGUAUUUGUACAUUUUCUGAUUUAACUUCAUAUACUUGUUAUGUUAUUUGAAUGUCAAGGGCCCGAUAUUCGAAUUAACCUAAUAAUCUACUGUUAGAUUAAUUGAUUGAAUCCCUAAUUGUUCAAUUGAUUAAUACCAGUGGCAACUAGCGUGAUUGGUUUCAUGUUAGGGAAACGUAUGAUCUAACUUAAACGAACCCUCGUAGCGUGUUUGUUAAUUAAGGUUGGCUUUUCUAAUUCUUAUUGCAAUUGAGAAAUUAAAUCCUAUAGUCGUACCUAGGGUUAUUUUUUGGUUAGGAAAAUAGUUAAUGGUCGUACCUUGACUAUCGAAAAAGUAAGAAAAAGUUGGUUGUUUAUCGCGUGUAUAACAACUAUAACCAAUCUAUUAAUUAGUAAUUGAAUUAUCUUUGCAUCGAUGAUCAGUUGAAAGGACCAUGUCUGAAAAGUUGCACCUUUGGCUAGAGUUGUAUUGGUUAUUGAUUAAUUCCUGUUGAUUUCUAUUAGUUGUUUCAUUAGUUGAUUAAUUAGUUAUUUUAUAUUUUUCAAAAACCCCCCAUACUUCGGACUCUGGAAGAAAUGAAUUAUCCCCAGUCCCUGUGGAUUCGACCCUACUCACCGCUAUAUACAAAUUUGUAUUUUUCUUGAGUAGGUAAUUAUUAUUGCACAUGUUCAACACCUGUCAUUCUAUAACUGUAUACAGAGUCAUCUUUUUCAAAGAUUUCCCAUGCUGCAAAAUGUACUCUACGAGCUUUAUUUCAUCUUCCUCCCCUAUAAAUUGUCUGAUUCCAAUAUGCCUAAGAUGUUCAACAAAGCGUAAUGGGAAAACUAUUUGGAAAUGUAGAUUCCAGGUCCUUGUAUAUGCAAAGUCCUUCUUACACAACUUUACAUAUUGAGAAGAUCAAAAAUUGCAAAACAUAAUAAUACUUGAAAUUAGUGAGAAUAUAUCCAAAAGAAACAAAAUAUUAAUACCUGAAAUCAGGUUUUACAAUCUGUGCACAAAAAGCACCUAAACCCAAAUGGCCCAUGUUGGAAUAGACCAAGUUUAGUUCAACUGCAGAAAUUCCUAGUACAAUGGAACUGCAACUUCAACUUCAGUAAAUUGCAAGCUGAUAUUAUGAUUCUAUAAAUCCUAAAAUCUCCCCCAAGUCCUCUUGCCUCCAGCACAAAGUAUGUACAUAGAUGCUGACCUGUUCUAUACACUUGUAGGUAAAUUCAAAUCAGACGGCAUUCAAUAGAACUGCCUUGAUUUGGCUGCAUAUUAGCACUACUGCUCUUUAAAUCUAACUUGAUUAAGCUGCACAAAAAGGGAAGAUUACAUUCGAUGGAGAAAUUUUACUGAUUGCAGAUGAAAUAGGGGCUAAAAUCAACUAGGAAAAGCAGAGAAGUUAACCUCAACCGACGAGGAAACAAGAUGCAAAAGUCAGAAGUUGUUAGCUUAAACCUCAACCGAAAGAAAAAUGCAAUCUUUGAUAUUAAACACAUAACCCACAUAAGUUAGCUUCACAGAGUCCAGAAGGAUGGUUGGAACUCAAUUUUCCUAAAAUUGUGAGGAAAAUAAUGCAAUCUUAGAAAUCUAACACAAAUAAUGGUAAUAAAAACACACAAGAAGGGUAUGAAAACUUACAAAAUGGCGCCAAAAUAUAGAUCUAACAAUAUUUGAAGCAAAUGGAUGAAGCAUUGAAGUUGUUCUAAGAUUUUUGGGCAGCAAUAAAACCUAAGCUCCUUCACGUUUAGCAAUUCUUAGGAGAUAGACAGGAGGCGGGUCUUCUUUUUUAGCAAUUCCUCAGAGGUCUCCUUCCCGUUUAGCAAUUCCCGCAUAUGUUCUUCUAUUUUUGGACUAAAAACCACCGAUGUUGGCCUUUGAGAGAAGAACAGAUGCGUGCUUCUCAAUUGACAGAGACAAGAGAGGACCAACCUUUCUAUGUAUAUAUCCCUCAGCCUCUAACAAGCCUUUGAAUUUUGAUGGAAGGACGUUGCGGGAAAAAUAAAAUUCUUGGAGGGAAUAAAACGCGCGUCCUAAAUUCUGAUUUAAGUUUUGUUGUUAAAAGUUUCUAAGAAUUGAAGUAUAUUAUAAUAUAUAUAGAAUAAAUAUUGAGUAUUAGAAGUAUAUAAUUUGAAAGAAAUCAUGUGAGGACUCGAAAAUUUUUAUUAUUUUAAAAUCCCUAAUUUUGGCUCAAUUAAUUAAUUAUUUGGAUUUUUAUCACGAAUAAUAUUUUCUAGCCUUAUUAGACCGAAGUACAUGGUUUUAUAGAUUCGUUAUAUUUUUAAAGCACCUCAUUUCAAAAAAUUAUUAUUUUUUUUAAAAAGCUUGUUUAGCGGAAAAGUGAAAACGUGUCUAAACACUUUAGCCAAUUGGGAGUACAAUAAGCUCAAAAUUUGAGACCUAUACAAUGGUCCUAAAAUAGACAAUUUUAGGUUUAAUUAUACAAGUGAUAGCUAGUGGUACAAUCGUUAUAAGAAUUUUUCAAAGGUUUCAAUUUUUAUUGCGCCUAAAUUAGAAAUACGUGUUUGCACGUGCGCGCUUAAUUGAGGGACUUUGGACCAUUAUUUUGGGACAAUUAAGAAUGGAUAAUAUUUAUAUAAAUGUAAGUACCCUAGAGGUUUAGUGCACUAGUGCAACAAACGUAAGAGAAAUCGAACACAAAACGCGCGCGUAGGGUACUAGUUAUAAUUGAUUUGACGUAUUAAAAGAUUUGACGUCAAGCGUCUUUCGUACGCAAAGGCUUCAGAACCGCAGCUUCAUUUCAAUCUCAUUUCAUUUCUGCAAAGCUUCAUGGACGGCUAGACAGCAAGAGACAACCGAGGCUUCACCAUUUCUUUCUUCCAAAACUCAUCCAAAUCCUUACCAAAACUUCCAUAGAUUCUUACCAAUCUCCACAUUCAUUUAGCUUUUCACUUGGACGGCAACUUAGCUGCAAAAGGAAGGAGCUAUCCACGGUUUCUUCAAGCUUCAAAGGGGCCGAAAAAUCUGUCCAAACCAGUCAUCAAAGUAGGUACUAAUCAAGCACCUUGAACUUGUCUUAUGGAAGUUGAUCUAUGCAUUUGAGUUGGAAUCUUCACUAUAGUAGCUUGUAUUGUUGGAAACGUGGGCUCUAUGAACUCCCACUUUGGGUUGAUGGCUGUGAUGAUGUUUGAUGAUGGUUUUAUUGCUGAAUUAGAGCUUAAGGAAGUAGAUUAAAGGUGUAUUGUGGACAGAAACGUUGUUGAACUCUUGAAGUAAAAAGUUCCCAUUUUACCCCUGUUCUGUUCGGUCAUUUUAAUGCAGAAACUGAGGAUUUAAUGGCCUGAUUAUGUUGAUUACAUGUUGCAAAAGUUGUGUACAAAAUUUCGUUGGAAAAUAUUGAGUUGUGGUUGAUCAAACGAAUUUAUUUCAAAAACUAGUAAUCUGGAAAACGGUUUCGCCGUAAUCCAGACCAGUGUUUGUAUUUCGUCCAUAACUCCGUACUCCGACUUCGAAAUCAAGUGCCGUUAGCGGCAUUUGAAACUAGACGUUCCCAUGUUUCCAACGGUGUAUAAUGGACCUUCUGGUUUCGUGUGUGUGAGCCACACCAUUCAUCUGAAGUCGACUGUCCUGUUUCUCCGUUCUGCCGAAAUGAUUUGAUGAUGCUGCAACUUUAGGCUUGAUUUUGAACCAGUUGCAUGCUGAAACUUAAAACGAUUUCUUCUGUGAAGUUGUAGCCCUAUGAAUCUAUUUUCUAACACUAUCAACCAUUUCCAAUUCCGAGUUAAAUUGAGGGAGUUAUGAUCAAUACACGGCAACUGCCUCGUUUUUGAAAACCUUAGUUUUGGACCGGCUCAAUCCUGGUAAUCUAGAACAGCAACUUUAGGCUCAUUUUUGAAUACCAUCCACUUAGAUUCAUGGAAUGAUGUCUUCUAAGGACUUUUAGUACUUUUGAAGACGAUUCCAACGGUACCAAAUUCAUCAAGUUUCGAUUAGUAGAAAGAAAGUUAUGAUUUUUCAAAGAUUUGACCAAAAAUCAAAAAUUCUGGAAUUCCAGAGGAAAUCCGCGAAGGAACAAUUUUACCAGAAUCCGGCCUUGAAUCCGGCCAGUUUCUGGACGGAUUGUCGGCCGGAUUGGUGGUCAAAUUUGAAAAAAAGGGAGGUUACCCACGGCCAGAAAUCCGGCCGGAUAUCCGGCCGGAUUGUGACGUGGCCAACCCUCCUUCGAUUUCGAUCGUUCGUUUUGCAAUCCUUUCGCUCGUACUCAAUUCCAACCAAUGAUUUUAAGGAUAAUAAUCCGAUUUUCACUUAAGUCCUACACCCUUUUGAGAAUCCAACUUAAUAAACAAGUCAAACGAAGUUUUCAAAUAUUUCCGAACCUUACCCGUGCCCAAUCUUUCUCACCACUUGGGGACCUAUAAUAAUUGUCUACUAUUCGAUGUUCAGGCACGCACGAGGACCUCCAAGAGGAUCCUACCGUGGAAGUUUGAACUCUCCCUCCAACCUACUUACUUGCAUAACUGGUGAGUGUCAAGUGUAUGCCUACUUGAACUCUAAAGUCUUGAUUCAUGAUUGACUUACCUGAUUAUAUGCUCGGUCUAUUGGAUUUUGAAAAAUGGAGUCGAGUGUGUACUUAAUCGCACUCGUUCUCAUUUGGAACAAAUGACUCAUGUUUGACAUGCUUUGCAUGGUUUAUAUGACCUGAAAUACAUGUUUGAACCUGUCAAAUGCUUGAAUUUAUGAAAUGGUAUGCUAUGAUUGCAUACGUCGAUGGAGUGAAUCUCCUCGACAUUUACAUGAUACACGGGGGACGCCCAAACUCAUAGGCCGACCUUGGAACUCGAGCCGGCAUGGGCCUGGUCGGGAACCUUGGUGAGCCAUGAGAAUUACAUGAUAAGCUUGAUCUAUUUGAGAGAUCUCGCUUGGCAUACUCGUGAAGUAUCGCCUUAUAAGUGUCGUGCGGGCCCGAAGUGGUGUAUGGUGGACGGAUGAGAAGUAAGUGGUGAACUACGGAUAUGAAAAUAUCAACCUGGUUGACGGAGAGUCAUCACGGGGAGAUAUACAAAUGACAUCGGCAAAUGUGGAACUUAACUCCUGAGAGCUUCCAUAUCCUUGAAUUGUUUCUGGUUACAUUUUGUCGGCGUUAUUACUUACUUGCAAGUGAUUACCUGAAUUGUUAUUUGGGGCUUGUUAUUUGAAUUAUGUGUCUGCAUGUGUGUUCUUGGCCUCACGAGCGUUUUUGCUCACCCUGUAGAUUUGUUUUCCUUAACAGGUUUGAACUCGGAGGUAAAAUGGAGAAGCCCUCUGAUGUACUUUUGUUUAGGGCUUGUUAUUACUUUUGGUUAUGCCUUUGGUUUUGAAAUUUUACUUUUGGUAUGGAAAUGUAACCCUUGGACGAAAUGAAAUCUGUAUUCUGACGUGUGGUUUGGUGAAUGGAUGACUAUUAUUAGGUUUGAAUACUUCCGCAUUUAUUGUAUUUAAGUUAUUGGCUUUUGUUGUGUGGUCCGGCUAUAACUUGAAUGGAAUUGCUUGAGUCCUGGCGAGAGUUAGGCAGGCGUUCCGCGGAUACCCUUUGGUUCGCCUUAGGGAGAAGUGGGGGCGUCACAAAUCAUGUAUGAGAAAAUGAAACUAAUGAAAAUAUUCAUGUGCAAUCAAUAUAAUAAAUUGUCAUCUUUAUAAUUUUUAAGUUUGCAAUUCAUAAAUAUGGUAACAAAUAAUGUAAUUCAUGUGCAAUCAAUAUAAUUAUAUUGUUAAUUAAGGUUAUAAUUGUGCUAUAUAAAGUAUUUGGGACAAUUUGAAAAAUAUCGAGAAAUUUGGGACUACUUAUAAUAUAUUCAAAAUGUAUUUUGAUUAAACUAUACAACUUGUCCUUUCUUGUUGUAAAUCCAAGUUCAAUUAUGGAACAAUAUACAUGGAAAAGUUGACCUUAUAUGUGUAUAAAUCAUCUUAUUAAUAAAAUAAUUAAACACAAUACAUUUAGUUAACUAUGAUUUAGUGAUUGAUUAUUACAUCAUUUUUUAUAUAAUACGAUAAUUAAAUAUUACAUAUAUAAUAAAAUGUUUCAAAUAUAUUUUAAUUGAUCAAAAAAAUGGUAUACUUACAAUAAACAAAUAAUUAAAGAAAAUUUUGAGAGUAGAAUUUUGUGCUAAAAACGUGUAUUUUGGGUUCAAAUUUAUAACCCACCACUUAUCCACUUAGAAUUAGCAAAAGUAUUAAUUCAUUUCUAAAUACUCUAAACCAUACUAAUUUAUUAUAAUAAAGACACAAAACACUAGCUCCAUGUGAUAACCUAUAGCAAAAAUCAUCUAUUCACUUUAGUAAAAUAUAUGAGUCAAAUUUAAAGAUUCAUCAAAUUUUCUAGGUUUUAAAAUUGGGGUGCGUUAUUUACAUGGAUUUAAAGCUGUCUGAAUAUAGUUUACUACGCAAUAAACGGCACUCAAUUUCGAGUUUUCUACACAAAGAUAUGGCCAAAAUACUAAAAUUAUUACUUAAUUUUUUGAAAAAUAGUAGGAUCGUAGGAUCAUAUGAUCCGGAUCACGAUCAUAUUGAUCUUGUUAAUUUAAUGCUAAUUUUUUAUCCUACUUACAAUUUGGAUCGUUAACCAUGAUCCGUAUCGUAGGAUCGUAGAUCGCGAUUCUAGCAACUAUGGUUGUAGCUAAAAGUUUCUAAGAAUUGGAGUAUAUUAUAUAAUAUAUAGAAUGAAUAUUGAGUAUUAGAAGUAUAUAAUUUGAAAGAAAUCAUGUAUGUGAAAAAUGCAACUAAUGAAAAUAUUCUCAAUAUACAGCUGAAAAAAUAACUAAGUUUGAUAAAUUUGCAUUUAAUUUUUAGAUAGAAGUUUGUUGUAUGAUAUGUAAUUGCCAUUUCUUGAAAUUAUUCUUCACUCUUAUACCUUCACUAAACUUCAAAGAACUUAGCUACACAUAAAAUAGAAUGAAAGGAAUGCUUUCAAGUGUGCUAGUAAGUAAAUAUUUAUACUAUAUCUGUGCUAAUACGUGUCCAUAUGUAUAAUUCAAAAGUUUUAUGUAUUUCAUAUACGAAUAUCUUUUUUCAAGUAACUGCAUAGAACACUUGAUAGGUUGUAUUUUUGCCAUUAAUUUUAUGAUUAUUUCCCUCUUUAUUUUACCAAAUAUUGUAUUAAUUGAUAGAUUCUACUUAUAUUUGGUGCUUUAUGUUAAUUAUAGGACGUUGGGGUAAAAAGUGCUAAAAAAGGGUGAUUUUCUUGGAAUUGAUUGUCACUCGCAAGUUUCCCAAUUCAAGAUGAAGUCUACGUGGAUUAUUUGUGGAAGAUUAGGAAAUUACCAUUUUUCUUAGAUAUUUUAUUUAGAAAACAAUUGGCAUUAUUCUUGGAGUUACCUUUUUCAAUUGACCCGCUUCCGAAGUUACUUCCUUCGUUAGAGCUCGUUUAUCGUUGAUUUAAAUUUAAUCUGUUUUAGUUUAAUUAUUUUCAAUUUGCAUUGAUUAUUUAUUUUUAAUUGCAAUUUUCCAAACUCCCCCCCCAAUUAAUUGUCACUUGGAAAGAAGCAAAUUUUCACUCAAAACCUUGAGUUUAUAUCUUUUUGAGUAGGAAUUUAUUAUUACACAAGUCUGACACCUGUCAAUUAACACAAGGUUUCAAGCAAUGCACAGUUUCUUUUGUACCUAGAAUAGCUAAUGUAGCAAGUCAUAUGCUAGCACAUUUUGCAACAUAACUAGUUUAUGAUAUAGAAUGGGUACAUGAUUUCCCGAUUUGACUAAUAGAAGGGUGAAUGCCCCUUUUUGUAAUUAACUCUUGCACUUCAAGUGUUAACAUAUAUACUGAUUGUUGAAAAAAAAAGGAAAGUGUUUAUUUGUUUAAUCAAAUAGUUAUGGUAGUGUUUAUAUAAUUUCGUAAACAUUGAAAGGUAAAUGACCUCGUUGAAUUUGUAUAAUUUGAUUAUGUUGAAGAAACAUAUAAUCUUGGAAAAGCAGAGAAAUUUUCUAGUAAAUAUUAGAUAAACAAACAAGUCAUUAUUUUAUUUUGAUAGCUAAUCAUUGUUCAUAUCAAUAUACUAGCUAUAAAGUUAUACUCGCAAUACUACUAUUACGGUAUAAAAUUUCUUGUCAGAGCAAUUUAUAAUUUCAUCCCAUUUUUACCGUUGACUGUUAACCUCAAGUUCUUCGGAUAUCCAUGGGACAGUGUAACCCCUUUGAAGGUCAAUUCUUAUUGUUGAUGUGGCGUGUCCCACAUCGGAGGCUGCAUAAGGAAGUUUUCUUCCUUUUGUCCCACAUCGGCAAUCAAGAAGGAAAGCCUCCCCUUGUUUACCUAUAAAUAAGGGGGCUUAGUGGUGAAGAAAAGUGCACCACUCAAGAGAGUUAUAUGAGCUAUUAGCUUUUUGAGUCAUUUAUCCCAUUUGUAGUCAAAUGUUUUAUGUUCUCUUGUUUUGAGUUUAGGAAUAUUUUCUAAACUUUUUAUGAGUGCCUUUUGGCCUAGGAACCACUUUUCUACGGCUUUUGUAUAUCUUCUUCAUAGUGAAAGAUUUGCUCCUCCUCUGUCCAUGGACGUAGGUUAAUUUGACCGAAUCACGUAAAUUUCUGUGUCUUUUAUUUUGUUUUGUUAUUUGUAUUUAUUGGGUUGCCACAACCCUUUUAUAUGGUCAGUCUUACAGCCUAAAGUAUUAUAUGGUCGAUUUUAACUCCUAAACAUUAUAUGGUCGGUUAUACCGCCUACUUUGUGCUAACUUCAGUUUGUUUAUUUCUGGACCAGUUCUAACACUUACACCCUCAUCAAAGUUUCUGGAGUUGCGUAUUAUAGGGGUGCAAACACAAAAACGAGACAUUCUUAAUCAGAUGGAGUUCCUUCUUUUUGCGAUUCAUUCCUCUGCAAACCUCCUCCUCCUCCGAUUUUAAUAUAUGCCACUGUUAAAAUAGGAUACUUUUGUGGGUUUAAGAUUAGAUCGAGACGAACUCUUUUGUGCAAAACAUUUGCCCCAGGCAUCGUUACUACAGAGUAUGUGAUCCAAUUACCAAUGUAAGGUCACAAUGUUAGAGAUGUGAAAUUAUAUUGCAAUGGUCCCUAAAAUCCAACUUGAUCGAUAGGAAUACUAAUUAGGUGAAUACGAGGACUGUGAUUCGACUCUCGAUCUUUCCUCUCAAAUUACAGUAAUAUUUUUAAUCAUACACUCAUCCCCUUACUAACUUCCUAUGGGCCCAAUAUGUUGAGUAGAAUUCGAUUGGAACAACCGAAAAGAAAAGAAAAGAAAACAAAUACAAAACAAUGAAAUAGAGACUUAGUUAGUCAAGUUGGAAGCUAUGAGGAAGUGAGGAGCACAAGUGCGAACAGAUCACCAAGGAAAAAGAAACAAGUUUUUCGAGAAUGCAAUUUGAUUUCAAGCUCAAUCAUAUUCUAAGAGUCAAUGAUAAGAUAGAAAAAAUGUAGGUCCAUUGUUAAGAUAUAGACGGAGAUGGUUGCUUAUUGAGCGUUGGAAGUAUUUCAUAUGCAAGUUGUAAUUAUAUCUCAACUUGUAUAAUUUUAAUUUAAUAAGGUUAAAUUAAUGACCAUGUCAAUGAUUUAUGCGUCAUGCAUGACAUUCUUUUUUCUUGUACUCUCCCAAAAGCUGAAAAUUCUCGUCUCAAUCUCCUCCUCCACCGAUGGCUGCAUGUCUGUACAUGUUUCCCCACAACAAGAAUAAUGAAUCAAUUGCCAUAAUUGCACGCAUUUAAAUUUUCUGAGCUGGUGAUAAAUUGCAUAGUUUUGAUUUUUUUCUAUUUCCGGUUCCCACUCUAGCUACUUCUAGAUUUAUUAAUUGGAAAAAAAAAGAAGAAGGAAUAAAUUAAACCUUAUUUAAUUACUUUUUUAGUCAGGAUAUCUAUAGUAGAUGUAAUUAUCUCUAUAGAAAUGAAUGAAGCAUCCUAGCUUGUGAUCAUUAUCCUCUGUUGCAAUUCUCUUGUUCAAACUUCAAGUUAAGGUUUGUUUGCUAAUUUAAUGGAUUCAGAACUUAAAUUUAAUGGAUUCAAAUCUUAAUAUAUUCAAAUGCUUUUGAUAACCAAAACUUCAAUAUCUGAAUUAAUUAAGUGACACUAAAUUUUCUAGACAAAACUUACUCCUAAAAAUAAGUGAUAAACUAUUUACUUAUCACUUAAUGUGAUAUAUACUCAAAUGUAUCAGAUUUAGUACAUAACAAUUUAAUAACUUAAAGAAUUCAGACUUCAGAUUUCAGUUUUAUCAAACGCAUCUUAACUCAGUGCAAACUGAAUAUGAAAUCCAAAGUGGAAAAUCCAAGAGGUUAGAACUUUGAAACCAUAGGGCCUCUAGGCAAAUUCAGCAUUUUUACAUUCUACUGAUUUAGGGCAUCUUCAAUUAUCAGUUUCAACUCCAUGGUAUAAUAUAGAUAUUACCUCUAAUAGUUGUACACACUUACGCAACAAAUAUAGAUUGUGAAAUUAAUUGUAUAAGUUUGAUAUUUUGUAGGUUUUGGGAUAUAAUUUUCACGUUUAGGAAAAAGAAAAUAUGUUAGUAAGUAAUAAUGUGAUACCCCUUGUCCCACGUUGGAAGUGGGAGAGGAAAAGGAUUGAUAUAUAUACAAGAUUUGGUCGCAUAAGUUACUAGUUACUUGGGCUAACCAUGUCGGAAAGUGUAUUUCGACACAAAAAUUACUUAGGCCAACCAUGGGCUUGGAUGGUGAUAAAUAACUUACUAGAAGCCAGGCAUAUUUAUGUUUAGAUGUCCUAAAAGCAGAGUAGUUCAUAAUCUAGAUAAUGGUAACGAUAUGAUGAGAAUGUGAAGUUAUUUGGUAAACUUUAUAGAUUAAUAAUUUCAUCAAAGCAUCAUAUACAAGCAUGAUGACACAAUCUCAACUUUCAUUCUUUUGUUAAAUCUUAGUUUUUUUCUCUUAAAUUUUUUCGAAUAAAGGAAGGAUGGAAUUUAAGCAGUAGAGGGUGGAAGGGGAUUUUGAAUUCAAAAUCUCUAAUUUCUAAGUUUUUCCCUAAGCAAUCGUCAAAAUAAAAAAAAAAUUUAAAAGAAAAAAAAAUGAGCACCUCAUGGUCAAUGCUCCUGUUCGAAGAUUUAUUCCUUUGGUUUGUCAUCAUCUCCCUCUAUGAAAUCUAAGUACCCUUGGUUGACAAUUUGUUUCCCUGAGCAUCCAUCAACACUUUUAUAUAGUAUUUUUUUUAAUAUAGUAUUAGAUUAGAUUAGAUUAGAUUAUCAAUGCACCAUCAAUAUAGUAUUAGAUUAUCAAUGCACCAUCAAAACACUUUUAUAUAGUAUUAGAUUAGAUUAGAUUAUCAAUGCACCAUCAAUAUCCUUAAAUAUAAAAGCUUAAGUAUAGUAAUCAAAAUACUGUUAGUAAUCUGUACGAUUAUUUUUUAUCCUUUAAUGUUUUAGUUUUAGGAAGAUCACAAAUGCUGCGUAUAAAGCAUGCCAUAGGCUAAAUUAAGCUAAAUUAAGUACACUGCUAAAAUGGAGAGCAUUGCUAAAUUAAGUACCUUAAGAUAAAGACAUAAGCAGCCAGAUCCAUUUGAUGUCAGCUGCUUCAAUAUCCACCUCAAAAUAAAUUAGCCUUUGUUCUAGAUUUAGCUUAAUGCUAAGUCCCUUCACCAUUCUUAGUAAUAAUUCAAUUCUGCCUCAAUUUUCUUCUGAUCUUCAAGGUAAAUGUACGAUAAAUUUCAAAAUAUAUCCCAAAUAUAUGAAUUUCUUGAAACCAUCCUUGAAUCUCAUUACCUACUCAACAAAAUGUUCCAUAAACAUAAAGAAUUGACGAGAACAACAGGGCUCCUUAGAUUUAACAAUUUCAAAUAAGCCCAAGCUAGAAUUUUUCAUAUAUUCAAACAAGAAAUUGGAAAAAUCUGACUAGCUUGCAACGAGUACUACAUCUCAAGACAAAGGAUCUUUUCAGUCACUCUUUUAUUGUAUCGAAAACCUACUUGCAUCUAUGAAUAAGCAAUACUGUGUGAUUUUAGAUGUGAAGCUAAUUCCAUGUGGUAGGACAACUUUGGUUUAAAAAAUAAGGGCAGUCCAAUUCACUCAAUACAAAAAAUAUUUUUAAAUGAUGAUAUUCACAGGAACGUCUAUCUUACUUAAACAAACAAACAAAAAAAAAACAAUAAAAAGGAGAUUGAUUUAGAAAUGUCCGGAGACUUGAGACAUGGACGCUUCAUUAGUCAAUAAUAAUAAAGUCCGGAGACUUGAGACAGGGACGCUUCAUUGAGACUGUUGUGACCAAUUCAGCCCAUAUAGGUAAAAGAAAUGGAAUAAAUCGACAAGAAAUGGUGUCAUCACAUUUUAUUCCACAUUUACCCUUAUAGACCCUAAAAGAAAUAUUGUAACAUAGGACAAACUUUGUCGCUCCGAAGUUGAAUCACUUUUCUAUUCUAUAUACUAAACUUCAAUUUUGGACACUUUGCAUCUGGUUGGAGGCAAAAGCACAGGAAAGCCCUUUUUGAAUGGAAAUAGCAUAAAAGUCUUAGUGAAUGAACAAAUUGAAUAGACCAUUUUGCAGAGCUGUGAGAUAUUCCAAAGCCGUGAAGCACAGUGAUAAGCUACAAAUUAUAGUGGUUUAUAUUUAUUAAUUGUCAAUGAAUGGUUGUAUUUGAGCUAUAAUUUGAAUGGAUGUUGCCUAAUUUAAGUAUAUGUUGGUUUUUGUGGGAAAAGCACGCGAUUGAGGAGGAAAUGAAUCGAAAACGCAACAAAAGGGGAAGAAACGUUGGGUUGCCAAGACACAAGGAUCCGCGGGUGGAUCCUGUGUCCGACGCCAAACAUUGAAAGGGACUUUGCGAGGACUUCUUCUAGUUCUAAUGAUUGGAAAACCCACUAAAACUCGAUUUUUGGCAAGUUUCAAGACCCAUUCUUACCAUAUUUCGGAUACAACUUUCAAGACCCAUUCUUAGUUCAUCAUUUUUAUAUCUUCUUUUCUUGAGAGAUCACAAUGGAAUUGUUGAAGAAUCAAAGGAAGUUCAAGAUGGAGAUUGGAGCGGGGAAAAAUUAAGAAGUUUUCUUUACUUUUAACUUCUUAUUUUGUCUUUCAUUUGAAUUCUUGGAUUUAUCUAUGAAUAUGUUGAACUCAUUUAUAUCUAAAGUUAGGAUUUUGUGAAGGAGAUUUAAUUAUUUGUUCUAGAUAAAUUAUUCGCUUUUGCUUAGAUUUAUUUAUCUUGCCUUUAUUACAUGUUUAUGUUUUGCCACUAUAGAUAUGCUUUUAGGAUUUGUAUUGAGUUGAGAAGCGAUAUACAACCGUACAUUAGAUAGAUAAACAUACUUAGUAUAAUCAUGAAAGUAGGUUAAACAUUGUAUGGCAUAAUUAUAUCACCUAAGAUUUUAAAAGAUUUAAUUAAAUACUUAUAAUCUGAAGAGCAUCGUGAGAUUUAUUAGACAAAUUUAGAAGUAUCAAGAGAUAAUCUAAAGUACUUUUACGUGAUACGUCUUUGACUUGUCAAGAAAAUAAUUGGAUAUAUAAUUCCAAUUCUGAAUCAAAAUUUGAAACUCUGUUUUUUGCUAAUUGUUUUCUCACCCAUAUCUUGUUUGAUUUGAUUAUUUAUUUAAUUUCUUAAUUAGUGAUUAAAAACCCUCUGAAUUUAAAUUUUGUUAUUUUUAUUAGAGGAAUUAAAGUAUGAAAAAUUAACUCACUGCUGCAGGUUCGACCCUACAGUACUUCAAGGGAAUUAUUAUUACGAUCGACCCUGUACAGUUAUAGAAAUUCAUCGAUCACACAGCAACUAAAAAAAAUUAAUGCACAAUAAUGUCAUGAGCAGAAACAGUUCGCAUCUUAGCUGUUCAUCAUUCACGUAGAUUUCAAUUAGUGGUCAACAAAUAAAGGCAUCGAAAAAAGUAAUCCAACUAGAUAAGUGAAUUUAUACUACAACAUAUUUCUUUUUUCUACCGCAAAAACUUAACUAAUUUACGACAAUGUAGUCCAAGCUAAUUGAAGAUUAAUUUUCCCUAAAAAAUGUUCAUGAUAAAAACUCGACAAAGAGAUAAUACAACAGCUUACUUUUGGAGAUGAUCUUAUACGGUAUUUAUUAACAAACCAAUGAGGAGCGACAAAAUGUACAUAGGUUCCCUCCAUAUAUUAGCCACUUAAGCCUUUUUUUUUCCUUUUGGGACUACACAUGACAAAAUGAGGAGUGAAUAAGUCACUUAGCAUCAAAAAUUUUCCCUCCAUAUAAUUAGUUCAACCUGAUUUAAGACUAAAUUUUUACUAUAGGAAUGUUAGUGAUUCAACAAUGAAACACCAUAGAAACUUAUUUUGGGAGAUUGUCCUAGAAGAUAAAAAAUGAGCAACCAAUCAGAAUCCAUUCAGUCUAAUUAAUUCACCAGCUAUGUAUAUUUCAUCCAUUUUCACAUUAUAGAAAGAACAAUAAUGCAUGGCUUUAUCCAUCAUAAAUUGCUCGUAUAACAUCAAGAUAUUCAUGGUGUGGACCGCAAAUGGCUCGUCAUGUCUACUGGCUACAUUUUAAACAUAUCUUAUGGCCAGAAUGAUCAUCUUAUCAACUUAACGAGUUUAUUCAUAGUACCAUACCAUUAAUUUAAAAAAGUUUCAACCUUUUACCUUCUAUAGAUGUCAAGGAAUAUAGCUAAUAACGCACUUUUGGCAGCAAUCUUCCUUCACCCAAUUAAAGAUUUUCGGAGCUUAAAGUUCAGCUCCUAAAGCUCUUCUCCAAGGCUCACCAACCAACAGAGAAAUUACUUUUAGCAAAGUUGUUAAAUUUUGGCAACAGGUUUUGAUGGCAUCUUGGUAAGAUUGGAAGAUUAUACUGCGCUUCUAAGAUAAUGUUUAAAAAAGCUAUUUUAGUGAGGGCAUUAUGGUCAAUUUGCCCCUGAUGAUAUUGACAUUAGGUCCCAUCAACAUCAGAAGGGAGCUCAUUGUAUUAUUGGAUAUAACAAGGGUGCUAGUGAAAUUAUGAAAACCCCAAGGGAGGUUUUUGAAAUUAACCCUAAAAUACUCAUUCCACGCGAGGCGUGGCGUUCCCCUCCUAGUUCCUAUAAAUAGGGCACCAACUCAAUGCACUUAUCACUCGAUAUCAAUAAUUUAGCACAUUAUUUACAUUUUGAGUGAGAUUGUGAUCAAAUGGCAUCUUCAAAAAAUUUGCUCUUUCUUAUUGGUGUUCUCUUUGCACUUGUGCUCCUCAUUUCCUCUGAUGCAGCAGCUGCAGGUGCCUAGUCCUUUUUUUUUUUUCCUUUCUUCCUUUUUUUUUUUGGCUGCACCUAAACACUUAAAUGAAUGGAGAUUUGGAGACUCAUUAUUGGGAUGUGAAUUUUUAUGGAAGUCUAUUUGCAUAUUAUCUAGCAAGUCAUAUUAAUGUGCUAAUAUCUUUUUCAUUGUUUAGCAAAAGUAAAUUUGGGUUGCUUCUAUCAAUGGUUAGUGGCACAUCUGAUUUUUCAUGCAUCCUUAUAGUAUUGCUGUAAGGAUACACGUUCCAUAGUGUCGCACCAAAGAUUAAACUAACGUUGAAAACCAAAUUAAAUGCUUCUAAUUAUAAUUUAAAGCAAAAUAAUUCAUAUCCAAGUCGCACCAUCUUAUAUGCCUGGACUGUUUUGUUUAAUCCAUAUUCUUUUCUUUGCAUAUAUCUUGCAAAUUUUCAGCCUAGCCGGUCACCUAACGUUCGCAGCUUAAGAUAAAGCUCCAAAUAUUUAUGUCUCCUUGUGUCUUGAAACAGAUCAGAAGAGCAAUAAAACCACUGGUGUCCACGAUGCCAGUUCAGGCGAGGUUCAUCAGGAUAGCAUAAGCGAAGAUCGUUGCACAUAUGGUUGCUGCCGCUGGUACAAUGGAUAUUGCCAAAGAUGCUGUCCACCUCGUGAGAAUUGCAGAUAUGGUUGCUGCAGCUGGUACAAUGGAUAUUGCCAAAGAUGCUGUCCACCUCCUGAGAAUUGCAGAUAUGGUUGCUGCCGCUGGUACAAUGGAUAUUGCCAAAGAUGCUGUCCACCUGCUGGGUAGACCCCUGAAGCUACAUCCGGAGAUGAGGUCAAAAAUUAAUGCUAAAUAAAUAAGGGUGUGACACAGGAUCCGUGACACCUAUAUUAUUACCUUAAUAUGUUAUGUUGUGUUUG